CGUAUCCUCCGGGUGACAAAUACUCCUGAUAUAAUACCCAAAGUUCCACCAUUAGCGAUAGGUUAUAGAGACGUUGGACAAAAUCUAGAACUCGACAGCCGAAAAUCUACGUACCUGAAGCCUACAGGAGCAUUCAUAACUUGGCAUAAUUUGGAGGCAUAUAUGCAUUGUAUUGCAGGAACACAAGGGGGAAAACCCGAUUUUCAUUUAGAAGUGAACAGAGAUAUUGCAUUAGUGAAUAAGAAAUUGAAUAGUUUGAAGGAUAUAUAUUUGGUGCCCAGCGCUUGGUGGCAAGAGAAACACAAAGGGAUGGUUCAACAGGAGGAUGGCUCUUGGAAGCUAGAUGAUCAUGAAGAUGAUGCUUAAGAUGCCUACUAUGCUAAAAAGGAGCACCACCUUAGAUAUCUAAAAAUUGGAUUUUUCUUUUUUAAAAGAAUCUUACGAAUCAUGCAUGUUUGGUUACUGAUUAAUAACUAUGAGAAAGACAAUGUGGUGUUAAUAUUUUCUUAUAUAUUGUAAUAAAAUUGAUGCUGGGGUACAGUGUUUAUAUAACUUUCUGUGAAAUAAUUUUGGAUUAAGUUGCUAAUCCUGUGCUGAUACUGUCUGUAUAUAGCUUGAAUCAAAUUUUAGAUCUCUUUUCUUUAUUUUCUGUAGUGUAAAGGAUAUACUACUUUUCCAUUUCAAAAGAUAAUCCUUUUGCUCUCUUUGGAUUGUUGAGAAUCUUAAUUCUUUUAUUUUUGCUAAUUUUAGUUAAUCUUAUUCAUGCUGUAAAUCUUUCUUUCUCCUUUUCUUUUCUAAUUCUCAGAUCAUUCUUCUGUUUGAUAAAAGGUUAGAGGUGAGGAUAUGAUCCGAGAAGAGAAAUUCAACUGUUGACCAAACAAAUAUGUCUAGCUAACAAUCUUUUCUAGAAAUAAUCUAGUCAUUUGACGGAAUUACGAUUCUUCGAGUGAAAAUGACACAAAGUGUUAAUAUUAAUUUGCUCGACAUAUUGUUACAACCUGAUUAAGCAAAGCUAAGCUUGGAAAGAAUGUUACUGAAGCAAUGAUGCGAGAUUUCAUUAAAGGCUGAAACUUGAAGCUUGCUUGGAAGCUUGUCGCAGAUGUCUGGGCAUGAUAAAAGAAUGUUAGACCCUAGUGUGCACCCAGAGUUGAGCUUGGAAAGAAUCCGGAUCAAUUCAUGCUUACUGGACGGUUAUUAGAUGAGCUUGGAGAACAGAUGAUUUAAAUUUUUAGCCAUCAGGAUUGCACUGCUGCAGUGAAAGCUCGCAUCAGACUUCAAAUGAACAAGUCUUUCCUUUUGUCCUAUAAUCAAGGCCAAUGACACCUUUUUCUUUCUCAUGGGAACAGUUGUUCUUUUCCGAAUUCUUUCUGUUUUCGGUUCUACUUUCUCUAAUCUUCAGUGGCUCUCUUCUCCUGAAUGUUAUAAAGUUUCACUCUCCGGUCUACCGCAAAUUCUCUAGAAGGAAUAUUGUGAUUUUGGUAACGGAUGAUUUGUUUUCAACCUGAUACUGCACAUACGUACAAGCACAUGUUUAUGCUGAUAUAGAUUUUGCUUGGGAAAGGUAAAGAAAACAUGCAUCUGUUUAAUAAUUUUCUUUUUAAUUACAAGAUAUAAUUUUUUUCUUGACAAAUUAAUAUGGUUUAGUCAGUUAUUAUCGUUAUAUCAUUAAUUUACGGAUGUGGAGCUUAUAAAAUAAAAAAGAAAAUAUAUCAUAUUAAUAAUAAUAACUUAUAUUAUCCGAGUCCACGCCAUGUUGACACUAUAACAAUAAAACUUAGUGGUAAUAUACUUAAUUGUUAAUGGGCAAAACUAUGUGUUAAGAAAAGAAAUCAGACACUUUAGAUUGAGAGACAGUCAGACUACAUAGACAUGUAUGGUUCUUUCGUAAUUUCCCAUGAUUAUAAUUCACUUUAUGAUCUUCCCAGGCAACCUGCUUUUCUCAGCUCGAACUGUGUCUCUCAUUAGUAUUUCAGCAUCUCUUCUUCACCAUAAUUAUCAAGCUGCUCCUUGAAUCUCAGUUUCAAGCGCUGCAUCUAAAUAGAUCAAUUGAAUGUUUUAUAAUUGAAGUUGUUUACCAAAAUUCAGAAAAGAAAUUAAGUCUAACCUUAGGCCCGGAGGAGUCAAGCUUUGCAUUUGAGAGAACAUGAAUGCCAAGAGAAACCCCUUGAAGGACAACAGGUUCUCCUUUUGGCCUGUUGGAGAUAUAGACCAUGCUUUUUGAUGAUAUGUCGGCCAAUAUAGGUUAAACCCAUUGUACUGAUGAGCCUCUUUCAACAGCAUUUCUGCAAAUUGCUUCGGACUUUUUGCGCUCUGUAUGAUGCAGAAAAAGAAAAAUUUCGAUUUUCUAUUCAUAACAGUAGACAAUUUGUGAGGCAAAAUACAUCUAUUCCUGUUUAAUUUGUCACCUCCAAGAAAAGGACUGGAAGUUCCCUCUGCUCUUUGCCUCAGGUAGAGCAUGAAGCUCCAAAACAUUUGUGAGGAAAGCAACUCUGCCUGCCCUUGAACAUCCCAACCAUGUUCCCCCUGCUACAGCAUCUCUUCCACCCAGUACAUCACAGCCAUUCCACCAUGCCACUGGUUCUGUUGGCCUACACAAAUGUGUAUAUACACACACACACACAGCCAGUUAGUUACUACACCCGCGCCAGCACAUCACAGGAAAAGUUGAAACGAGGCAUAAAUCUCAUAAAAUACAGAACUUGCCUGUUGUGAUAUUCAUCUCUAUUAUGCAAGAGAAGCAGAGGCUAGAGAGGUUGAGCUUGCCAAACGAACGCAGCUAUGCACAUAGCUUAGCACAAUCAAUUGGACGUUUAGGAGUUACAAUAUCACUAAACAUGGCAGAAUUACACUUACACAAAAUGGAUGACUGUAAACAGGAGAAAAUUAGAAACUAAGACUUUUGUCUCUUUGUUUCCUAAGCAAAAACCAGUGGGGCAAAGGUUGUCCUAGAAUGCGUGCAUGCACUAAAAUUUGUUUGAAAUUGUUGUUAAGAAAAAUUACUUUUUAAUUUUUGAUUUAAUCCACUAUUUUUUAUAAGUUAUUUUUAUAAAAUAUACUAUAAAUAUUAAAAUCGUUUUAUAGGAAGGAACGUAAAAUAUUGAAUUUGAUUAUUCCCUUAAUUAAAUUAUAUUUCUAUUGUAUGUAUUCAUUUAUUACUCUUCAAAUUAUAUAUAAGUUCUUAAAUAAAAAAAAUGUAGUUUCGAUUUUUUUUAUUAAUAAUAUAGAAAUUUUUUUUAUAUAGUUGUACAUUUGGAAUCAAAUAAAAUUUAUGAUUAUAAAGAGAUUAUAAUUUAUUAAAGCUUUGAGUAUUAAGAUUUUUCUUUGACUUAAUAGUGAAUAUUGUUGGUGAAAUGAUAGCAAUUAGAUAUGAGAUAUAUUAAUAUCUUAUCAUAUUAUAUAAAAAAAUGGAAAUCAAUACUGUAAGACAAAAUAUAUCAUAAUAUUUAUUUUUAAAAAAAUAUAAAUACAAAUAUUAUUAUGUUGAAAAAUUUGUUUAAAAUAAAAUUUAAAAAAUUUAUAAUAUAUAUACACGCUUUAUUUUUCUGAAGGUGCAAAAAAAGAAAAAAAAAUUUAUUAAUUAAAUUAAAAUUCUGAAACUCAUGUAAUUAUAGUAUAAAAUUUAUAUCUAUUUACAACCGGUCCAAUUUGAAACUGAAAUUUUUAAUUAUUAUAUAGAUGUUAUUUCUAUAUAGAGUAUCGUUGUAGAGAAAUUUUAUUAUAUAUUUAAAAUUAAAAUAUGCACAAUAGAAGAGUUCUAUCCACGAUUAUUGCAGUAUAUUUAUGGCAGCUCCAUCUUGUUCAGGUGAUUACUGUGCUUUGGCUGAAAUGGAAGGGCUCCUGGUGACCUGUGUGGUUCAUAAAGGUUUAAGACUUGCCUUUGAUUACGAUAUAACUGGUGUCCUUGUGAAGUGUGUGUGAUGCUGCUGGAGUUAUGACAUGGUCAGAGUUUGGCCUUCUAAUAGCUGAUACCCACAUGCUUGCUAGUUAUGUUCAAGUUGUGGAACUUUUAGCCAUUAGUCGUAGUUGUAAUUUUUACUCGUAAUCUUCCAUUGUAUCGGCUUUCUUUAGAUGCUGAGAGUGUCUGGAUCCAGGACGAAAUCCCUGUAUAACUUCGUAACCUUAACUGGCCCAAAACCCCCCAAGAUGCCUAACCUUAUCUUAAAUAGGCCUGGUCUGACAUCUCAUGCCUUCACAUGGUUCUGAACUAAAUUAUUGUAUGUGAGAAACAAGAGGAUAUCUAGAUACAAACAGUUUAAUUUUACUUGUAGCAGAACCAGAACAAUACAACACCAUUUAUUUUUGUCUUUUUUUUUGAGGGUGUGAUUAAACAAGGACAUUAGGACAUUAGUGUGUUGACUUCAUAAUAACGCUUGGUAGUUUGCUGAUGAUAAUGUUGCUGCUUUCUCACCAUAUCAUAUGCAGCAAUUAUAUUUAAGUAGAUGGUUAUAAAUUUCAGACUCAGUUUAGCAUGUUGCAGAAAUGAAGGCGCGAAUAAUGCAUGAACUGGAUCAUCGUAUGAUGAGCACACUGCCUAUAUCAUAAUCGAAUUCCAAGAACUCUGCCUAACCAAACUACUUCAACUAGCCUUUCCUUUUGGCAAUUUCCUUGUCUGAUGAUAUAGCUCUAACCGCCGCGGAUAUUGAGGGAGGCUUAAAAUGCAUGAUAGCAACGAAGGCAGAAAAUUGUGAAGUGUGCAAUUUCUAAUGGAUUCUAUUUAAACUAAUAGUAAUAAUGAGUAUUAAUCGGCUUAAAACAUCAAAAGACAGGUUUACCUGUGGAAAUGUCUGGAGGAAACAUAGCCAGAAGAUGGAGGCAGCUUAGCGGGCAACAAAAGUGGCAGGGCCUCCUUGAGCCUCUAGACAAUGAUCUCCGUCAAUACCUCAUCCACUAUGGUGAUUUGGCUCAAGCUACAUAUGACAAUUUCAUUAUGCAGAAGUAUUCACAGUUUGCAGGGGACAAUAGAUUUUCAAUGAAAAAUUUGUUUUCCCGGGUUGGUCUAGGCAUGCGGAACAAUCAAUUUGUUUAUAAACCUGUCAAGUACUUAUAUGCAACCUCCAAAGUUGAUGUCCCACAAAGUUUCAUUAUGAGUCCAGCAUCCACAUCAAGGGCUGUGCCGAAUGGAGAAUCGAAUUGGAUCGGAUACAUAGCAGUAGCUACCGAUCAGGCGAAGGAGAAAUUGGGCAGGAGGGAUAUAGCAGUUGCAUGGCGAGGAACACUCCAGCCUCUGGAAUGGAUCAAAGAUUUUGAUUUUCCUUUGACGUCUGCUUCUGAUGUUCUAGGAGGACAUAAUGAUGCUCAAGUUCAUCAAGGAUUUCAUUCAGUUUAUACAUCAGAUAAUCCUCAGUCACAAACUAGCAAAACUAGUGCCAGGCAGCAGGUAACGAGAACUGAAUGUUUUACAUACGUAAUUGCAUAUAAACAAACGACUGAAAUAAACUAAACCUGAUUCUACGUCUACUAUCAGGUCUUGGAUGGACUGAGGGAGCUGGUGAAUAAAUAUGAGAAUGAGGAGAUCAGCGUGACUGUAGUAGGGCACAGUCUGGGUGCAGCACUUGCAACUCUUAGUGCAGCUGAUAUUGUAGCCAAUGGGUUCAACAGAACCGACAAACAAGCAAAUAAGAGCUGUCCUGUUACAGCCUUUGCCUUCGCCUGCCCACGCACAGGGAAUCGGGGAUUCAAGCAAGUCUGCGACUCCUUGGAGGAUCUCCGUAUUCUACGGAUCACAAAUACUCCUGAUAUGGUACCCAAAGUUCCACCACUGAUAGCAGGUUAUAGCGAGGUUGGAGAAAAUCUAGAAAUCGACAGCCGAAAAUCUAUGUACCUGAAGCCCACAGGAGGAUUCAUAUCUUGGCAUAACUUGGAGACAUAUCUGCACACAAUUGCCGGAACACAAGGGAAAAGGUCUGCGUUUCGUUUAGAAUGUCAACGAGACAUUUCAUUGGUGAACAAGAAUUUGGAUGCUUUAAAGGAGAAAUACAUGGUGCCCGGUAAUUGGUGGUGUGGCCUAAACAAUGGGAUGAUUCAACAGGAGGAUGGUCUUUGGAAGCUAUUUGAUCGUGACAAGGAUGAUGAGUAAGAUGGCUACUCUGCUAAAACAGAAGCAGCAACUACUGUAUGGAAUAAAAAUAAAUUUAAAAACUUAACUAAUAAUUCAGGACUGAGAUUGUGAUUCAAUCAAUCCCUUGAACCUACAAUGAAUCCAGUAAGUUGUUAUCCGGUUAUUCUAAUUGAAGUUUAUGUAUGAAUCAAAUAUAGUCCCAAUUAUUUUAUGUUUGAAUCUAUGGCUCACAUACAUAAAUAAUUUUCCCUUUUGUUCUUUGUGGUUCAAUAAUGCUAUUGAGACAUUCUAAUAAUGCUCUACUGCAUAUCCAAAGUAAUAAAAGUUGGCAUCUUUUGUAACAAAUUUUUUUUUUUUUUUCAUUUUCGAGAAUACCAUCAAGAAAUCCCAGGAAAAUAACCAAAAGCAAUAAUUAAUUCCUGAUAUGACUUGAAUUAAUGUCAGAAGAUGGCAAUUCUUCUGCAAAUAAAAAAAAAAAAAAAAAAGAAAAGGAGAAAUUCUCAGACCCUGCUCUCACCAACUAGCUUCUUGUCUAUAAGCUAAUCAAGCAGGUAAUCAAAUUCCUAAAACUACCAAGAUUCACAUGACAUUCAGGCAAAGCUAUAUUUACAUAUAUAUUUAUCUAAUCAAUCAUGCCACAAAUUUCUCAUUCUCCCUACAAUAGUGAGCAAGAAAAUAAACAAAAGAGGAAGCAAUCACAGAUCAUGAAAGCCAAUCUACAUAUAACACAUGGGAUCAAAAUCAGUGUCUUUGUUUACAAAUUAUUACAUCUAACAGGGAAUUUGAGAGGUGAACCACUCCAUGACAUGAAUAGGUGCCUUGAUCAACUCCAGAGCAAGCUCCACUAUUAUUGUCACGCACAAACAACAAGGACAUAUGCAUGUCAACAACAACCUGCACAAUUCCCAAGAUUUGAGAGCAUUAGAGACCAAACUGACAAAAAGAUCACCACUUUAUUCCAAACAAAAGCCAACCCAAAUCACAAACUGUAUCAAGAAUUAACAAGAUCAAGUACCCAGAAACUAGAAAUGCCAUAGAAAUCCAUAUGAAAGCAAAAGAAAUAAAAAUCAAAGAAAUCUCAGAUAUCCAAAGCCAGAAAAGCAAAUAAAAUGGAAAAGGAUAUGAACUUAAAUUACCCGACGAUCCAAACCACGACGCCAACAAUGGAGACGAGGAGAGAAAGAAGGGCAAAUGGAAGGCCUAAAAGAAAGCCUAAAGGCCUGCAAUCACCGUCACACAUGUUGCUUGUUUCUUGCUUUCUUUCUUUCUCAGAAAGUAGUUUAGUUUCUUUAUUAUAGCUAAAGAAUCUCUCUUUCUUCUACUGUUACUACUACCACACUCUGCUUUUCAAGACCACCUUUUCUUUAUCUAAACAAGCAGUGAUAAUAAAUAAAUAAUAAUAUUAGUGUUUACUUUUCUUGAUCUGUUAUUAGAGAGGAGAGGAUCAGCAGACGCGUACUGUAUUUAUGAGGACAGCGAGGAAGAGAGCCACGUUUGAUGCUUUUUGUUUUCUUUAAUCAAACAACACCACACACAUCAGAAUUUAGAAUAAAGGAAAAACAAAGUCAUCUUUGCUCUGUAAAGGCAUGAUCUUCCAAGAAAAGCAACAUCAUUUAUGAUUCACCCACGUUUACUUUUUGCCUUUGACCAGUAUUUAUUGCUCUCUAUUAUUUGUAUUAUAUACACUCCCUUUCAAAAGUAUAAUUUACUUUAACUUUAUACAUAAUCUUCUUUUAUAUAAUUCAUAUCAUUAGUUUCAUUAUUUUUUUUAAAUAUAUUUUUAUUAGACGUUUUAAGUUUAAGACCAUUUAUUUUAAUUUUUUUUAAAUUGACAAAAUUAUAUUAUUGUUAUCAUACACUCUCCAUUCUAUAUUAACUCUUUAUUAUUUAAAAAAAAUAUUGAAUAAGAUUUAAUUAUAGCUGAAAUUAUUUUAAUAUUAUUGUAAAAAAUAAAAAUUAAUAUUUUAAAAUUUUUUCAUUUGAAAAAAGAGACGGUUAAUCUGUGAAGAAUAUUAAUGUAACAUAUUUAUAUUAUAUGUGAGAAUAUUGGAUGGAUAAAAAAGAAGAAUAAACUCUCUUUUCUUCUUUCCAAAACAAAGAGUAUCUUUUUAUCUUCUCAAAAGAUGGGAAUUAUUGUGUUCAGCAAUUUUGUUUUAAAAAAAUAAAACUAUUAAGAACCUAUUUGAAAUAUAUCUUUUAAGAUUUAAAGGUUUUGAUGAACGUAUUAGAUUGCAGAGAUUUUAAAUUUCUGUAAAAAUUGUUAAUUUUAUUGAUUUGGUAUGUAUAUCAAAUUAAUGGAUUAAUUCAUGGAAUGAAUUAAAAAAGUUCAAUAAUCUUCUUAUUAAAUUGAAAUAUUUUACACAACCUACCAUCCUAUAUGAAUUUCUUUUAUUUUUUAUGACAACUCUAAAAUAGUUUUUAUAUUUUUAAAUAAAUGAGAUAUAUUUUAAAAAUCUAUAAAAUUUUAUAUCAUUUUAUUUCAAUCAAAUAAUAAAUUCUGAAAAAUCUUUGGUAAAAAAUUCUCAAAACAAAGGAUAGACAAGAAAGAUGCUAAAAGAUAUCAUGCAAAAGCACAAUAAGAAAGAAUGGUAAUUCUUAAUUUUUGUUAUAGUGGGCAUCACAAAAAUAUAAAAAGAAUAUAAGGAUUCUGGGUAGCUGUAGUUUUCAGAUUUUAACAAAACAAGGAAAGAAAGGUCAAGCAAGUGAGCCAUGUAAUUAGCAUUUGGAUACACGUAAAAGCAUCUUCAUUUUGACAAAUCAAUCUUUAUGAUUAAUAAGAUAAGUAUCUGCUAUAGUAGAAACCUUAUGAUUUUUAUUAUUUAUGAUAAAUAAUUAAAAGACCCACAAGUAACAUUUAUGUUUCAGACCCAAGAACUGAACUUGCAUUGUAUUAAUUAGCAUUCCUGAUAGUUUAUUCCAUCCUGACGAUUGAUUGUUUUUUCUCUGUUUCUUUUUGUUCUUUUUAAUUAGCAUUAUUAAGACAGUAAUUGGCAAUUCAAGCUUAAAUGGUAAUCCAUGCUAGACACAGCAUUAGUUUAAUAGCAAGGCAAUGAAUGAGGAUGGAUAGAGUUGAGCAGCUUGUCCAAGAGAUUACUGGAUCACAACAAUUUCAUAUGAAAGACUAAAUCUACUUAUAAAUGAAUUAAGGAAGCGGUUAGAGUCUACAUUAUAUGGGUAAAUUUAUGCUGAGCAGCUCAAGGAUAUAAUUACAUAGAUGAUCAUUGCUCUAAUAUCAGAAAAUAACACAUGCCACGGCUAAAAAUGAAGCAAAGCUACACUAAACCAAGCUCAGUGGACUUCGGCAGAUACAUGAAAGUCAAGGAAAGGGCAGGAGCACAUUAAGUCGCCAGAAUCUUUCAAACUCAGGAUAAAAUGAAGCUGCAGUUACACUUCCAAUCCAGAAUGGCAUGCCCUCUUGUUAUGCCCGCAUUACCGCUAUGCUAGUUGAGUUAUGUAUAUGAGUUUCCAAGGUCACAUGUUCAAGCCCCCAAAUCAGGAUAAGUUCUAUAUAUACUGAGCAAAAGAAAAAAAAGAGGGAUUAAAAACUAGAGUUCAUAUGAUCACUCAUAGUCAAUCACAUACUGGUUAAAUAGCAACCGCAUUGAAAUUUUGCAUCAGAACAUCCACUUACCCUCGAGUUUCAGCUGUUAAAUGAGCAUCAAACUGGGGGCUUAUUCAAACUUGCGUUUUCACACUCCAUGGAGAUGAUUGAAGCAAGUCUAUCAUAAACCUGCAACAUUAAUUGCCCUCAUAUUCUAAUUCUCCCCUUAAAAAGAAUAGUUAAUCUCCCAGAAGUUGCAUUUACCCUUGUGUGUACAUGUGUAGGUGUAUCUGAGAGAGAGGGACACAUACAGAGAGAGAGAGAGAGAGAGAGAGAGAGAGAUCAGUCACAGACCACAGAGAGCUGCUCGUUUGUGCCCCGUUUCUCAUUCUUGUCUUGUUUAUUUGUAGAUGAUGCAUCAUACCUACACAGCAGAUGGUUCAAUAAUCCCAUAAUAAAUUACACCGUUUACAUGCAGAUCUUAAAGGCAGUUCCUAUUCUAUUUCUAUUAAAAGGGACAAAUCAAGGAUCAUAGAUUAGGCAUCAUAUUAUUGCACAACUGAUCCUACCAGUCACGGGGAAUCCCAGCUUCUUCUCUUGCCGAAUGAUUAAAGGGCCCUUUCAACUCCACAUUGUACUCCCUUAAUAUGUCUGCAUGCUUAUCCCCGAAAAAUUUUAAAACUUCGCAAUCAAAUAUUUUGCUUGCCCGGUACGGGAUAAUACUAUUACUAUGUGCCACNNNUGGAGAGGAGGACAGCCCACUUUCUGACAAACAGAGAUAAACCAGUAGACACCAACAGCUACAUGAGCAACUUCUUCAUCAGAAAUUCUAGCCACAAUUUUAGAUGUCUUAGAAUCUCCAAAACCAAUCAAUUUUUGCACUAGCCUUGGCCCGGCAUCAAGUCCUCUUGCCUCCUAUGUAGAUAAAAAUAGAAAGACUGCUUAAAUUUUCCUCAUCAAACAUCAAAUAUCUAAUAUUGGAGGGCCAGGGGGAGGAAGUGUUAAAAAUAUCUGAAAAUAAAUCCCUAAAGUUGGUAAUAACACCUGUACACAUAGUGAGAGAAUUUACUUCAAACAUAGGCCUAGAAGAUUUAACCUUAUCACAAGUAUCAAGGUUAUACAACAGAAAAACAAAAAGAAAAUAGUGACCGGAGUAUAACCCAAAUUUUAAAACUAAAACUUAUCCAGUCUAAGUAUCAUGACUGCCCCUUUUAAGGGGAAAAAAAAUCCUACUUUGCAUCUGUUAUUAGGCAUGUCAUAAACUGUCUCAAGCUCAUUGCAAUUUCACUUUGUAAGAAAUUCAGGUAGUCUAACUGUUCUAACUGUUCAAAUACCGUUUUCAUAUUUUGAGAAUUCAUAGCUCCUUGAAAGUGAAGUUCCCAGAAUGCAAUAAAACAAAACUGCACUUGCUAGACUUUGAUUUGGGUCUUCUAUUCUUAUUACAAUUAUCUCUUCUCAUCACGUUAGUAUUAAAUAGCAUAAUUCCACUUAACGACUAGAGAAAAAUGCAUGCCAUGAUACUAGUAAUCGGAGAAAACAUGCAGCUGAAAGAAAGAACAAAUAACUGCAAUUAAACUCAUGGUCUUCAACCAUAUGAUGUCUUAAUUCAUGGAAUUGAAAUACAACCAUAGAUAAACAGGAAAAUCUAGAAAGAAAUCAUGUGAAAUUAAAAGAAUACACAACAACGCCACUCUUUCCAGUCCCCUUCCCUGCUAACUUUUCCCCUUUGCACAAACCCAAAGAAAAUUAGAGAAGCUGCUUCCUCCAUUGACACACGUGGUUAUUCUGUACAACUUAAAGAUGGUCUACUUUAACAUCAUAGUGUCCUACAAGAAUCAUCAAAUUUGAGAGAUCUGAACAUACAAGACAAGGAAGAAUCAGAGUAGAACAACUUAUUAAGAAGUUCGAAGAACCAGCAAUCAGUUUUACUUUGGUUAGCAGAUAGCAUAUGGAAAUUACACAGUAUAGUUACCAACUACUUCAGCCUGUUUACUCGGCCACCAUGCUAGUAAAAUUAUCAGGUUUUGGUUCACUAAUCAACUCACAUUCCUCAGGUGAUAGUUACUGCUUCCUUUUUUCUUUUACAAUUGGAUUAGAAGCCUUCCACUUUUCCAACCAACAAUAAUAAGCAUACAAUAUUUUUCAAGUAUUCAAAAUGGUUACUGUACUUGAUAUCACCAAGCAUUUUUAGCUAUUUAAGGAUGAAAGUUAACUAAAGGAAAAUCAAGCAAUGCAAAUCACCGUCACACUGUACUUCUCUGCAUAAGCAAAUUUUAAUAGCUGCUAUCUAGAAAAUAUAUAUUUAAACCAAUACCUGGACUAGUGGGAUCACUGCCAAUCGUGCAGCAACACUGUCAGAUGAUUUUUUGCAUUCCCUCCACAACAAAUUAUGAGCAGGCAUAUCUCCAUACCUAAUCAGCAUGGAUUAAAACAAAAACCAACAAUCAACUAAUUUGAUACUUGAAAAACGAUUCUCCUUACUUGAAACCAAGGUCAGCAAGUCUUUGAGAGCACCAAGCAAAAUGGCGACUCUCAUCAUCAGCAACAUGUGCAAAGUCAGCAAAGAAUCCUUCUCCAAGAGUCUCACUGAAAGGGGAAAAACGUACAACCGUGUCCCAUGCCAAAUCAAUUGCAUUUAGCUCCACAUGAGCAAGAUUAUGGAGCAUAUAAGCAUUGAGAGGUAAGCCUGAAUCUUUGGGGGCAGGAAUUUCCUUCGGGGAAACCUAAAUCUCAAAAAUUUAGCAAAGAUGAACACAUGAAUAUCUAACUACCACAUCAACAGCAACAAAGAGAAUUUAUCUACGUGGAGAUCACCAAAACUCACUUGGGACUUCAUUCAUAACAUUAACAAAGUUGAAUAGAUAAAUGAGGGAUAGCUGAACCAGCAAAUUUCCAAAUUUGACUUGAUUGUUUUAAAAAGGUAAAGGGGACAAUUUCACGAACAAUAGCAGCCACAGUCACUAUGAAAUUGUAUAACAAGUCCAGUUCUAACUGCAUGAUUUUGAAAGGUAACUAUACUCUUUGAUGCUAUUGAGCAGUUCAGGGGAACUACAAAUGACUGGCAUUUAAGAGAUAAUUGACAAACAACCCACAAUUGAAUAGAGUCCCUAACUUUCGACGUUUGAAUAGAAAACACAAGAUAUAAAGAAGCAAAAGAAAUCAUAAACAAUUACGAAAAAUUUCGUUUUAAAAUUUUGAGAUACCCAUGAAAGAACAUAGUUUUGGAUAGGGAAUCAACAAAAAGAAAACUAACCAAUUCAGGCUUAGGAGGUCUAGCGGGUGUAGAAGGUGGGACAAAAGAUCCAAUGGGAAGCUUGUGGUUGCGCCACUUAGCGAAAGCGAGAUGGGAAAGCUUGGAUUUUUUGAGAGGAUCACUGGUGGAGAGAACAAGAGCACCAAGCUCAGCAAGAGAGGAAGCAGAACCCAGUUCAAUUUCAUACUGAUUGGCAUCAGAUAAUGGUGAUUGCGGUGGUGGAGGUUGUGGGCCAUUGGGUCCCCAAAACCGGUUUUCAUUGAGGGGACUGUCUCGCCAAGACUUGAGACCUGACCAUGGUGAAAACUCCAAUGAAGAAGAAGAAGAAGAAGAAGAAGAAAAGGAGUUAGCUUUGAGAAAAAAACGUGGCAGAGAUGGAGAAAGCAUCAACUUUAUUUUGAGGGAUUGCAUCAUUUUGCGACUGGUCAGGUUGUUGCAUGGUUUGCAAGUAGUUUAUCUGUUAUUCAUGUUUGGGUCCAAAUUCUUUUCAUUUCUAGAGGUUUUCUCUUUCUCUUUUUUUUAUUUAACACAAAUAUUCAAAAAUGGGUAUAAAAAAUUGGUAUAGUGAAUUUUGGAAGGAAACAAUAGGAUAUGUUGUGCGUUUCAUGGAAUAAUAAUAAUACAUUAUAGUAUCUUAUAUUCCAUUGCCAGAUACGAAGUAAAAUGCAGAUGCAAACGCUUCUCGACUAACAUCCAACUACAGAAUGCCCCUCGCAUGGAGCAGGAAAAAGUGAAGCCCUUGCGACGAAGAGGAUGCAAUUCAUACAUACAACAGCCCAAGCGGCAAGUAUGGUUAGUUGAGCAGGGAUUAUAUAAAGUGACCAGCAUAUUAGGAGUAAAUAUGAAGAUAAUGUUACGUUACGUAUCACUUGAUGAGCUUGAAUUACAGAUUAUCUUUUGUAUAACACCAAAGAAUCCUGAAUCUGCAAGGAGAUAAUCAACAACAAAGUUAUCGGAGAAACUAACAUGAGUAGCAUUAGUUAGCCAUGUACACGUGCUACAGAAAACAAACCAUCUGCUCUUGUAUCUAAUCAUCGCCACAUCCCCUACCAAAAUAUUAUACAAAUUUCUGACUAAACAAAUUAAGCCACUUGUAGAUUCAAGAAGCCAAUCCCAAUACAGAGACCCCGCCCCCAACCCUCUGCAGUCGCACAAUAAUAGCUGGCCUCUCCAAACUGUACACCAAUUGCAGAUUCCACGGGGAAAAUCAUCAUAUGACCUGUGUUCCAUCAGAUCACCAUCUACUCUAAGUUUUUCUGGGAACUGAAACAGAACAAUGAUUGUGCCAUUAGAAAGUUGCUUCCAACUCCAAAAAAAAAAAACAUAUCAACAAAGAUAUAUCGAAAAUAAGAUACUCAUUGACUGAUGAUGCAAAGGAUAGGAAAGAAAGGCUAGGCAACACCCCUAAGAGAUUUAGGAAAGAGAAAGCUAGGCAACANNNCUACUGCAAAUUCCAAGUGGAUAUAUUUAACAAGGCCAUUGGAAAAUGUAAUGCCAUGUUCUAGAUAAAGCAAAGCUGCAGCAUUGGUUCUCCCACUUUCAAAUUGAAUCGGUAUAUUAAGAAUAGAAUCUCGGAGCUGUAUAAGAAAACAUGUAUAUAUAUAUAUAUAUAUAUGCUCCAGAGAGCUCCACCUUCCACUUCACCUUCUUACAGACAUCUAUGUAGUCCCCAGUUCUGCUAGAGAAAAAUGUGGGUUAAGGACAUAUAGAGUGUCAGCCUACUAUUUAAGAGAUUAUCCUACUACAGCUCUAACCUAGCAGACCCUGAAGCCACCAAGCCUGUACCAUGCAGUUUGCACUAAACUCUGACUAAUGCAUUAGUCAUCCGAACACAACCUGCUUUGGUGUUUUAAGAUCUAUCCAAAUAUGCCAAAACUAUAUUAACAUCGAACAUAUUAAGGAAUAAAAAAAGGUCAUCUCAUUUGAACAUAAUCCUACAAUCCAUUCUUCUUAGACCAUAUAGUACUAACACCAGCCCUUUUUGCUACUUCAAACUUAGCAUGCAGUUCAACAUAUUCUCCAGCACUCCUUGCUCUGAUUCAAGUAACAAGUUUCAAAUAUUUACAUCAUCCCAAGGAAAAUUGUUAUAAGAAUACAUGGUUUUUAUGCUACAUAUACUAUCCCGUGACUUCAAAGUUUCAAAAACAAACUAAACAGCGAGACUAAAAUAUCUGGAGCAUCAAUUUGGCCAAUCCAUUACUCAGAUUCUGGGGAAUGUUACAUGUAUACUACUUAACCAAUGUCAGCAAUGCUCUCUUCUCCUGUACCAUCCUGUAGAAUUUAUUAUCAAUCACCCAUCCCACAAGAUAAGUAUGGCAUGCCUUUCUAGGAGGUAAAUAGAAAAAGUCUUAAAGUGCACCUAUUAAAGAAUGAGCUCACAGAUAAAUUUAAAUUGAGUGUUGCCAUGAGGGCUUUAACCUAUAGCCAAGACUCAGUCGCACACAACAGUAGCGACAAAAAAAAAGGCAUCUUACAGAAUUAACUUGGGGAUCGCAAGAAGAAUAAAGGUUAGCUACCAAGCUAGUAACCUCAAACACAACUUUCAGUAAGUAUGAGCUGAAUAACCAAAGACAAAUAUACAAGGACUCCAAUAGUAUGAAAAUCCAAAUGAUUAAACAUACUUUUGGAAGAAACAAGUUUGAGAUGUAUGCAGACCAAUUAUGGUUAGACAUGAUACAAUAACAAGCGCUUUCUUUUUCUACUCAGAAAAAACAACAGGAUAGAACUGGUAUUUAAGGUGACGAAAUAUAAUGGUUCACAUCACUACUAAGAUUGUAUGCAGACCAGUAAAUGCUUUAAUUUUUCCAACAAUACCCAGGCUAAGUAUGAAUUAUUUAUUUUCUACAAAAAAUAGCAUGUGAUGUAACAUGAGAAAAGAAAUCCUUACUUAUACAACAUGUUUUUCCAGGAAAAAAAGAAGUCGUAAUAGAAUAUGAAAAGAAGAAACCACUUCAAGGCAUUUUGAAAGAAGGCCCCAGUAGAAAUAGAGACAAACCCAAAGAUCAGAUUUAUUCCUUUUGCUGAUGACUGAUCUUCCACAUUAAAUUCCAAAUAGCAGGUAGCAGUUUUACCAGUAUCUUUAUCCCCCCGAAAGAAAAAAAAUAGAAGAAACCAGUUUAUAAAUUAUAAACAUGGGCCACAGCACUUCAAUAUUUCCAUUUGACAAUGUUAUUAUAACUCCCAACCAUGUUGCUAUAUUUUAACCACAUAUACUUCCUAACUUACCCACUUUCUCCCUUCUCUAUGUUCUAGUGGUAAGGGAAAAAGGAAACACAGCUGAUAUGCCAGCCAUCCACUAAACAGAAAAUACUCUCCAUUUUCAUGGCAACAUGUCACAUGUAAUCCCAAUUUGAUAAAUUUUUUAUUUAAAAAGUCAAUUUUUUUUAUCUCCCUCAUCAUAGAAAGCAUAGGCAUUACAUGCCCGACUUACAGAUGACACAAAAUUCAGAACCACCUUCCCAUAAACCCAAAAAUGCGUGAAAAAAGUUUAUGCUUUUAAACCUAUUGCUAGCAAAUUGCAAUCUCCCUUGUGAUCUCACCAGCACAUAGUUGAUAGUAGCAAGUCGUAUGUCAAAAAACCUCAACGGCAGAUAAAUAAUGAGCAUAUUUUAGCUAAAUUCAUUCAUCAAGAGUAGAACAGAUUGCCAAAUUAUGCAAUAUAGAAUCAAUCUAAGUUUUUAGAAAAUCCAUAAGAGGACCUACCAUAACUACUCAACUCCUUGGUUAAGGCCCUACAUCAGAUUCAGAUGUUGAGGAGCUGUCACUAUCAGAGUCUGCAGUUACAGUAAAAGAUAAAUUUCAGUACAUCAUCAAAUCAUUGCUAGAGAAAUUAUAUCCACACAUGUAGGGGGAGGGGGGGAGGGGAACAUAGCAAAACUUAUAAGAAAAUAUUGCCAUACCACUUGAAGAACCAGAAUCACUGCUAGAGCUGCUUGAACUACUUGAUCUAGUUCCAUUAUCUCCCUGGUUCUCCACUUGAACAGGUGAUGAAGUGGACACAUUCCUUUCAUCUGCUUGAGUAACACAAGACAAUAAACAAAUGAUAAAUAAAUAUCAAACAAGCAAAAAGUCAAAUUCCAUCAAUUAUUAUGAUCAAACUAUCUAUACCUGUUUUAGUUCCUUGUGGUGGUGCCACUACCGCUGCCGGUGUCUGCAAAGACUGAAAAAGAAAAUCCAUUGGGAAACCAUUCCUUUAUAAGGCUUAAGCAUUACAAGGAACAAUUAAAGUUCUUACCUUCUCCUGGACAUUCCGCUCAGCUUCUGCUCUGGCUUGACUGGCAAGUUCAGCUUUUCUCUUGUUCUUGCUUAAACUCUUCUUGUAGUUGGUAACAAAUCUAUCCAGUUCCCAAAGGGUCUCCGCAUCAACACUGUCAAUAUCCACUUCAAUUUCAUCAUCAUGUUGGCUAAGAGAUGAAUUUCUCUUCUUUAUUAUCUGGACAAUAUUGUCCAGCUUCUCCGAAGGUAAACUCUGAAGAUUUGUGCUAAGCUUCUGUUUCUCAUCAUAAGUCAUGUCCCUCUUGUGUGGAUCCUUUGCCUUAGGCUUUUUUGGAGCAGGGGUCCUCCCUGAAGGAGUCGUACUAAUAGGUUUUGAUCUGGGAUCAAUAGGUUGAUACCUCAUUGAAUCUGAUCUAUCCAAAAUUCUCCUCAUAUCAAGAGGAGGGGGUGGUAGUGGAGCUUUUCUUGAUGUUGGUGUAGGAAUACCAAUACCACAACCAACAACAAACCUCAUCUCCCGAUCAAACUCUGAUUUUAUAACCACCCACCUGUCUUCAAAUAGCUUCAAUAGUAUCUCUGCCAUCACGUGAACAUCUUGCCCCUUCGGAUUAUACCUCAUAGCAUUAUGAAAUGUUAGUCUGACAUCCUCUGCGAACUCUUCAGGUGACUUGUACCAAUUCUUGUUCAGCCUCGUCUUCACAGUACCCAAGUCCAUAGGAUGCUUGAUUAUGGUAAAGUAAUCAUGCAAACCAAGUCCCUUUACAUCCACAGGAGAUUUAAACACCCAACCGUAUUUAUGCUUCAUCAAUUUCUCAAGCAAAGCACUACAGUUCUUGAAAAUCUUAGAUGCCGCUCCAAACCCAAAUCCCAUAUCCCCUCCCCCUUGCUUCUUCCCAUUCAAUUUAGACUUCUUGUUACUCUCUGCUGGUGGAAACUUGUCUUUUGCCAACAGAAACUCUGAAUUCCUGUAGAACUGAUUUGCCUUUGGCGUCCUUUUCUCUUUCUCCACAUUCUCAACUGCGCCCUGGCUAUUCUCGAACACUGAUAUACUAAGCUGAUUCAGAGGCCUAGACUGCCUAGGAGUAGGAGUAGCAAUAGGAGUAGUAAUAUCAUGAGAAAGACCUACAGAAACAACCUCUGAAUUAACCCUCUUUAAUCCGUUAUAUACCCGGUCAUUCAGAGAUACUUGCAAAUUGCUUAACUCACUGACACCAAGCUGCACUUCUUUAGCUUCAAUCUUCUUCACCAGACUCCUUACCAUAUCAAGUUCACUCUCCAACUUCCUUCUAAGCUCUUUCAUCUCCUGCUUAGACUUGGACGCCAAAUUUAUCUUCACUUUAUCAUUCAAGCCUUGCUUCACCACCCCAUUCUCAGCAGUUGCAUCCCGGCCACUAGGAGCCACCUCCGCUGCACCUUGCUGCCUAUUAAGGCUAGAAGAGUCAUCCGAAUUAGCUUCCAGGCGAGAAACAGGCUGCUGCUGGGCAGAAUUCGUGUCUUCCAAAGCCGGGGUUUGCGAUUCUGGCACUUGAAUUGAAUUGCUCUUGUUGUUCCUCUCAUCCUUAUUUAUCUUAUUUUUCUCAUUGUCCCUAUUGUCGUCGCAGUUGGCAGCACUCGCAGUUUCAGUGGUAGUAAUUGUUGUGUUCGUAAUGCUUAGGUCCACAGUGGCGUUGUUAGCGGUGGCUGUGGUGGUGGUGAGAGCAGCAGUGGCUGUGGCGGUGGUGGUGGUGAUACUAGCAGCGUUAGCGGUGGUGGUGAUGGUGGGACUGGCAGCGCUCGCUGUGGUGGUGGGAGGGGCAGGGUUCAAGGUGGCGGUGGUGGUGGGAGGGGCAGGGUUCAAGGUGGCGGUGGUGGUGGGAGGGGCAGGGUUCACGGUGGUGGUGGUGGUGGUGGUGUUGAUAUUAUUGAUGUUAUUUUUAGGUCCUUUAAAAGCUUUCCUUGUAUAAACUUUACUCUCACUAUACCUCUGUUUCUCUCUUGUAGCUGCUCCAUCAUUAUUAUUUACACCUCCUUCGCCAACUAUAGUCCCCGAAGCCAUACAUGUAACUUCAAAACCCUAACUUCUCUUCAAAUCCCAAUACUAGGGUUUUUCACCUCCCUGUCUGACCACCACACCAAAACCCUAAUUUUGCCCCAAAAUCACAGCUGAAUUAGGGCAAAAACAGACACAACAGAAACCACCAAACAAAAGCCUAAACCAGAGCUCGAAAUUUUCACGAUCUACCACUCUAAUCAAAAACUAAAUAUACACAAACAGCAAAUAGAUAACCAUCUAUCUACUACUAUAUACACAGGCUCAUAUUAGAGAAAGAUACGAUCUUUUUAGGGUUAGGGUUUCGAGCUUUUCCUUCACCUUUCUUUCUUCUUCUUUUUUUCUCCUCUCUAAUCUGGAACCGAAUCGAUCAGAUCUCCUUUUACGCUCUUUCUCUCUCUAGAAAAAAUUCUCUCUCUAAAAAAAAAACGACCCUCAAAACUAUACCCCUUAUCUUACAGGUGUACGGUUCACAUGCAUUCGUGUUUAAAAGAGUCGUGUUGGCGAAGCAUUAUGACAAAAAUCAGCAGUGCUGAACUCACGCGUGAGGCUUGUGCGUGGCAAGCAAUGACCAAUUGGAAACGAGAGAGUUUGGAGCGUGGUCUCCACGGGGGAGUAAGGUUUGUAGAGGGUUUAGUGGCGCGGAGUUUUGAUUAUGGGAUUUGAAGAGUUUGCUAAAGUGGGGAAUAUGGCGCGUGGAGUUUAGUCGCCGGGGAGGGAGUUGAGGUGUGGGCGGUUAGCAGCCGGAGAGAUUUAACACGCGCCGAUGCUUUUGCUGCUAGUUGGGAGGGUUUUAGACUUUUAGUUAGUUAAGAGGUUCAAAUUGUGACGAUGUGGCAAAUCCAGGCCCAAAUUUGAUGAUUCGAGGCGGUCACAUUUAAAAGUCAGCCAACUUUUGAGAAAUAUUUUAAAAUUAAUAAAAAAAUUAUUUUUACUGUGUAAUUUUUUUUAAAUAUGAUGUAGUUGUUUUUUAGUUUUUUUUAGUUUUUUUUUACUUGAGUAUUAUUAAAAUUAUAUUGAAAAAAAUAAAAAAAAUCAUAUUUUCUGUGUUUUUACAUAAUAGAAAUUAAAAAAAAAAAUUACACUAUAUUUUUAUAAAAAAAAUAAAAAAAAAAGAGAUAUGGAUACUUUUGUUUUCUUUUUCUUUAUAAUAACUUCAAUGCCCAAUUAAUAAAAAAUAGUUCAAGCUUUUUAAAGUAUACGAAAAGGAAUAAAGUUUAAUUUAGCUCUUUGACUUUGUAAUUAGGUUUAAUUUAAUUUUUUUUAAUUGUUUAUAGUCAAUUUAACUUCUAAACUUUAUAAAUAAAUUCAGUAUAGUUCGUUUUUAAGAGAAUGAAAUUUUACACUCAAUUUUUAAUAUAGGCUCAAUUUAGUCACUCAAAUUUAAUCCUAAGAAAUAAUUUAAAUCGUAAUUGAUUUAGUUAUAUAACUAAAUUUAUAUAUUAAUUUUUUAUAUUUUAAAUUAGUUGGUGAAAGUCAUAUGGAGGCUGAUUAAACGAUGAUAAUGGUGAUAUUAUAUUAUAAAAUCUCAUAAAUAUUUUUAUUUUAUAGUAAAAAUGUUGAUAAUUCUUUAUUGAUUUGUGAGAAAAUAAUGGCGGCGAUAGUCAAUUGGUUUUUAUGUUUUAUUGAGUUAUGGUAAUUUAAUAUAUAUGUAUAUAAUUUAAUAUUAAAUUAUAAUAUAAUUCUAAUAUCUAAUAUAUCUAUAUAAAUUAGAAUCUAAUAUAUAUAAUUAAAUUAGAAUAUAACUCUAAUCUAAUAUAAAAAUGCUAAUCUAAUAUAUAAAAUUAGAAUAUAUAUAAUAUUAUAUAAUAUAUAUAUAUAUAUAUAUAUAUAUAUAUAUAUAUAUAUAUAUAUAUAUAUAUAUAUAUUAACUUAGAAAAAGAAUAAAGUUCAAUUUGGCCUUUUAACUUAUCACUUGAGUUCAAUUUAGCCCUCAAACUUUACAGUUAGGAUCACUUUGAUGCUUUUCACGUACUUGUUAUAACGCAUGCAAUGAACUCACUUAGAAAUUGGCUAAAUUAAACUUAUUCGAAAAAUUCAUGGGUUAAAUUAGUCGUAAAAGUUAAAAAGGAUCAAAUUAAAUCUGACUAUAAAGUUUGAGGGCCAAAUUCAACCUUAUUCCUACAUGGAAAUAUCAACAAACUACUACUAGCAUACACAAUCAAAUUGCUGACAUUAAUGUUCAAAUGGCAAGAGCAUUUGCUCUUGGGAGUGAAAUGUCUCCAUUUCAGGUCAUCUUCCCCACAUUAGGUGAGCUUUCAUAUUUAUAGCGAAUAUAAAUGGAUAACUACCCUUACUAUGUAGUUUAUAGCUUGUUAAUCUUUCAAUAAAUAAAUAAAAAUACUAACAUUAUCAACUGUCACGACCCAAUCUGUAGGCCUAUGACCGGCGCUAAGAAAUGGGUAAGCUUAAGGCAACCGAAACCCAUAACAAAUCUAACUAGCUAAUGAUCUAAAUAAACACAUACAUAAUUAUAUACAACUAAUAAUAAUGCUAAUAAUAAUCAAUAAUUAUUAUUAAUCAAUUAAUGUUGUAUUUAAUUUGGACAUGACAUAAGAGCAGUUAAUUAUAUGACUUUAACUCACUGUUCUAUUGCGCUCCGCAUUAUGCUCCUACGCCUUAGGUGGAGUUGGCUGGACGAACGAAUUAUCUAUUUAUGAAAACAACUCAAUUAAUAAAAUAUUCUUAAUUUUUUCUAGAUCUAGACUCUUAAAUUAAAUUGUUUAAAAAAAUUUCGACUCGAAAAUUCUACCAAAAAUUUUAGCAAAAUCUCUUCUAAAAUAUGGGCGUUUACCCCGCGGGUCCAGAACUUUUUUAAAACACUUCAUAUAUUUCAUAUUUAUUUAAUAGAAGUCGGGCCAGCAAAACUAUAUUAUUUUUCCGACUUUGCAAUACAACCCAAUUCACAAUACAAAAAUUAAUAGUUCAGCAAAAUAAUAUUAUUAACGAUACAUCACAUAAACUUUUUUUCUUGCAUUCCAAUCAUAUGACUAAUUAAUUAAAUAAUUUAAUUAAUUAAUUAUAACUAAUAAUUUAUACAAAUUAUUUUUUAAUAAUUUUUAAAUUUUAGAUAAAAUUAUACGAAGUCGAAAUCCGAAUUUGUGAGCAUUUGGAAUAUACUUGGGGUUCAAAAGCAGGUGUCGCCAAUUGGAUUUCGAAUCUGGAAACGCUUACGCGAAUUUUGAAUUACAAGGAGUCCGAGUAUGCAAAUAUUUCUGCCGAAAACUUGCCGGAAGCCACCAGAUCGAGGUCGGAAAAUUUCGGCUCCGGUAAGGCUAUACAGAGGCUGCUGGCGGGGGACUUGGCUCGGGAGUUUUCGACCGCGGGAAGCUCGUUUCUAACGUCGGAUUCGCAAUGUAAGGGCGGCAGAAGGCUGCAGUUGCAGUCGUAGCAAGGAGGAGGGUUUCCUUCCUCCAAAACUAUGUUGGCAGUAAAAAGGAAGAAGGAGGAGGCGAUGUCAGUGAGGGAAGGAGAAGAAAAAAGAGUUUGCGGCGGCGACAGAGAGAGGUGGCAGGCGGCGAAAAUGGGAAGGAGAAGGAAGAAGAGGGUGACGGGGAGGGAAGAGAAAGAAGAAGAGGGAAAAAAUUUGUUAUGCGUGUGUGUUUUUUAUAUUUAUUUUUUAUCUUUUUUAUUAUUUAUUUAUUUAUAAAUAUAAAAUAUUAAUUCAUCAAUAAUUAAUAUGAUAUAAAUUUAAAAAUUUAUCAAAUUACUCUAAUAAAAAUUAAAGUAAUUAAAAUUUGAAUUCAGGAAUAUUACAUCUACUUUUUUCAAUAUUUUUUCUUAUUUUCUUUUAAGAAAUUUUAGAGUCUAUAAGCAACCGUUAUUCUAUUAAAAACAAAGUUAAAAGAAAAGAAAUACAAUAAUUGUUAUGUAAAAAUCCCAUUACAGAUAUUAAACCCAUAUAAAAAUGCCCUGGGACAAUUGUUAAAGAAAAGGAUCUACAAACAAUAAGUAAUAGAGGCAAAUAAAUAGAUAGAAGAGGCAGGAGCAAACUGCAAUAUAAAUACAUAUUGAGAAUUUACUUAUGAUAACGUCAAAUAAAUAUGUAUUUGAAAUCUAUUUAUUUCUUCUAAGUGUAAUUUUAUUAUGUUGUAAUGCCAUGUGUUAUUACCAAAUUUAUAUAUGGUAGCUGCUUUAAUAUACUGAUUGAAACUAAGAGACUCAUUAGAAAAGUCCAUGAACUGUAAUCUUAUAAUCUAGAACCAACAUGAGUAGCUCUUUUUAAUUGAUCUUGAAAUAUGUGGCAGUUUAAGUAUGGAGUUAAUUAAAGGAAAAAUAAUAAAAAUAUUUAUUUUUUAUUAAAUUUUUCUAUUAUAUAUUAAAAUAUUAAAAAUAUAGUUUUUUUUAUCUUUUCUUUUUUAAAAUUACAGUUUUGAUUGUUUUUUGAUUUUUAUUUUAUUAUUUUUUGACAAAAUAACUAAAAAUAAUAAAAAAUAACUAAAAAAAUUAUACCAUAUUUAAAAAAGUUAAAGAAUAAUACUUUUUAAGAAGAUUUUACACAGGAAAAAUCAUUAUUUUUUAUUGAUUUUAAAAGCUCUCUUGAUUAAACAAUAAAAGUUCAGGGGCCAAAUGACGCAUUUGCCUUGUGACAAUUAGUUUGAAUCAGGUUAUUGUGGGCCUUGGACAUUGAAUAUAGGAAAAGUAAAAAUUCGUAUAAUGGGCUUACACCCAUUAAAUGGGCUUUCUUGUCUGACAAUUCUUACAUCUUUACAUUGGACCUACUGGGCCUAAUCUGCUUUGGUUAUUGCUAUGUGUAAUCUCAUUUUUUUUUUCUCAAAUUUAUUAAAAAACUAAAAAAAUCUUAUUUCUUUCGUGAAUCAAUACUAUAAAGAAAAAAAUUACACGCCUGAAAAUUAUAGGCUCAUAUAUAUAUAAUAAAAACAUCAUUACUUAUUAUUGUUAAUGAUUAAGUUUUUUGACUUUCAAAUGUAAAAAAUAAUUAAAAUACGUCUUAAUUAUUUAAUAUUUUAAAAUAUUUUUAUGAUAUAUUUAAUACUUAUAUUGUUGAACAUAUUUUAAUAGAUUCAAAUAAUUAUUAUUAAAGAAACGUAUAUUCAGAUGUCGUUUGUAAAUGAACACUUGAUAACCUAUCCUUUUGGUUAUUACAAGAUUAUGUUAGUGAUUAGUUAUUUAAUCUAACUGUUUAAGAAUGUAAGAAUAGAUUUCUAUUGUUAACUCUUAUUAAUUGUCAAGCAUAUUUUCUCUACAAAUAGAAGACUUUUAUGGCCUUUGACACCUCUCCAAUCCAUUUUUAUUUAUUUCUCAAGAAACUAAUUAAAGAAAUAUUCAAUUAUUCUCAUUCAUCCAAAUAAAAAGAUUUAAACACUAUUUUCCUAUUCUUUUUCUUGUAUUCACCUAAAAUAAAAUAUAAUAAAUCAUUUCACCUCAAAAUAAUAAAAAGAGAUAUAAUACGUUUUCUAAAAAAAAAUAAAAAUAAUUUUUAAUAAUAAAUUGAGUUUCAAGACUGGAAAUUAUAUAACUACCCUCCAUGUACUAAAUCUUUUAAAUGAAUGGCACUCUACACUUGAUUGAUGAGAAAGUUAUAACUAUUUUCUCUGUUGAUUCAACAGUUGAUGCAAUCAACCCAGAGAAAAGAAAAUACUUUAAAGAUUGAACAUGAUAGCCACUUAAACGCAAAAGAUUUUUCCUUUAGCAUGAAUUCUCCAUAAAAGAGAAAACAAAAGAAGAGAGGGACAUAUAACAAAAUACAUUAAGAUAAAAUUGAUAAAAAAAAAGAAGAAGUUAUAUCAAUUAUCGGGGACUCUCGCAUGUCUUAAGUUGAAUAUGAAAACUGAACCAAAUUUCAUAAGAACAGAUAUGGUUUCGAUAUAAAACAAAUUAUAUCAAAGGCUUCAAACAUGAUGAUGAGGAUCUGGUCCUCCAGGCGAAACCCUAUCUCCCGAAGCAUGAAGGGCAGACAACUUCUGAUAACGCUUGAGUUUGGAGAGAUCAAAACCUAACUCAUGUAAAAGGAAGCUGCUGCUGCUGGCAUCUCUAUCUUUUUGCAUGGCCUGUUGCACUUUGAGAAUACGUGCUUGACAACCCAAGAAAAGUAUUGAGAACAUUAUUAUCAAGAAAAGUAACACCGCACCCUUAAGAGAUAACGUAUUCUUGGCCAUGAAAUCAAUGAAGAAGUUUAUGAUUAUAACUAGAUAGCUAAAAGAAGAAUGAAAGGUAGUAGUUGUAGGCUGCAUGGCAUUAGGGUUUUUAUAACCCUAUUUACAUACAGAACAAACGAUCAAAAAGCAAAUUAAUAACAAGACAAAAGAUAGUGGGAUAGGACAUGUAUGACAAAGGGGAUUGUCUUUUUCUUUCCUCCAUUUUUAAAACAAUGAAGCUUUUUUAUGAUCUGGUGCUAUGCCUCAAGACCCCAUUAAUAGCUCUUGAAAAAGGAAGAGAGUAAGAGGGUGGUCUAGUCAUCUUAAGAAUUCAUCUUUGCUCUUGUCAACACACCUGGAUUCGCAUCCGAAUUGUAAAUUAAAUUAACAAAGAAACAUUAGAGUAAUAGGACAACAAGUAAUGCGAAAGGAUUGUUGUUUUGCUUAAAUAGUGGUUAAUUAAUGCUUUUGAACAUUUCAGGAAAAGAAAUCUAUAUCUAUAAAUGUAGUGCCCACAUUGGAUUAAAGUUGGGAUGAGUCCUAAUCCACAUGGUUCCACAUAAAAAAGGAUAUCCGAACUGUCCUGUUGUCCUGUCCAUGUGUACAGUUAUCCCUUUGAGUGCUUUGAAAAAAUAAUUAAAAAUAUUAAAAAAUAAAAAUAUUAAUUUAUGAAUUUAUAAUGUAGAACUAAAAUUAAUAUAUUUUAGUGCAGGUUCACAUAUAUAUUUACACAUUAUUUGAUGAAAAUUUAUUAAAACAUUUAUUUCAUUUAAAAAAAAGACCUGAGACAAAUAAUAAAAUAAAAAUUUUAUAAAAAAUAUUUUAGUGUUAUAAAAUAUAUUGAUUUAUUUAAAAAAUUUAUCUAUUUUAUUAGUAUUUAGUUUAGCUAUAAAAAAUUCUAUAAUUUUAAUUAGGUAGAAUUCUAAAUCAAUUUUCAUUUUAAUUAAAACAUAAAUUCUAAAUUUAUAAAUUAAUUCUAUAAAUUUCAUGAAUUUCAACUGGACACUAUGUUAAAGUUAAUAAAUAAUUAUAAAAAAAAUUUAUACAUUAAAAAUAUAUAAAUUCAAUACUUGGUCUUCAAUUUCUAUAAGUGUUCUCUUUAUGACAAAAAUAAUCCUAAAUAAUUUCUGAAGAUCUUCCCACAUCAACAAGGAUUAAAUUAACUUGUUUUGCUUGUUCAUUAUUAGUUUUUCUUGUAAUUGUUCAUUAGUGAUUAUUAAGGACCAUCUUAUCAAAAUUUAUUUAUUGCUCUAUAUAAUAGUAUCCACUGUAAUUUUUUCUAUCAAAAUCUUAUUAUACUAAUAAAAUAAUUAUGUAAUUAAAUAUUAAUUAGAAGAGGAUUACAUUGUUUCUUUUGUUGUAUGUAUGGUUAUCCAAUAUCUAACCUAUCAUUUCUGAUUUGGGAGAUCUUAUUAAUGAAGGAAAAAUAUAUCUUAUUAAAUUUAUUCGUAGAAAGAUACAUAUAUAUAGGCCACAAUGUGCUGCCUCAUUUUAUUUAUAUUUAAUGUUUUCCCUUUUAUAUAUUUUCUGUUUAUUUAAAUUUAGUACUCAAGUUUAGGAUUGAGAUUCUCCUGUUGAUUAAACAUAGCUACUAAUCAAUAGAGCCAUUUAAAAUUUUCAAUUUGCAAUUGGGAUAGAUUUAAGUAAUGUUAUUCUGAAUACCAGCUUUUCUAUAGUUUAUUGUUGGGAAAUUACAAUUAAGUCCUUAAAAUUUAGCACAAUAUAUACUGUGAUCCCUGUAUUUUGAAAAAUAUCACAUGCCUUUUGUUCCCAAUAUUUGUAUAUGACUCGAUACUUUAGUCCUUCUAUAUAUAUUUAUAAACCCUUAACUUACCCUUAAGUUGGCUACUUUUGUAAAUUAAAAGUUGAAGUGUGUUUCACUAAACAUAAAAAUUAAAUAAAUUACCCAUAUAUGAUUUUUAUCUCAGGUAAUUUGGUUAUAUCACCUCUUGUUAAGAGUUAAUUUUAUUACCAUUGAAGUUUCUAAAAUUAAACAUGCUAAACCUCAAGAAUUUAGUCAUAUGUUUCCCCUAAUGAUUUGGUUUAUACAAUCUUAACCAGUAUACCAAAAGAAAAAAAAUAGUAAUAAUUGCCUAGUUAUUAAAUAAAUAAAUCAGCGACAGAUAUUUUGAGUAUUUUAUAUUAUAGAAAUAAUAAACUUCAAAUCCAUAUAGUUACAUUCAUCUAUCUACCAAAUACAAUAUUGGAGGCAAAAGAAUUUCUAAUAAUUCAUAUGUUUUAGAAUCAAAAUUAAGAGAUUUAAGAAGUUUUACAUAUAUGAUUCAAGACCCAACAGUACCCUUCAAAUCAAACUGAGCUGAAAAUUCUGUUUUGCAAAUUCUAUUCUUUUGGACAAUAGUUAAAGGUAUACUACUUCUUAAUGGGUUUUCCAUAAACUAGGACAAACCUAUUAUCAAACAGGAAGGCCACAAACCCUAAUGGAAAUCCUAUUCUGAAUCUACAAAUGUCGGUUGAUUUCUUUGGCAGUUGUAAACAAUUGUCAAUUGAUCUCUUUAGAUUGACAGUUGCAAAUGGAUAGUGUUCCUUCUGACCAAAGAAAAAUUAUAUCUAAAAGUCAGAGUUAUAUUAAAUAGUUAAGCAUAUAACAAUUUGACAAGUAAAAAUGAUAGUCUACACAUGGAAAAUGACAAAUUCUCCAUUAAAAAAGCUUAUGUUACCCAUUCUCAAGCUUGAUAGGUCAAGCUUGAUUUUACCAUUAAUAUCUCAUCGAAAAAUGAUAAAUUAUUAAGAAUAUAAUUCUUUUUAUAUAAUUGCAUGUGGGGCUGCUAAAUUAAUUUAAAAGGAAUAAGAAAAGGGAAGAAGCCAGGGCUGAAUUUUUGUUCUGUAUAAGCUUCGGUCUAUAAUCAAUACAAAGAAAGGCGUGGCUCCACGUAAGGUCGUGUGACCUUGUAAUUGGAUUUUGCCCUAGCUAGUGAUAUUCAUGUGGUUGUAAAGCAAAAAGAAAAAAAAAAAAAAGAAAAAGAUUUAAUUUGCACCAUGCAUAUUCAAACCCAAUGGUUCCAUCAGAACAUGAGUCUAAGAAUUAAUAAUGUGGAAUAUAACAAUGAUGUUUUUCUAGUGAAUUACAUGUGAGAUUGCAUUUAUUUUAUUGUCGGAUUUAAUUCGGUACGAGGUUGAAAUAAUUCAUCAUUGAUAAUCAAUUAUCCAAUAUUUCUUUUUAUAUGCAUAUAUCUAAAAUAUAUAAAAAUUGAAUACAAAGAGAUCAGUUCGAAAGAGAAUUACUACUUUCACAUUAGAGAUGAAGGUGCCAAAAUAUGAUAUCGCAAAGGUCAUUGGUUUUGAGCUAUAAAAGGAUUCAGAGCACUGAAACCUUAUCAACGAGGAAAGUUUUUCAUGCUUUCUACAACUUACAUGCUGCAAAGCCACUUUCAACACCAUGUAUACUUAUGCUCAAAACCUUAACUCUUUCUGUACGAAGUACUGUUGCCGCAUGCAUACGUUUCCCAACUUAAGAAUAGACUUCAUCUAUGAAGAUUGCAACAACCAAACCUAGCUUUCAUGGCGAUGUAAUGUACAUAAAUAUUAGUUUCGAAAGGGUAAGUUAAAGUUUAGUAAAAGACAAAAAGAAAGGUAAGUUAAAGGUAGUAAACUAAUUAAGGUGGUGGGAGAAUUGACACCAAAUUUUGCAAUUGUAUCCCUAUAUAUAUAUAUAUAUAUAUAUAUAUAUAUAUAUAUAUGCAGAUUUCAAUAUACAGACACGUCCCAAGCCAACAAGGAGACUAUUAAUAAUAUUUACUAAAAACAAGAAAAGGGAAUAAUUUUAGUUAGUGGUAUAAGCAAAAAUUUGUCAUUUUACGUUAAUGCUUUUGUUUCAUUGGAAGAAGAUGAUCAUGGAUGACAGAUGAUUUGACUUCAGGAUGAAAAGUUUUAAGAUUUACUAGAAAAAUCAGAUAUGUAUCACGAUUAAAUAUAUGCAGACCUCUAACAUAUAUAUAUAUAUUUAUAUAUAUAUAUAUAUAUCUAUUUAUUUGGAUCCUUUAAAGUUUUACAAGAAAUGUUUUACGUUGUUGAAUCAGACAUAGUUUUGCUCUCCUCAGUCAAAAAUUUGAUUAUCUUUUUUUUUUCUUUUCUUUUAUAAACCAGAGUCCAUUAUAUUGAUUUAGGAAAAGCAGAAGUAACACAACUUGUAAUGAGAGCAAACUAAACCUGGCCAAUAGGCCAUCCCUUAGACAUCCAACCUGCCAUAUAUUCAAACUCUUUGAUUCUUUUUAGUUACUUUUUAUUCUAAUUUAGUGGUAAAAGGAGACAAAUUUAUCUAUGAUAAGGCGCUAGGAUUCAAAUUUCAAUUUAAGCAUAAGCACAUUUGUCAGAGUUUUUGAAAACCCUAGCUCUCCUCAAGUUACGUAAUACAUUAAAAAUCUUAUUCAAGGGUUUAUGCUUAUUUGUCAAUUGGGGUAAAAAAUCAUACCCAAAUUCGGAUUUUCCUUUACUAUGCGAUCUUCUUCUUGUAAUUUUGGGUUUUACUUUUCAAUCAAACAUUAUUUUCUUACAUUUUUCAUGACUAAUAAUCAAUUUGAGAUUGACCUUUACUAAGAUUUCUUCAUUUUUACUUGUUUUAGUACAUAGGACCUUCAUAGAUGAUCUAAUCAAUUGGAUCUUGUUAAGGAAAAAAAGUCUAGUGCAAGUAAGUCACCAUCAUUAAGCUGUAUUUAUAGUGAGCAAAUGAAGAAAAUCCCGCAGAAACUAUAUUUAUAUUUAUAGAACAUCUUCCAAAGUGAAGUUAAUAUUUUGAGGAAAUUAUUUUAAAAAGGAAAAUACAUGAGAUUUUACAUGAAGUAAGAAAUUCUUUUUUAACAUUUGAAGUGGGUAAUCCAUUUUAAUUCUUCUAUAAUUUUGAAAGAAUACAAGAUCUUAGUUUCAUGUAUAAAUUAUAAUAAGUUGUUCUUCCUUUAACAAUUGACUUAAAGAAAAUGAAGGACAUCGAAACUUAAGGGAGCCGGAUCCGUUUAUAAUUAUGCCACUUUUCCAGCCAUUUUUAUUUUUUAUUUUUUAUUUUUCCUUAAUAGCAGAGAGUAGUUUAAUUAAACUUGUGGCAUGAAAGACUCUAUAUUAUUCAAUCAAUUAUGGCGUUACAGCAAAACAAUGGUUACCAGAUGCAUAUUUAAGAUCUCAAAGAGCUUCCGGGGGUAAUCAAAACUUAAAGAGCAGAUUUAUGUCCGAAUAAGUGGUAUUUCAAUCUGAAAAAGAAAAUAAUUUUAGAAUCACUACGACAUAAAUAAUUAAUUGGACAAGAAAAAGCAUUAUCAUCAGAAAAUAUAUAAAAUGGAAAUUUUAUUGGUAACGAAUGCAUUAGAGUGUCAGUUAGCUUUAAUAAAGCAAUUGUAUGCAUUAGGGUACUGGGUUCUACGCAUAUAAUUAGUUAACAAAUUCUAUCGUAAAUUACAAGAUAAACAGGAAACCAAAGAUGCAUUCUCAUUCUUCAGAAAAUAUUUGAUAUAUAUUUCUUUUAUUGCAAGACAAGCUCCUCUUACUACAUGUACGAGGUUGCAGUAUUGUCUCCGUUCCGCAGAAUAAGCAACAGUAGCUUUAUUUUAGUAUGCUUCAUAUAUAAUAUAAUAAGCUAAUAGCAUGCAGCAUAUUCAAAAGCAGCAAAGUCUCUGCAACCAAACACAUACACUUAAGUAUAAGGUACUGAUCAGUUAGGCUUUCCAGGAGAAUGAGAGUGAUGUUCAGGAUCUGGUCCUCCAGGUGACAGUCUAUCAGUAUCUGAAUUUAGCCUGGAAAUCCUUCUAUGGUGCUCCAGUUUUGAUUCAGUAUAUCCCAUGUCACGUAAAAGAAGCCGGCUGUUGAGUUCGACUCUUGCCUCAGACCUCAUGAUAAGUAUCAUGAACACAAUCAUGGACAGAAUUAGAAGACAUUUUGCAGUUGAAUUAGCCAUCCAAUGCUAGCUUGUGAGGUAUAAAGUUGUUUUUGAAAGAGAGGCUAGACAACUGAAAGCUAGUAUUUUAUGACUACUACACCUUGUAGAAAGCUUGAACUUGACCCUAAAUCUGAAAAACAAUAUUUAUGGCAAGACCAGCCAGUUUGAACAGUUAACAGAUAGUUAGGACUCUGAAGUAAAGAUGAGCAAGAUAGCUAAAGGGAGUGACUAUAUUUAUAGGCUUAGACGCAGAGAUAGUUUAGUAAUAGUGGAGAUAAAAUUAAGUCACUACAUUUUGUUGUUUGAAUUUAUUUUUUCUGUACAAACUUUAUCAUUUUAUUUUUUUAUGUUGGUAAUGGUAUAAAAGGAAAACAUAAGUACCUAAGAAUAUGCAUAAACUUCUAUUUUAAAUUUGGAGAUUUCUGUAAAGGUGGUGGCUGUGCUCUCCCAUUUCAUUACCUCCGAACCACUAAAAACAAAUGAAACCUAUUUCCUUUGGACUGCUUCUUUCUUCAAAUGACACGGGGAAGAGUAAUGUCUCUACGCACCAAUCAAACAAACUGUAAGUUCAGACAGCUUAGUCUCCAUUGUUGUCUUAAUGGAGCACUCCUAGGACGGUGGUCAACAAAAAUUCUGUAAGAGGAUAUGGUCCUCGAUUACCUCUCUUUCAGGAAUAUGGGUUAGCAAGCUUGUGAGUGAAUCCAUAAUGCCCACACUUUCAGGUGUAUCAAUUAAUCCUACUUGACACAGUCACAUCACAUUGAUUCAACAAAGUUCAUGGUAGCAAGUAAAAAGAAGGUAUAAACAUAAUUCUUUGGAAGCCACUUAAACUAUCAUUUUCCCUUUCCCACCAAUUCGCCACAUCCGGAUUAAUUUGACUCAGGAACAUAAACUAUUCCUAGUGUCCCUUUCCAAAUGGUCAGGGACAUCCAUAAAAAUUAAUAUCUUAUUUCAGAUAUAUUACUAUAAUUCCUUAUCAUUAUUCUCAGACUUUUCAUGCCAGCAAAGGUGGAGAAUCUCAAGAAAAUCCAAAUAAUACAGACACAAAUAUCAGCAGGGAUUCUACAUGGUAAACUAUAUAGGAGAAUUUCACAUGAUAACUGUUGGAUAUAAUCAAAAGUCUAAUUAGAAUUAAGAAGUUUUAAACAUAAAGAAUAGUUAAAUGUGUAGAUCUAACCUAAUCUUAUCCACGUCACUAGAUUAACUUUAUGUGCUAAAGUAGAUAAUCUAAAUGUUGUCUGCAAUUUUUUUAUAAAUAUUCUAUCACAAAGCAGAUGAGAUUUUUCCCGUUUCAGUUGUAUUCAUUUCUUUUGUGUUUCAUCUUUAUUUCCACUAUUCUUUCUUAGUCCUGCGCACUACUAGCAUACCUGAAGUAGCUUGUAAUGAGUUUCUAGUAAUUUUCCAGAAAUAUACAUCUUUCCAAAGAAAAUACAGCUAAGAAGAAGUUGAUAUCCGAGGCCUUUUUAAAGGUUAAUCUUGCAGAUCUUUCUAUCCCGAGGAACAAACAAAAGUCUGGUGACCAUCUUCUUUUUCUACUUCUCAAAAUACCACUCCAUUAAACUUUAAAUGUAUAAAUAAUUGACUGUUAAGCUGUUUUAGAAGUAACUUAUCCUCAGCUGAAACUCAUACCACAUUCUUGUAACAGUAAUUUUUUCCUGGUGAUACAUGAACAUACUUUCAGGUUAGCUUAUCAGGGGUGCUUAUCCGUUCAUUGCAAUUCUGAAAUUUUUCCUUCAAGAUCUACUUUACGAACAGCGUACCAAGAACAAAAAAAUCAGAUAUCUUAAAUCUUGUCAAUGUAAAUUAAACCAUGUCUGUUUAAUAUAAAAUACAGAAGACGAUCAAAUACUCAAUAUAUCUGGAUAAUCGGGUAGCCUUUCGCAUAAAUUGAAAACAAGAGCAGGUGGCCCAAACUGAGGUGUUUGUUUGAAGCUUGAGGCAAAACUUUAGUUUUUGGCGUGCACGUGCAUAAGGAACAUUCUGUGGUUGCUGUCCACAAAGUACGAGUCGUCACCGCUUCUGCUUGAUUAAUAUUACAAAAGUACAGGAUGACCAUAGGCAAAUGUGGCACCUGACACCAAGCUGAGGAGAAAGAAGAAGAAAACUUUUUGGUAAAUCCCCAGUGGUGUUUGGCCUCCAUGCCCAUCACGUGAGCUUAGAUCAGCACCACCGGCCAAAAUAAACAAUCCGCCUUGGAACAAACAGACCUUGACAACAAGAACUUAAAGUCAAAUCCAAAGAACCCAUUGAACAAAUUUUAAUUUACAUGUCUAAUUGCUCCAUCCCCUUUCCUCUCACAACAUACUAUUGGUCGAGAUUUAAGUUUAUGUUACUAUUAACUGAUCCUCUUUACUUCUGUAUUUCUUGCAUCCUUCAAGAAAAGUCCGCCAUAUGAGAGCAUUUGGUGGGCAAGGCAUGCUGGAAAUUACUUUCUCUGCUUCCUUAACAUGUCCAUGCCUGGAAAAUAAAUCCACAAGACAAUGGUAAUGAUCCAUUUCUGGUUCAAGACCAUAACUCUUCAUUUUCUUGAACAACUCAAUCCCUUCUCCCACCAAUGCACCGUGUCUGCAUGCUGUAAGCACUGCAAUGAAAGCAACCUUAUCAGGUCUAAGCCCCUGAUGUUCCAUGUCUUUGAACCUUUCUAAUGCUUCAUGGGCACAGGAAUUGAUUCCGAGGGCUGAAAUUAGAGCUGUCCAUGUGAUUAGGUUUCUAUCUCUCAUACUGUUAAAGAUUUUAACUGAACUCCUGAGGCACCCACAUUUUCCAUACAUGUCUAGCAAUACAUUGCAGACAAAUGUAUCACAUGAACUGAAAUUAUUCUUUAUGAGGAAACCAUGGAUAGAACUACCCAAAGCAAGAUCGCAGAUUUGACUAGAUGAACUUAGAAGACUAACAUAAGUAUAAUUAUCUGGAUGAAUUUGAGCCACGAGCAUUUGUUUGAAAAGUUCAAAAACCUCUUUAUAAUUACCAUUGCGAGCGCAAGCGGCAAUGGCAAUGUUCCAAGAAACAUUAUCUGGCUCUUCAAGCUGAGAAAGUAACUCUAAUGUUUUAUAGUAAUGUCCAGCCUUGUUAUAAAUUCCUGCAACAUUGUUAGAAGGAACAGCAGCAAGUGGAGUUUCAGAAGCUGCAAGAAAGACCAGUGCAUCAGAAAUGAGACCAUUCCUUCCAUAUGAGGUAAUAAGGGAACUUAAUACAUAGUCGUUGUUGUCAUAGCCCAUUCUUAUAAUUAGACAAUGAAGCUGCUGCAGCUCUAAAAUGGAUGAUGAUAUAAGAACAGCUGAAAAUGAAAACUCAUUGGGCUGGUAUCCACAUUGAAGCAUUUCCACCAGCAAAGAAAUAGCAGCAUAAGGGCAUUUAUUUGCACAACCCAGAAUUAAAGAAUUCCAAGAAACCACAUUCUUCUCAUGAAUUUUGACAAAACAGCACCUGGCAUCAUCCAAUUUAUCACAUUUAGCAUAAUAGUCCACCAAGGCACUACCCACAUAAACAUCAGUAUCAAAAGCAUGCAUGAUUACUUUAGCAUGGAUAAAUUCUGCAUACAUUGGAAUCUGUAAAUUAGCACAAGAGCUAAUGAGACUCGCAAAUGUUAUCUGAUUAGGCCUGAUUGCAUCCCUCGGCAUUUUAAAGAAAAGCUCUAAAGCUUUUAUAGGCUUCUCACUUUUUGCCAAUGCAACAAUCAUAGUAUUCCAUGUCACAAUGUCCUUACAAGCAGCCUCCUCAAACUUUUUCUCUGCUAGGUGUAAUGUCGCACAUUUGACAUACACACUGAUUACAGAAUUCACAACUGAAACUGUGUAGUCAAACCCAGUCUUAGUAACUAAACUAUGUAUUUGUUCUCCAAAUUCCAAAUAUUUCCCACAUACUAAUCCAGAUAAGACACCCACAAAAGAACAUUCAGAUAAACAACAACCUAUUUCCCUGUGGAGCUCACAGAAAUAAAUAAUACAAUCUUCCACAUAGCCAUGUUGUCCAAAUAAACAUAUUAUAGAAUUCCAUGUCACCAAGCUCUUAAUAGGCAAAUCCUCAAAAACAUGCAAUGCCUCAUUUAACCACCCCCACCUUCCAAACACAUUCAAUAAAGCAGUACCCACAAAAGCAUCAAUAUAAAACAGCCCAUUCUUCAUCGCCAAUGCCUGCAAUUGAAGCCCAAUCGAAAGAUCCAUUUUUGAACAUGACAAUAACCCAGACAACGUGAAGUUAUUGGGCCGAAACCCACAAUCUCUCAUCCGAGAAAAAACUCCCAAAGCUUCUUCUAAAUAACCAUACUUACAAUAAGAAGUGAUAAUCGAGUUAUAGGAUGCAAUACUUCUUUGGGGCAUAUUGUCAAACACCUUACGUGCGAGGGACAAUUCACUGAAAGAAGUGUACAGAGAAAUAAUAUUGUUGAAAAGAUAAGCGGGUUGAUUUGGGUUAGGACCAAGUGUGAUAGUGAGUGCAUGGAGAGGUUUUGUUGUGGCAAGGGAACGAGCCCUUGUGCAGGCAUGGAGAAGAUAAAGAAGACGGUCAUGGUUUUUGAUGAAAUCACCAUGGAAGGUCAUGUAGCGCGGGAAAUAAACGAAACUAAUAUGAUUUGGCGAUUGAAUUACACAUAUGCUAUUGCAAUGUUAGCUUCGAAACGACGUCGUUAUAAAGUAAUUGUUUAAUUUUAGCACUUUCUUUUUAGCAUAAAUGAAGCACUGAUCAAUAAUAUGCGGAUAAAUUUAGUUUUUUUCUUAAAAAAAAAAGUAAUUAACUUAAAGCAAAGAUUAGUCAAAACGGAGCACCCGUUUAUAUUCUGUUCUGUCUAAAUUUGUUGACCUUUUUUCAACUGAAUCGACAGCAUGUCAUCGGCCUCUGAAAAGGGCAUAAGAUUCAAUUUGGCCCCUAAACUUAUUGUGUUAGGCCAGAUCACCCCCUUUUAACCCUCUUUUUUUACUAUCUAAUAGUUAAUGCAUCCAUGUCACACUCUUGCUUUUUAAUAACUAAAUUAAAAGAUUCUCUCUUUCCUAAGUCAUGAAGAUCAAAAGGUGCUUCUUUCUAGUUUCUUUGAUUUUGAUAUUUCCAUCUUCAUUUAAUUAAAUCUUGAAAAUAGCUUCAUCUUAUUAAAAUAUCAUGGAAUAAAAAAGAAUCAUUUGAAUAGGUACAAUUUUUACAAUUGACCUUGUAUCCCUCAUUUUCUGGCCAAAAAUCUAAGGGCCUAUGUAAUGAUAAUGAUAACUUAAGCAUUCAUCCAUCACCGGACAAAGAAAUAAUAAUGGCUUAAGGUGUUUUUGAUUGGAUGUACUGAAAUAAUGAUAAUAAUUGAAUGUACCGAAAAUUCUAAGUAUAUAAACUGAUCAAAAGAUUCAUAAGUUAUUAUUUAAGACAACCUGAUCUGACUAGCAUUUGUUUUUAGAACUGUUAUAAGAGUUUUAUGAUUAUUCAUUACAUGAAUGUUAAGUUUUCUCUUUAUGAAAAUAAUAAAUAAAAGAAAAAAUAAAAUCGACAUUUAAAUAAUCAGACUUGUCAAAAAAUAUCUAUAAAUUUGAUAUAUGGUUUAGUGCCACUAAAUAGAGUGUUCUUUUCGUAAAAUUACAAUUUAAUGCUCUGUCAACACGAUUGGUGAUUAUUAUGAACAAAUUUUUUUAUUUAUAUUUUUUAAUAUUUAAUAUUUAAUAUUUAUUUUUAUUUUAAAAUGUACUUAUUAUUUCUUAAAAAUGAAAUAUUUAUAUUUAAAAAAAAAAACUCAAUUGCCUUUUUUUUCUUUAAAGAAAUGAAUGAAACCAUUUGCUAUAAAAUAACAAAAAAAAGAAGAAGAAAAAGGUCAUACCUUUUAUACUUUCACCUAUUAUAUGCAUGUCAAAUCGCAUAAUUGCAUGUUACUCCAUCAUUUGUUUGUCUUUAGGUCCUUAGAGAGCGUCAUGGACUUGUUUUGGACACAAGAUAAUAAUUAUGUAAUAGUUCUAAACUCAAAUGCUUCCGAAAGUAUCAUUUUUUUUAAGGUACAUUUUUACUCCAUUAAGCACAAAAGAAGACAUUAUAUUGUUCCACUAAUAACGUACGGCACAUGCCAGACAGUUGCAUUAAUUAGCUAGAAGUUUGAACACAAAACAAAAGAAAAAGAAAAAGACAAAAAGCACAAAAAUGCCUUCCAAUUAAGUUUCAGAUUUUUUUUGACUCAUUCGAAAUUCAUUAACUUCUAUAAAAUAUCUAAUUAAAUUUUUAUUCUUUUUUCUAACCAAUUAAAUCCAUUAACUUUUAUAAUAGGUCCAAUUAACUCAUAAUACUAAUAGCAUCUAAAAUAUUCUUAAAUGUAAGGGUUCCAUUAUUUNNNGCCUCCUUCUUGAAGUGUAUAUAUUGUAGUUUUAUUUCAAAAAUAUAUUGGAGGUGGUAGGAUGUAAUCUAACUCAACAACUUAUAUGCACUCUCUACGUACAGGUGAGUGUGAUGAAGAAGAAGAAAUGGCUUUCUCUCCUUCACGUGAUAUAAGCGUGACUUUAAAAUAUUUAGAUCGGUUAUUAUUUGCACUCUCAAAAUAAUAAGACCCUUGCAUUUAAUGAUAUUUUAAACGCUGUUAGCAUUAUGAGUUAAUUAGAUCUUUUAUAAAAAUUUAAUGGAGCUAAAAAUUAAAGUGAAAACUUAAUUGGAGUUCUUAUAAAAAUUAGUGGGCUUAAUUGAGCAAGAAAAAAAAGGAACUUAAUUAGAAUUUUCUAAUAAGUUUAAGGAUAUUCUUGUACCUUUUACCAAAGAAAAAAAGAAGAAGAAAAAGGACAGGAAAAGAAGUUGAAAUUAGAUUCAAAAGUCAAAUGAGUAAUUGACAACAUAAACUGAACCGAUCCUUAACAGAACAUCUCUCUGCCUCAGGUUUCACGGGUUUUUCUAAUGAUGUUUUGCGUCAGGACCUCCUGGACUUAGCCUUUUGGACUGGCGAAAAUAUCGGGAGAACUCUUCAUCGUUCUCUAGUCUCACCUUGAAUGCUUUUGAUAUUUCUUGCAAUUCUUCAAGAACUCUUGUUAAUUUUUUGCUCUCCUGAUGAUAGUAGGGCACAAGAGGUCUACUAUCUGAUCUGGGAAAUGUAAGCAAUAGCAUAAUAAGGCAUGCCCAAAACCUCAAACUUGCCAUAAUGCAAUACUCGUGUUUUUAGUUCUGCUAUGUACUCUUCUUGCUCUCAGAACUAGUUGUGUAGCAAUUCAUUCCAAGAACACUUCUAUAUAUAUAGUUGAUUCAACUCUCCUCCCUAAUCCAUUUAUUUAUAUUUAUAAACGAAGUGGAAAUCAAACAUUGGAGCUACCCUUUCUUUGUUUUUUUGUGCUCAGCAGCCAAUACUGAUUCAGAAAUGAGCCGUCUGAUUCAUUAAUUAAGGUAUAGAAUUUCUCAAGGAAUGGAAUAUAUACCUAGGAGAUUCAAAAAAUUCAGAAGGGUGUUUUCUUUUUUGAGGAUUCAAUAAGUUCUUGACCAUAGUUGAGUAUCUAGUCAUCAGUUGCCUAUUAAUUUUUUGUCCUAAGAGUUUACCACUUUCUCAUGAUGAAGAGCUCAGACCAAUGGAGAUCAUAUUCUACCUCUUAUGAACUUUCUGGAUCUCGAAAGGACAGAUGCGUUUUUGGAUUCUUCUGAAAAAGUACUAACCCUUCAAUGCAUAUCAAUAUUACAUGAUGUCAAGAACUUUUUGAGUUUAUUUUGUUUGUUUUAGCCUUUUACUAUAGCCAGAAACCUUUUAUUCCUUGUAUUCUUAUGUGCAUCAGCUAGUGUUGAAUUUUGGUGACUAAGGCAGCCACUUAUCAGCAAUUAAAUGCAAGUAAUGUUGCAGAACGCAUGCACAAAAGCGCACAGAAUUGGCGAAAGAAAGAGAAGGGAGAUUGCGAUUUGCAAGGAUUAAGGUUGAAUCAUUUGAAGUUGUUGAAUAAUGUACGGAUUAUUUAUGCAUCGGAUGUAUAAAAAUAUUUACAGUGUAAAAGAGUAAAUUUAUUAACUUAAUUGAAGUCACACUAAUGAUUAGAUUUAAAUUAAAAUUAUUUGUUAAUAAUACAUUUACACUUCUUUCAUUUCUAAUUUUUAGUUUUAUGAACUUUUACAAAGUUUUUUUUUUCUAUUUUCUAAUUAUCAUAAGAACGAUGGUUAUCACUAAAUUUUAAUUAAUGAUAAUGAAGUUAUCUCCAAAGCUUUAAGGCUGUGACUAUCAUGUAAAAUAGUUUAGGAGUUACUUUUCACCGGGUUAACUUAUUUUGAAUUUGAUUUUUUUUUAUUAAUAUCUGAUGACACUUUUUUUAAGAGCUUUUCUAGCUCGAUUCUGCAAGACGAUAAUUACUGAGUAAGGAGCGCCGGCAGGAACACUAAUGGACUCAUUCCGAUAAUCAAGUAAGAUAGAGAAAGAGAGAAAGCAAUGAGAUUAAGAUUAGAAUGAAUCACUUAGGGUCUUACCUUAUUCAUCAUGUUUUUCAUAUAUGAGAGAAAGUAGGAUUUUGAAAAAUCUUUCCUCCUCUUGGUCCAACUGAAUGUUGUCAUCUAUUUUAAAUUUAUUACUUUGUCCCUAAGCUAGGUCUAUGGGUGAUCCGUUGGAUCUUUUGGCGAUACAUAUAUAUAAAAAUUUUCUAAUAUCAUGAUUUUUACGUGUUUUUUCUAUAUUUUAUAAUUGACUAUCGAUCAUUAUUGGUCAUUUUAUUAGUGGUGAUGCAUAUAAUAUGGCGGGAUUACUUGGUCUCUUAUUUCAUAGCUCGAUUUUUGCCGGUAACAAAUAUUAGUCUCCAGGGAGAUCCGUCAACUUUUUUUGUGGAGACCUGUUACCAAUAUCGAUAAAAGAUAUUUAUUUUUAUUUCAUUUUAAAAUAUACAAGCCUGCAAAACUUUAUCAAAAGAUGAUUAAGAGAUUAAAUGAUAUAAUAACCAUAUACAUCGGUAAUCCGAGUAAAGUUUUGCAGGUAGAAUAAAAUGUUAGCUAGGAUAAGGUUUGGUUAGUUUUAUCCACAUAUUACGUAUGCCCUUUUCUUGAUCUCGAAUUAAGCUAAAGCUUUUCAGUCACCUCUAACCAAGUAGGUAGCUAGACAUAAGUCAACGAUGUGAUGACCUACACAUGUUAAUUAAUCUGAUAGAAGAUAAUUAUAAAUAAUUUAGAAGUAUGGUGAGGUUAUCCAUUAUAUGAUUUAUAUGGAGUCAAUGUAGGAUGAAGGAUAAAGAUGGUUAUAAACUAUAUGGAUAAUUUAGUUGUUGACUUGAUAUAAUGUGUAUCAGCCCAUUAAAGCAUUUAUGCUGAGGUAUAAAUUUUUUUAAAAAGAAAUAUAGAUAUUAUAUUAAUAAAAGUUAAUAAGUACAUCUUAUAUAAAAGAUUAAAAUAAACAUUAAAUAUCAAGAAAUAUAAAUCAUAUAAUCAUUAAUUGUUUCGACGGAGUAAUAAAUUGUAAUUCUGUAGGAAUAACGCUCCACCGGAUGGAACUAAGCUACAUAUCGAUAUUAUAGAUGCUUUUCACGAGUCCGAUUGUUUGAAUGUUUGAUUUGAUUUUUUUUUCUCUUCAUUAUUCUCAUAAAGAGAGCACUCAACAUUCAUAUAAUGAAUGACCAUACAAUUUUUAUAAAAGAAAAAUUCAAAAUCUCCAUAAUGGAAAAUCAUAAAACUUUUCAAAAAGUACUGAUAUUUAUUUAUUAAAAUUAAUUAAUAACAAAAAAUAAGAAAAAGAAACCACUGCCGAUCUGAAAAGAACGGCAGUGGACCAAAAAAUAAAACUUUAACAAAAAAUAAGAAAAAAAAAUAAAAAAGGAAAGGCGGCUAGAGUUUUUUAAAAUGAGGCAUAAAAAUUAUGGUAUAAUUAAGUAUGAUUAUUUUUUUUUCAAAAGAAUUAAAUAGUGGUCCGGUUAGUAGUUUGAUUUAUAAAAAUUAAAAAGUUGUUGAGUAUGAAUUUCUAUAUUAAACAUCCGAUCAACAAAUAAUUAAACUAUUCUUUUUUAAUGGGAUAUGAGGAAAUCAUAUGCAUGCUGACAGUUAAACUGUGCCACCGGCUAGUUUCGGUUAAAAAUCAUAUAAAUGAAUGUGACUUUUCGAUUAAUCGAAGAAUCAAGUAUGCAUCUUAUAUGAAUCUUGAAGAAUCAAGACAUGGGAAGCAUCUCAGUAUGGAUACAUACAUAUAAAAAUCAAAGAUUAAUUUAAAAUAAAUGCAGUCCUAUCAUUUUCACCCAAAAUGCUUAGGUCAAACAAAAGUGGACCAAACGUACAAUACAAUGGGAGUAUACUUAUAUUAGCAAAAGAAGGCAAAAUGCUUAUAAUGUGAUUACAUUUGCUAGUGCUAACAGAUAGUCACUACCAAGAGUAUUAAACAGCUGCUUUGUCCUUUCGAUUCUUGGAAAGUUGUUAGUGCUACCAUUUAAUCUUUUUAACUUCCUUAUUAUACUCCCACAAAAAAUGUACUAUGUAAGUAAGUAUAGCAUUCUCCCAUUUUUGUUGAUUCUUUAUAAGCUAAAACCUUUGCAUUAAACUAUGAAAACCCAUGAAAUCUGCUGUUUCUAUAAAUUAUUAUAAGUAAGGAGCAGCAUUCAAACUAGUUUCUAAUUGGCAUUAUGAAACUCUAUUUAUAAAAAUCAUGGCAUUAACUCUUAAAGAAAAUGAGUUGGAAGUCAAAAAAAAAAAAAAAAAUCACUUGUAUUGCAAUAAUAUAUUCAUAUUAUACAUAUAUUAAUCCAAAACAGUAAGAAUAUUAUCAGCCAGAACCCCUAUAAAUAAGUACGUGUAAAGACACAAGAAUUGCUGCACUGCAUAGCUCACUUGCCACCCAUUUUAUGUAAAGAAAGAAACAAAAAAAAAGUGUGUAUAUAUAUAUAUAUAUAUAUAUAUAUAUAUGAAUUAGUGUAAUUAGAUUCUUGCUGAGAGUAUAUACACCUUUGUUAUAUUUAUUCAAUCCUUUUUCAUUUUCGCCACAGCACAAUAACAAUAAUAUAAUAAUUUAUAGUAGUGGAAAAUGAAAGUCAAAAUGUCCGUACGACUCAUGGGAUUAUAAGAAAUAUUUUCAAAAACUUUAGUAUUAUGUAAUUCAUUACAAUAAAUUUCCACAUGGUUCAUGGAAACACUGCUUUAGUUAGGUUUUAUAAGGUAAUAGCCAAUGGCACUAUUCUUCUGAUGCAAUUGAUUAAUGGUAAGAACAAUUGUUAUGCCGAAAUAAUAUAAACUAGUUCUUCAUAGUCAGACACCAUUGAGUCAUAGAUAUUGUUUAUCAACAGCUUGAGUUCUAGAGAGUGUUGUUCGACUACCUAUUCUAAUAACUAAAUCAGCAAAAAUACCUUAAAAUUAUAAGUGAAUUGAAUUGUGAACGUCUUCUGGUAAUGUCUUGACAUAGGCCUUCAGUUCGUCUUUGUUCUGUUGGGAUUAGAACAGUCUAUGUAGAGAACUUUCAAUUCUUUUAGUUAGAGUACUACUAGAAAUAGUCUUCCAUAAGACUUAUAAUUCAAGUGAGAAUUGGGUCUGAUCAACUCUUAUUUAUUUGGCAUAUUCUGCUCAAUUAUCAAUACAGUAGUGAUCUCUUGAUAUUUUUAUUUGUAAAAAUUGGAAAACUCAAGUCUUCUUGUUGUUAUCCAUUAAUGCUAAUUAAAUAUUAUUAUCUUUAUAAUAAGGGGUCGAUGGUUCUAUGUUAUGUAGCUCAUAAUUCAUUAGGUUUCCAAUGAAUAAUCUUUUUUUUUUUAAAUAAAAAAACCAUUUAAAUUGGCAAUAAAUACACUUUUUUAUAGUAUAAGAUAUCAUAGAUUCAAUUCUCAUUUUUCUAUUUCAUGUGUAGUGUGAUUCAUAAGAAGUUUUCAUGAUAUAGAAGAAUGACAUUUUAUUGUGAUUUUAUUUUGAAAUUGUUAUAGUUUAUAAGAGUCGUUACACCAAUAUAAGUGCGACUCACCAACAGAAAUACCCUGUAUCUUCCAGUUUUAUUCUAGCUAGUAAUGUUAAAAACAUCUUCGAAAUAAAGGAAACUGAAAAAUAGAAACUUGAAAUUUCACUAAAAGAUUGAAUUUCAUGCAUACAAUUGACUUGACUAUGAACAUUACCAAUUAGGAAUAAAAGAAAAUAAUUAGAAAAGACAACUAACAUAGAUUCAUAGAAUGGCUCCCUUUUAAUCGGUAGAGAUUAAACAAAAUGUUUAUGUCUUCAAUUGUUAUACUAUAUAUAAUAACUUUGAUUGAUUUUCUUCUAUAUAGGGAUAUUUGAUUUAUACAUUAUGAUUAAUUAUAAUUUUAUUAAUCUAAAAUAGAAAAGAAAAUCAUGCACACAAUUGACUUGCCUACGAACUUUACCAAUUAGGAAUAAAAUCAAAACUUUAGAAAAGACAACUAACUAAAAACAACCAACACAAAAAGAUUUCAUUAGAUUAUGUAAUGGUUCCUUUUUUAAUUGGUAGAGAUUAAAUAAAAAGGUUUAUAUCUUUGAUUGUUAUAUUAUAUAUAAAAAAUCUGAUUAAUUUUCUUUUAUAUAGAGAUGUUUGAUUUAUAUAUUAUGACUAAUUAGAAUUUAAUUAAUCAUAUUGAUUUUUUCUAUAUAGAGAUAUUUGAUUUAUACAUUAUGAUUAGUUAGAAUUUAAUUAGUUUAAAAUGGAAAAAAAAAAUCUAAAAAUAAUAAUCCAAACCAUAUAUAUCAUACAUCUCUCCUGUAAAAACAUGUUCCCUAAGGUUUAAACUUACAAAAAUAAGUAUGAAAUCAGAAAAAGUUAUAUAUCCAUAAGCAAAAUACAAAACAUUAACCAUUUUAUCAAACUUAUAGAGAAUGGUUCAUAUAUAGGGUUACUUUCUUAUUUGUCAUCCUUCUCGUGGCAGUUCGUCAGUCUCUUUUUGUCUUCCAUUUUCUUUUUAUCUUUUAAAUUUAUUUAUAACAUUAUUGUUAUGAAAUACUGGAUUAAUGCCAGAUUAAUUAUUGGAAGUGGGUGAAAAAACAAAGUGUCAGGGAAUUGCAAAAGCGAUCCGGAUUGCGAAGGUGCUUGUGAAUCUCGAUGUAUAUUGUGCACAAGCAAUGUUUGAGCUCAGGAAUGUGUGUGCUCAAACUUCCGGCCUAAGAAUACUGCAGAAGCCAUGAUUGGGGAUGGUUGCAUAUGGUCACUAAUGGCACUGACCUCUUUCUAAUUACUUGCGAUAAACAUUAUGUAAUGUUGCAAUAUGAUUAUAUAAAAAGCAUAUCAAAGAUGGUGAAGGCUUAUAAUGUAACCUGCUCUAAUCAGCCUUGGCCUACAUUUUGAUAUUUAAAUCUCAAAAUUUACUUUAUUAAUUGUCAUUCGAUGUGCUCUCUCUGUGUCUUUAUAUUUACUAAUUCAUUUACCUUUCCUAUUUUUUAUUAUUACCAUUUUCUUUUGAGAAAGAGAUGGAAAAAGAGAAAAAAUAAUCUAUGAAUUUUAUCUAAUUGGACUAAUUUAUUUAUGAAAUUCAUUUUGUUUCAGGAAAUUAAAAAAGUUUCAUCACAGUGAUAAAUCAUCCAUUACAAAAGGAGGUGGGUAUUCAGACCACACACUCUAAGACCUGACUCAGAAUUUGCUGCCCUUGCAAGUUUAUGAGCAACAACAUUUGCAGAUCUUUAAACAAAGGAGUAUCUUCUAUUACUAAUACUCUGAAAUAAAGCUUUGCAAUCUUCAAUCAACAUGCCGAGAACAUUUCCAGCAUUACCAGCAAAUCCAUUUUCAAUACACCAUGAGAUAGUUGUAAGUCCUUUAUCCAAGAUAAUGCCUCAUGAACACCCAUAGCUUCUGCUUCUCUACGAGUAAACGAACCGUGACUUAAAACAUUUUUUGCACCUCCAUUGCCCAAUCCAGUCACGCAGAACCAUACCAAAUCCAGUAGAAUCUGUGUUAUCAAAUUUUGCAGCAUCAACACUGACUUUAACAAAAUCAAAUUUAGGUCGUUGCCACUUAACAACACCGUGGUUCCGUCGUAGACUUUAAAGAUUCCAUAACAGUAGUCUGCCUUUGAGCUUCUGUCCAUUGAUAAAGAUAGGUACCGGCAAAAUUCACACAUUAAGAGCUUUAUGAUGCCAGACAAUAUCAUUUCUAUGUUGCCAAAGGCACCAGCACAUCAUAACAGCUAUACGACAGUCCUCAAUCGACAGACUUGAGAACAUAAAAUUCAACCACGCCAUGAUGGUAUCAAACGAACCACCAGGACCUGCAAAUAAAAUAGGCCAGCACCGCACUUUCGUCUUUCCUCAUACAAACAGGACACAAACUAUCCACAUCAACCUUCCUCUUCCUUAAUGCAUCAGCUGUAGGUAAACACCCUCUGCAAGCCCUCCAAAUCUAUGGAAUUCAUUUUUAACUUCAAAAGUUUAUGUGUUUUGAAGGAAGUAAUUAUUAUUUAGAAUUCUUUAUAACUAAAUUAAAUUAUCAUAAAAUAAAUAAAAUUUCUAAAAAAAUUCUACACUAUUUUAUCAAUAUAUUUUAUAAUAUCAAAAUAUUUCUUCUAAAUUUAUCAUUUUCAUUUCAUUUUCUCUGUCGUGUAUUUUUUUUCAAAUAAAAUAAAUUCCUUAAUAAAUUUUAACCAAAUAUAGUAUUAAAUAUUUAUGACGUUAUAAAAUAACUGAAUGCAAAUUGAUAAUUAAUAAGAGAAAAUUUAUUUUUUAUCAUUUAUUAUUAUUAUUAUUGUUAAUUCUUACAAUUAAGUUGUAGCUUUCAUGUUCUUGAAUGAAAUAUUUAUAUUUCUAAAAAAAAUUGAAAGAUAUCUUCCAUACAUGGCAAUGUAUAUAUUAUUGAAUUAAAAUCAAUUUAUUCUUAAAGAAAUGAAAAAGUAUACAUAUCCACUUGUCUAAAUCAUAAGAAUAUGCACUUCUGCUUUUAUUUCAUUGAAAUAAAGGUUUUAAUUUUAUAGGAAAGAAGGAAAAAUAAUAAAAUCUUGGAAGGCAUUUUACGGGCUUUGCAGCUUGAAAUAAGAACUUGAUUGAGACUGCAAAGCUUUUUAUGAGACAAAAAUAAAAAAGAAAAAACACAUUAAAGCAUCUGAAAUUCUUCAAAAUCAGAGCCGCAAAGGGCAUAAGAUUUCUUCUUCAGAAGGCUAAAAUUGGUAAAAUUUAAUAAUGGAAUCAACUCAUUUUUCUAAAUAAUUUUAUUGAAUAGCCUCAAUUAAAUAUGUAUGUUAAAAUUUAAAUUUCAUAAAACUAAUUUAAAUAAAAUGUGGGAAGAGCAAUGGUGUAACAAGAAUCUUAACUAACAAUGACAAUUCUUAAAAUAUUUCUGGGCUAAAGUUAUAUUUUUCUUUUCGCUCAAAUUAGAGUAAAUCCAAAUGAUUCCCGGACUACACCCUACUCCAGUCCCAACAUGGUUCCCCUUCUGAUGAAGAGAGAAGGAAAGGAAAAGAAAGAACUAAGAGUUUAUAAGAUUUUAUAACCUGAAUGACAUGUAUAAUGAAUCUUUUGAAGCUAAAAGAAAAAGAAAAAUUUAAGACUGCCUUGAUGAUUAUAGUGUAUAAUGGUUGAUGAGUACCAUUCAACCUUGUGAAACAAAACCCAGAUGAGAUAUCUAUCUGAAACCAAAUCUUAGUGACUUGGAGUUGGAGUUAGAGUUGGGGUUGGGCCUAUCAUUCUCCUCAUCAGAAGCUUUUCUCUUCUUGGAAUUUGAUGCAUAGCUUGAGACUGUAACAGAAAAAGAAGCUGAUACCGAUUCGCUCUCUUCAGCUAAAGCUAACUGAAUACAACUUCCAUAGAAAUAAGUGAUAUCCUCAAGAGGCCGCCUAACUCUUCUUCUGAAACCUUUCUUGGAUGAUGAAAAAGGCACAUUUUCAAUUAUUGGGUUGGCUUGUUUUGAAGAGAAAGGAGGUACAUUUUCUUUGUGGUUGGUGUGCUUGCAGAGAUUGGUGGCUUCCAUUUUGGUAAUGUGUUUGGAGAUGGACACUGAGGGAGAGAGAGGUGGGUAUUUGUAGCGAAUAAUGAUGUGGGUGCAUUUCAGAAUUUGGAGGGAUCAAAGUAAUUAGAUUUGUUUCUUUCAAAUUUUGAGUUUUUGGGUUCUUGGUUCUUCUUUUAGUGUUUUAGGCGGGUGCGUUAGAUUUCGUUUUCUUGGAUUCUAUGGUUUUUCUUUGGUUUUGUCUUUAGUUUAAAAUCUUGAAAUGAAGUUAGUCAAAAUUGUCAUGUGCAAGAAGAGAGGGAACCGGGAGGGAGGGAGAAGUUCGUGAAUUUCCCGGUUCGUGAAAAGAAGUUUUAGGCGCCAAUAGAGCAAGAGCCAAAAAUACAAUUUAGACAAGUAAGUAAUAUUUUGAUAAUAGCCAAGUCAGCAUGACAAACUAAAGUUCCCAAUUUUUUGAAUAAAUAAUAAUAGUCAGCAAUCUGAUCUGGCAUUCCCGUUCAGAUAUUACCUAUUAUGUUUGUAAUCGGAGAAAUUGUAAUAUUUUGAUUAUAAUUUUCAAAUCAGCAUAUAAUAUGAGAUUAAUAUGUGAAAAAGGUAAAUAAUUAGCAUAUAAUUAGUUUUUUCUAUUAUUUAAUGAAUAAUUAGUGGGUAAUUUUUUAAAUUUUUAUUAUUAUUAUUAUUUAAUAAAAACUCCAUAUAGUGAUAGUAAUAGAUGAAAAAUAUGUUAUUAUGAUAUUGCCUUAUGCAUUAUUUUAGACAAAAAACAUAAAAUCAUAUUAGCCUUAAAAACAAAGAUACAACAAACAUUUAUAGCAGAAACACUUAGAACCCAGUUGAAAAAAGAAAUAAAGAUCAAACACAUAAAUGGUUAAUUCAGGAGUUAUAGAAAUUUGCAAACAAAAUAAACAUUAAUACCAUGAAAACUUCCCAUAGAAUUUUUUCCAAAGCCUUAAUAAGAAUUUGAAAAUCGCUUCAACUAAUAGAUUCGAGUCUGGCAUUAGAAUCCCUUCAACUCUUUCUUGAUUUAAUAGUCAAUUUGUUUGAGAAAUUACUGUUGUUCGUUCAGGAUAACCUGAUUUGGACUCCAAUAUCUCUAUAAUCUUAUAAAUUAAGAGGCCAUGGAUGAAAGUUCUUCCACUCUUUAAGAAAUUAGAAGACUUCAUGUCAAAACACACAACUAAUUGAUAAAAACUGACAAUUUUAGCUAAGUCUUUUUAACCUAUAAAAGAUCCAUGCAAGUUUCCUGAAUCUCAGGAAUUGUAGACCCAUUAUUGUUUAAUAUGUACAUGCAUCUUAGGAAUAAUUGAUAUGAGUGCUGUGUUUAUUGUAGGUUCAUGUUUUAAUUAGAUUAAAGUAUCUUUCAACUCUUGGCUCCAUAAUAUUAAUAAUCUUUCAAUUUGUAGAAUUUUCAAUUAUUCAAAAAUUGCUUUCAGGAUUGAGAUUAGAAUCUCGAAUCCAAAUGGGGGUUAAUUGAUAAUAGCAAAAAACAAAAAGAAAUCGGAGUUUUUGGACCGAUUUGUAUUUAAGUUGUCAUGCUAUAUAACCUAACACGGUAAAAAUUGCAUAAAUGGGGUCUAAGUUUUCUAUAUUUUCUCAAAGGAUUGCUAUUUUUUCUAUGAAAAAAUAUAUAUAUUUUCGUGAUAAUCAUCAAUGGUGUUGAUAAAAAAAUAUAUUAUAAUUUUAUAAAAAAAAUAUUUUACUCGGUAAUAUUAAGCUACAUAUUAAUUUUAUAGAUAUUUUUUUACUAGUUUGAUUAUUUAAAUACCGAAUUAAAUAUUUCUUUUACUAUUUUUAUAGAGAGAGAAUUCAAUACUCCCGUAAUAAAGGACUAUAAAACUUUUAUAAAACUCAAAAUUUCCUUAAUAAAAAAGAAAAAAGAAAUAUUAUAGGAUUGCUAUUUUUAGGUCCCAUUUAAAUAAAUAAAAAAAGACUCCUACGUGUGAGAGUUAUAUGAUUUUUUUAAGAGAAAAAUAAAUAAAAAUAUAAAAAUUACUUAGUUCACUUUUAAAUCUAAAAUCCAAAUCCAAAUUCAUCUUCCAUGAGAGUUUUGGAUGCUAUAUAUCUCCUAUAUUCUUAUUAAUAAAAUCUGCAAUUUCAGUUGAGGAAUGAAAAAAAUUAAGAACAACCAUUAGAUAAGAAAUAAAACCAUAAUCAAGUUAUCAAAUUCUUCACAACAGUAAGCCAGACUAGCCAAUGACGAUCAAACUCAUUGUAAAGAGAAAAGAAGAAUAUCAAAGAUUUUCGAAUAAUUGUUUCCGUCUGUUAAUUUUAGUAUCCACAUUAAUUAUCUCCGUCUUCAGAAAGUAAGCUAUCAAACUCUUGCCAUUUGGUACGACAACUGAAUUGUCUUAUACAGGUCCCUGCUUGAGAUUACAAAUGGAAGAAAUAAAUGAAGAAAGCACAAAUGAUAAGUCUGUGAAGGAACCUUCAAAGAUAAGAAUGGCUCCAAAUGCAUGCUAUUAAUACCCACUAUUGCUCAAGGGCAGACAUUAAAAGGGCAUUGAAGAACCUGCUGCAAGGUAGUUUAUAUCUUUUCUUCAGAGUAUUUUGGGUUGCAGGUUGCUUUUGAUAGCACAGAGAGGUGGUGGUGAUCAAGUAAAAGAUCAAAAAUGAAAAAUUAGAACAUAAUAUCAAUUCUUCUCAUAUAUAGAUAAACCAAGCAACUAUUCCAGCAUAAAUCAUUUAAAGAAAAAACAACAGAAAGAUGAAAGGAAUGCACCAGAGCAUAGAAAUAUGUAGUAAUGAGCGCCUAAAACUGAUAGAAAGAGCCUUACACAACGUCUUGCAGAAAAUUUAGUAUUGUCCUUCCCCUUGCUAUCAGUUUCCUCUGACACCAAUAUGAAAGAUGGAUCUUCUUCCUUUUCCAGUGAAGCGUCAGUAGACCUGCUGAAACAAUUGAAACUUCCAGUCUUAUAACAGAAGAAAAAACAGAAAUUGCAGUUAAGAUAAGAUAUACUCAAUUCAACUAUAGUUGAAUUCGAGACUGCGAAUGCUAUAUAAAUUGGUUUCCUCCAUUCGACCAAGUCUAGAGAUAUAUCUAUAGAAAAGUUAGAAGAGUUGCAAAGUCCUUUCUCAGUACUUUACCCCCACGUCAUCUUAGGCCUUACCCCUUCCUUUCCUUUUACAAUCUUUCUACUGGUAUAUUCGCCACUUCACACUUUGCUAUGAAACCGUUCAUUUGUUAUCUGGUCCAUCCUUAUAUUUAUGUUCGUCAAUCUUGGCAUUGGUAACAUUUGAAAGAAAAAGGAAACGAGAUUGCGAGGGACACAGUCAAGACCCUCGAAGCUUAAUAACAUUCAUAACUUUAACCACAUUUGUUGAAUGGCACCAGUUGAACUCUCAGAUGCAGGUAGCUCUAGUCCACAUGAGCACGCAUGUGCCACAUAAAAAGAAUGGUAUCCUACAUAGGUUCUUAUUCUGCUCUGUGGGCCUUGGGCACCAAACCAGCCAAAAGCACAACCUUACUGAAUAUGUUGGGUUAAUUGCAUCGCUGGUACCAAAUCUUUACACUUUUUUCCAAAUGGUACCAAACCUUCAAUUUGUUUCGUUUUGGUACCACUCCUAUUAUUUCUGUAUCUUCCGCCAGUACCAAAGAGGAAUCCGACACUUAUUUGCUAAUGUGGCUGCCGGAUUUUGAAUUGAUAACACACCACUUGCCACACCUAUUGCUGACUCAACAACUUAAUUCCUAGUCAGCAAUUAACUAAUUACUUUAAAUUUGAGCUAAAUAAUUGAGAGAAAUUGUAAUGAAAUUGAUUUCUUCCUCUAAGCUAACCCAAAAGUAACCGUUGGUAUCAAACCUCAAAAAUCAACGCAAACCGCUCGACUUCCACCUCCAUUGUCAACAAUCUCUCGUUUCUCGUCUCUGACCUUCUUCUUCGUACCUGGACAUUGCAACAUUGUAGAACAAUGACACUCGACUGGUGAGUAAGAGAGAAAGCCGAAGAUCCACCACUAUACUGUAAGUACAAGCGGACCGAUAGUUAUUUUGUAGUUAUUGAAAGCUAUUCUGCAUCUUUCAUUAAGUAAUGCAUACUGCAUUUAUUUGGAAGUUAACAAUGCAGGGGCUAGGGUUUUCCCUAAUUCCUUUUUAAAAAUACAAAGAAUGUUGAUGAUGUUUGUUUAUAAACACUGCUUGUGUGUGGUUGUUUUACAUUUAUUUAAUUAAUUUAUUUUGCAGUGCCUAAUUCUAAAUACUUCACUUUGUAUUGGCAUGAUUAUGGAGUUGAUGUUAGAGGUGAACCUAAGUUAUGUGAUAUAGGAGCUGUGGAUUUUUGUAGUUUAGAUAAGAUAUCCAUGAUAGAAAUUGAUUCAAUGGCUAGAGAGCUAGGGCUGAAUCCUGAAACAAAGCUGAUUAUGUGGAAGGAUCCUACAAAGAGUAUAAGUGAUGGGUUGAGAAGCCUUGAAACUGAUAAGGAUACUCUAGAAAUGGCAAUGGCUAUGGAGGGUUCUAAAUUAAUGCAUAUAUUUAGUAGGGAUAAAUGGAAAACAAAAGAAAAAACUGGAGAAGAAGCUGGGGCAGAAGCUGGGGCAAAAGUUGGGGCAGAAGCUGGGAAGGAGGCUGUGAAAAAUAAGGAUGAUGGCAGCUGUAAGGAUAGUGAUGCAGAUUCAGAAGACAGUGAGUUUGUGGACUCUGAUUAUGACCUGAGGGAUGAAGAUGCUGAUGAUGAUGCCAUGUUUAAUGAGUUUAUUAAUAAGGAGCUUGAGAAGGACAGACCAUCUGGUUCUAGAAGUGCUAGGCAACCUGCUGAGGAGUUGUCUGAAGAAACAGAUGCAACAGUUUAUGGUCCAUCAGAUGAGCUGGUGUCAUGCUCCUCAUCUGAACACAGUGAUGCAGAUUCAAGGAAGCAGAGAUGGCCUGUGUUUAAUGAGGAGACUGACAUGGCAAAUCCCUGGUUCAAGAUUGGAAUGCUCUUCAGUUCCUUCAAACAAUUCAAGGAUGCUGUGAAGAGCUUAUCAAUCAAAAGCAGAAACCAUGUUAUAUUUAAGCCAAAUGCAAGGCAAAAUAUAAGAAAGGAUGCCAGUUUUUUAUUUGGGCCUACCUGCUGAACUCAGAUAAACAAACAGUGCAGAUAAAGUCAGCCAAUUUCAUCUAAAACUGUUCAAGAGAGCCAUACAAUAGGCAUGUUAAUGCCGAUUGGAUAGCUGAACAAUAUUUUAAAAGGUUCAGAGCUUAUCCCAGUUGGGCAAUUCAAAGGAUCAUACAAGCUGUAAAAGAAGAUUCUGGUGUUGAAGUGUCCAGAUUGAAAGCAUGGAGAGCAAGAAAUGCUGCUUUGACAUUUAUCAAUGGUGAUGAGACAGAACAACUUUUUAGCCUUCAUGAUUACAAGCUAGAACUCUUGAGAAGUAAUAUAGGAAGCACAAUAGUUUUUGGUUUGAAUGAAGGUGUUUUUAACAGCAUGUAUGUGUGCUUUGCUGCAUUGAGGGAAGGAUUUAAGUUUUGUAGGCCUUUCAUAUCUUUGGAUGGUUGUUGGCUGAAAGGAGUAUUUGGAGGACAGCUUCUCACAGCUGUUGGUUUAGAUGCAAAUGAGUGCAUCUACCCAAUUGCAUGGUGUGUUGUGCAAAAAGAAAAUAAGGAGAACUUGAAAUGGUUUUUGGAGCUGCUAGCUCAAGAUGUGGGGAUAACAAACAGUUAUCAAUGGGUGUUUAUGACUGACAGGCAGAAGGUAAAUACUCUUUACAAUUUACUUUUCUAUUCCUUCAUAUAUUUUAGCAUAAUGGUAUUAAUUGUGUGUUGUUCUUUUGGAAUAGGGUCUUAUUCCUACCAUUGAAGAACUAUUCCCUAAUUCUGAACAUAGUUUUUGUGUUAGACAUGUGCAUAAUAAUUUUAGGAAGAAAUUUAAUAGUCUAGGGUUAAAAGAACUUAUGUGGGGUGCUGCUAAAGCAAGUUAUGUCCAGCUUUUUCAAAGGAUAAUGGAGAAGUUUGCAGCAGCAUCACAUCAUGGACAUAACUACAUGAAUAGCAUCCCUCCUCAUCACUGGUCUAGAUCUCAUUUUAGGACUGAUGCUAAAUGUGACAUGUUGUUGAACAACUUAUGUGAGUGUUUUAACAAUUUUAUCUUAGAUGCUAGAAGCAAGGGUGUGAUAGCUAUGAAUGAGGUAACUUAUAUUCAAUUGGAAUAUAAUACCCCUUCAAUUUCUUUCUUUCUAAUUGUAGGUGAAGAGGAAGACAAAAAAACAGCAAAAGGAAAAGGAAUCAAAUGCUGCAACUACUGCUGCAUAGAAUGUAGAUGACCAACCUGAUAAUGUAGCUCCUACAAACACAGCUCCUUUAGGGACAGCUUCAACAUUUGAUAAUUUGUCACCGCUAAUACCAUUGUUACAGGUAAGUAAUAUGUCACCUAUAAUAUUUAUUCAGUAAUGUCAACUGUUUGCUAACUUGAGACUUUAUUAUACAGUUAUUCAAUGUAACACCAUCAGCAAAAAAAUCAGAAAAACCUGCAGUUCACUCUACUACAUCACCUUCAAAACCUACCAGCAAGAAGAGUAAAAGCAUUAAUGAUUUGUUGAGUGAGCUGCCACCAGAUCUGGCCAUUGGAAGACUUUCAGAAACACAUAAAGGAAGAACUAAAGCUAAGGGAAAAAAGACUUUCAAACCCCCAGGGUUGUUGAGCAAAGAUCUUGGGGCUGAAGGAGUUACCAUAAGAACAAAACAAGACAAAGGAAAACAGAAGAUUGAUGGAAGUGUUUCAACAAAGAAGAGAGCUUGGGUGCCUCCAGGAAAUGCAAAGAACAAAGGAAUUACAAUUGGAAACCCUAAAAAAUAAUGUUUAUUUUGGUUGUUGUGUUGUUAAUAUGUUAAUAUAUGUGUGGACCUAACAUGUGGUCAUUUGACAGAAUUUCUUUUUUUGUAAUGGCUUUUGACAGUCUUGGGCGUAGGGUUCAUAUGGACAAAAUUUCUACAUCCAUUCACUUUUUGUUUAAACAUUUCAUUAUUUAAAGUAAUCAACAGAGUACAAUUAUUUUCACUCAAUUUGUCCGUUGCGAGGAUUGCUCUAUAUAGGACAUGUCUGCAUAUUUAUUAUAACAGUAACAUUCAAAUGAAGCAAUAUUAAUCAACUACUGUAAAAACCAAAUACUCAUUUAUCAUUUCAUUCAUUCAUCAGUAAAUUACAUAACUAACAGUAGUUGUAAAUACUACUGUAUCCAAACUACAUCUUUAAGUAAAGCUAUAUCUUAAAAAUAACAAUCCUAGCCAAACCAUAACAGCCAAGCUUAGACAGGUCCAUUCUGCACUUCAUGCUCUUUCUUCUUUCAUUUUCUGCAGCUUUGAAUUUAGCAAUUUAAUCCAUUCUUGUACUCAUUCAGCAGCUCAGUUGUAAGGUGAGAUUCACCACUGUUCAUUUUUAAGUUAAUAAAAUGACAAAUGAAGAAUAUGUACAAGAAGAAGGUUCUUCAUUACAACUCAAAACAUAUUAAUGUAAGCUAAGACAGCAUCCCCAAAACUUACUAUAAUAGAGCAUAACCAAACUUGCGCCUGGAUUUCCUUUCAGUUCGAGAGACGAAGCUUCACUUUCAGUUCGAGAGACGAAGCUUCACUUUCAGUUCGACAGACGAAGUCACCAUGUACAUAUAGAUCAGUGGCUCAACUCCAACACUAAACACACUGUAAUCCAAUAUGACACGAUAAAGAACAAGGACACUACAGAAUCGAUUAUUACAGAAAGUAAAUCGAUCGAUAUAAUAAAAACUAGGUUUCAUAAUUUAGGAAUUUUCCUGAUUUAGGGUUAUAAAUUGGGAAUAAAAACUAGAUGUUUUUAAUUGCUGAGUUGGAUAACUAUUUGUUGAGUCAGCAACAGAUGUGGUAAGUGGUGUGUUAUCAAUUCAAAAUCCGGCAGCCACAUCAGCAAAUAAGUGCCGGAUUCCUCUUUGGUAUUGACGGAAGAUACAGAAAUAAUAGGAGUGGUACCAAAAAGAAACAAAUUGAAAGUUUGGUACCAUUUAGAAAAAAGUGCAAAAAUUUGGUACCAAUGGUGCAAUUAAUCCGAAUAUGUUCCAUAACUCGUAGAAAAAAUUUGUCACAUUUAAGGCGGACUGCCAGUUGGAGCCAUCAAACCUCAACUAGUCUGAAAUGGAUCAAAAUGUACUUGCCCCUCUCUUCUGCAGGAUUAAUCAACAUACAUUAAGUAAACUUCAAUCCAAGAAGUAACACUUGAUGAACUCGAUCAAAUAAUAAAAGUAAUACAUAGACACAAUCAUCAAAUGGUGGCAGAAAAUUGACGUCCAAGGAAUAUAAUUAUGUAUGACUUACAUUAGACUUAGAUUUCUGCUUUGCCACAUGAGUGAUAAAAAUUCUAGCUAGAAGUAUGGGAACAAAAUGUUAAAACAGGCUAAUGCUAACAUCUCAAACCACCAACUCAAAGUUUUUCAGGCAUCACUAGAUAUCCUAAGUGCUACAAUCAGCAAUAAACUGCAAGUAGAUGUAAAUAAAUUUCCCCCCUUUAUUGAACGUAAUCUACAAAUCCAGAUUGCAUCCGUUCUUAAUUUUCAAUCCCAAAUCCUAAACAAUAUUCCCAUAACCUACCGCAAAAGCAUACAUAGAUAAAUAAAGAAAAACUCCAUCCGGAACUUCAAAUUAUAAUUGAAAGAACCUAACCUCUGGUUGGUGUUUCCACCUUCUUGACAUCUCCAUAAGAAACCGAACGGCUUUCAUUGUCAGAGAACACAAGGCUCCGAGUGCAAGUCUGAAUAUAAAAUGCUUCUGGAAGUCCUUGUAUUCCAAGAUCAAAACUUUCUUUCUUACAAUUAUCAUAAGCAGCCAAAGUUUCAUUGUAUUUAGACACCAAAGACUCCUCAUUAGCCCUUAACCCCAAAACUCUAUCACCCACGUCAUCAAAUUCAACAAUAAACAUUUUAGUCCAAGAAUUUGCAUCCCCAUAUUCUUUUCCAAUACACACUUAACAAAGUUUGUGAAAAUAAGCUAAUACAGCAAGUGAACUAUUAAGCUCAGCAAUAAGCAAAUUCAGUGGACAAACUUUAAUCAAACUUUCAGGUAACUUCAUUUUGGAGUUGAAGUGGAAAGAGAAGGUUUGGGUUCUUAGGUUUUCGAUGAAGCAGCAGAGAACAAGCCCAUCGGAGAGUGGCGGUGGAUGCUUCCUUAUUACUACUGUUCUUGAAAGCUUUGCUGUAAGACUCUAAAAUCACUCUACUGAAUACUGGGUUAGUCCAUUAAAUGUAUCCUUCUUUUCUUAUGGGGUUAUGGUCUACAAAUGUCAGGAUAAUUUAUCCUUUUGUUGUUCGUAAAUUGAGUAGAAACUAGAAAUCAAAGUCCAAAUGGGCCUAAAUAGAAAGCCCAAUUUGGGCAUAGUCCUGUUUCGGAAAAGGUUAGGACAAUCCAAGCCAUUAAUUGCUGACAGAAGAUGAUUCUUUUACUGUUUCUUUUCUUUUACAAAACAUGACUUUGGCAUUAAUUGCCAGUUAAAAAAAAAUUAAAAUGGGUACUAGUGGAAAAAAAGUUAUAAUAUGUAUAACUAUUAGAUAUAUUUUAAAUAUUUUAUAUUUGGUAAUAAAAGUAUAUAUUUUAAAUUUUAUAAUUAUUUUAUUACAUACUACUAAUUCAACUGCAUAAAUCUUUAUUGAAUUUAUUUAUUAGAACCUUUUGUCAAGAAAACUGUUAGUAGAUCAUGACUCUCCCAUGAUUAAUACCAACAAAAUGUGCAAGGAAAACAAUUUUCAUACUAUAGGAAACAGAUUACUCGAAGGAAGGAACAACAGAUUGUUGGAAAGGCUUUAUCAGAAAUGCAAAUAAAAAGCAGUGUCAGAACCAAAUAUUUCAUGGUUGAGAGUCCUGACAAUGAUAUCCUUCUUGCUCCACUUGCUAUGAGUCAUAGUCACCAGUGAUAGAGAGGAAUGUUAACAUGGUUGUUUUUUGUUUCUCAUUUGAAGUCAGUAAUUGUCACUAAAAACUAGUAUCCACCAUUUUUAAGUUCAAUAAAAAUGAUAGAGAAACAGUGCCCUAUCUGCCAAUUAUUAUAAUGGCAAUGUGGUUAAUAUUUUUACAUCCAAAUAUCAAAUUUUGAACUGUCAUAUUAUGACUCAGGAGGCAUGAUGAUUAUUUUAGAAAAAUUUCGCAGAAUAUGGCUUCUAACAAUGGAUAGUUCCCUGUUUUCUUCUACCAUCAUAACCAUGCAUUAAAUGUUCAGAAUUAUGAGCAUCGUACAUGAAUGUAGGGUUUUGUCCUGGUCUAUGUAAAAUUUUACACAUUCCAGGCAUCAACAAAAGUAACUUGCUUCCCAAUGAAAUAGCAUCCAAAAUACCCUCCCUUUUUCUUUCUUUUUUCGCAGAUGACAGCAACUAGCUAGACUUUCCAUGUGAGCUUAGCAAAUGCCUUUUUCAUUGAUAUCAAGCUAGAUAUAUAAUUGCCCAUGUUAUAAAAUUCAGACAUCUUCAACAAAAUAUAGCAAACGACAAUAAUAGCUAGAGUGUAAUGUGUACAUCACUUUUUGUUAUUAGAACUUCAGGUUUUGGUGUACAUAAUAUAUAUUGUAGGGCAGUGUCAAUGAUAUUCAGAACUGGGACCCCUUUUUAAUUGGCUGUGAAACUAUAUAUGCACAAUCAAUUAUGGAUCAAGGUACAACAAUAAGCAAUGAUGUCGAAUAUGAGUUGUCAAAUUAUUGAUUUUGAUCUGUACAAGUGAAUGUUUAUUUUGUUUUCUGUCUGAUUGACAAGAGCACAAUGACAUAUAAAAAUAUGUUUUGAGUUUCUUGUCCAGCUACUUGAAGAAAUUAAGAGAAAGAUAUGUGCAUAUAUAAUUUGGUCUGAUUUAUAUUUUUAUAUAUGAUAAUUGAAGAAGUAUUAAGUUGAAGUUCUUUUCAACUAUUAUCUGCUAAUAGAUUAGGGAAAAAAAAAGAAUUUAAAACUAAUUUCAUAUUAUAGUUAAUUAAAGAAAAAGUUUUCUUUUUUUUAAAAAAGAUUUAUUGAAAAGUGAUUAGGUUCUGAAUGAAAAUUUAUGAGCCUUCUUAAAGACAAAAGCAGCUGUAGAAUUCAGAUCUGAAACCCUAAAUUAAUGUCUUACAGGGAGUAUCCCUACCCUAUUUAUCCCUUAUAAAUUAAUGGUCUUACUCUCACAGUUACAGUCUUAUCUUUAUGAGCUAAUUAAGUGUUAAAAGUAGAGAUGUCUUGAGUAGAUAAGAACACAUUUACACGACUUUACAACUAGAACCAAGAAAUGAAAGUAAAGAAAAAGGAAAAAUAGACAAAUAGAGAGAGAUCAGGGAUAUUAUGGAUGGCCUGCAAUUUCAGAGGCAAAAAAACAUGGACAAAUAGAGGCCUUCCAAAUCUGAAGUAUGUCAAACAUAAAUGCAAUAUAAGCAAGACAAACAAGCAAUACAAUUGACAGCUUUGGCAGUUCCUCUAAUCUAAAGGUGUCUCUUUACUCUUGCUGCCAUUGUCCUUUUUUAGGAAUUCAACUAAACUUUUCUUUUGUAAAAAAAUAUAUAAAUAAAUAAAUAAGGGAAAAACCAUUUUAUCAUAAUAGUUUUAUAUCUAUGGUUCAUGACACUAAAUUUUGUACACUAUUUGUUGGAAUGGAUUUGCCUUGAUAUUGUUUAAGAACUAUUACAUCAGUUGAAAAACUUCAAAAAUAUCUUUAUUAUGUUAAUAAAUGGACAUUGGUUUCUAGUAGGUAGAGUUGAGAGAUAAGAAAAUAUCUUUCUAUUUCCCUCUGACCAAAUUCUGCUACCCUUUGCAGUAGUAUCAGAUAGCUCCUCUCAUAAACUGGGUCAGGAUUCUUCUCUUUCUCCCUCACAUUAACUGCUAGAAAACCUUUCCCUUUGCCCUUUUCUUGGUAGUGGUAAAAUCUUCUUUCUAUGAUUCUGGGAUCAGCGGCUGCAAAAAGGUUUCAGCUUUGAGAGCAUCAAGAAACUAUAGCAACAACAGCACCAAGAUCAAAAUGAAGGAAAGCAAGUAGCUUUUGAGUAGAGUAAGUAGUACUAGAACUCUUUUUUUAAGGUAGCAAGAAUUUUAGGAUGAGCAGAAAAGAAAGAUGAGGAAUCUUGAUUUUCAGAUAAAUCAGCAGCAACAGCUACAGAAUCCUGUGUACCGAGAAACUCAACAACAAAAUCUUGACAUACAGCAACCCCUUCACCAACAACACCGUCAUCUUCUGCAAAACAAUCAAGAAUAUGGGGAAGCCUUAAACUUAAGCCAAGCAGAAGUAGAGCCUAGCAGACAAUCUUUACAAUUUACAAAAUCUAGACAGAGAACAGGAAUGAAGGGCGCUGUAGGAGAAAUUGUUCAAGCUCAAGGAGGCCACAUUCUUCGGUCUACUGGCCGUAAAGAUCGACACAGCAAGGUUUGUACUGCUAAAGGUCCUAGAGACCGCAGGGUUCGAUUAUCUGCUCAUACCGCCAUAGAUUUCUACGAUGUUCAAGACCGGCUAGGCUACGAUAGACCGAGUAAAGCAGUUGAUUGGCUCAUUAAGAAAGCAAAGUCUGCGAUCGACAAACUUGAUGAGCUUCCACCUUGGCAUCCAACUGCUAAUGAUACUAACGAAGCCAUGGAAACGGACCAGAAUGUUGAGCCUACUGAAAUGCCUAUCGGCGAGCAAUUAGAAUCUUCUGGCUAUACAUUUCAGCCCCAUAAAAGUAAUUAUUCAUCUUUCGUUUCACCAACUAUAGACCCUGAUGCCCUUAAUGAUACUAUGAAAUCUUUGUUUCCAACAAGCUCCGCAAACUCUUCAAUGCACUUCCAGAGUUAUCCGCCUGAUAUAAUCUCAAGAACCAUAAACCACACUGAAGAUCUUGGUCUAUCACUUCAUUCUUUUCAAAACCAAAGUCUAAUUCAUGGGCAGUCACAGGCAGGCACAAGCCAUACACCUUCAGAUGAACUUGCAUCAGCUCAAGUUGAGUAUGAACCCAAUUUGAUAGGUUGGAGCAAUAAUACUAGUGCAAGAAGUAGAGCUGGUGGUGCGUUUUCAUUUAACCCUCUACCAAUACCUCUACAACAAGCAAUGUUCAGCCAGAACUCAGCACUUUCUCAGAGGGGAUCCCUUCAGUCCAAUUUUUCUCAAUCUAUGCAUACUUGGAAUGAUCUUACUAUGUCAUCACCAGAUCACCAUAGAACACAGGUAAUUCAUCAGCCUUUCAUUUUUGGCAGUAGGUUUGCUCCUGAAGCAUUGGCAGGUCAUAGCAUUCCAGCGCAAAUUCAUGGGCAGGAAGAGCAACGCUUUGUUUCAGAUAUGCCUUCCUCUGCUUCUCCAAAUUCUCAACAUUGAUUAUCUACAAGGUACUUCAUGCCAACCCUUCUUUGUUUUUCUCUUUUUUAACUACCUUGUCUGUUUGUGCCAUUUCUAAUUGUAAUCAAUUGGAAAAUAUAUGUCCAAAUAUAGAAUCGAGACGAACCACUGUAGAUGAAGAUCAAAUCGAAGAUAAAGAAUCAGACGUCCAGUCAAUUCAACUCUAUACCGCAAUUGAUGGGAAGUAAACAUCUGAUUGAGGUUAACAUUUUAUUCCUGUUCUUAGUUAUAUAUUCUUGAUGGAUUCCGCCAUUAUUCUGUAUUGACCUUAUAUGAUUAUUUGGUGGGCUCUUUUGGCUAAACUUUGUUAUAAGCCAUUUUUUUUUCCUUUUUAAGUGUUUUCUUAUCUUAACUGAUUCUGUGAUUGAGCUUGCUUGUUUAUUAUAAGUGAGCUUUUCUGCUAUGUACUACAUUUGUGACUGUUGAUUAUUGCUGCUUGAAAUGGUGUCUGAUGUUAAUAAUAGUCUUUCUUUGUUAUCGUUGAUAACUCCUUUUGCUUCAUUUACUCGACAGAAACAACAUACUAAUUAGUGAAGUGAAGCACAACGAUGACUAUUAAAUUCUUGAAUUAUCCACCCACAUAAUGAAGAUUGGAAACUUACUCUUAAAGGGAAUGUUAUAUUUAUAUUACCCAUCUGUGUAGCAAACAGAAAAUUAGACUUGGCCCAUUAGACACUGUAUCAAGACAUAAUGCGAAGACUCCCCAUAUAGGAGCCAUCCUUCCUAUUCAUACACUAAUGGUGGAUUUUUGUCUAUAUUAGGCGUAUAUACUUACGUAUAAAAUAUAUUUUAAUAUUAAUAAUAUAUUUAGUUAUUUAAAAUUAAUAAUACAUAAAUAGGAAUAUAGACCCACCAAUCAUAAAGCAAUUUAUGGUUUUUCGUGUGCCCUUUUAUAUUUGCAGUGAGAUUGGAGCAAUACACUAGGCAAAACGAACUACUUCCCAUUUCUUUAAUUUGUGGAAAAUGGGGAGUGGGGGACUUUAUGAGCCAUCUUCAAGGGUUGUGUCCUGACUUAUAGCUAAUUUUCUGCCAACUGGAAACGUUCAAAAGCCAUAAUGUUGCAUUCGGUUGGUUAAAAUCAUAAUAAUGGUAAUACCUUUUCAUCGUGAAGCUCAAUUCAUAAUUUCAAAACCCAUUUCCAGAAGGAUUUCAUUGAAAAAAUUAUGGAGCUUCAGCUUUCUUUCUGCUCUAAUUUACCUCUCAAUUCUUAUCCUUACGUCCUAUCGGUCUGAACUCGGAAAUGUAAACCCAAAUUCACACCCUCAAAGUCCUGCCCAUAUUUUUCAGAUAGUUAUAAGUGGCCUAGCAAUGCCUAGUCUUUUUCUUCUUUUUUUUCGGAAACCAUUCAUUGUGUGCCACUUGAUGCUGACGAAGAUGUGACCCAUGCCACUUGGCAAUCACGAUGACAUGUCAUUCAUUAGUCACCUAAAAAGCUGAUGACAUAGUAUGGAUAUAUAUAUAUAUAUAUAGACCAUAUCCAAACUCUUUUUACAUUGUAUAAGANNNGUAUUAAGAAAAUCACUGCAUGUAAACAUAGAAAUGAUGCAUUUUUAAAAAGCUAAAUAAAAUAAAUUCUGAGAGUCCAAAAUAUUAUAAAUGAGGUUUGGCAGUAAAGAUCAGAUCCCACAAGAAUUUUCCAAUAUAACAUGUCACCCAUAACAUGGAACAUGCACAGGCAACUGUUUAUGAUGUGGAGCAAUCAUUUGCUUAGCAAAAUUGCUUGAAGAGAUGCAUUAUGUGAAAAUAGGUGCCAUAAAAGUGAAUUACAUUAAUAACAAUAAAAUAGAAAUUUCAAAAAAAAAUUAUAUUUAUAUUUAAAUAAUCAAUUAAUGCCAUAGUUACAUCGCAUAUUUAAUUAAAACCUUAAAAUCAAUUAAAAUAAAUAAUAUAACACUAUUAAUUAACGUGAUUAACUUUUAUUCAAUGUGUUAAUCAAUUACCUAAUAGAUAAAAUUUAUAUGAAAAUUUUCCAAUAUAAAUUCUAUACACAUCAACUGAUCUAGCAUGGGGCAUUUGUCAUUAUAAAUGACAUGUAAAUGCAUGUGCCAUAACAUUCAUACAAGGCAUUAUUAAUUAGCAUGUUCAGUUAUUUAUUACUACCGUUAGAUUAAAAUGUAUACGUCAAAAUCUCAGUUCCCUUCCUAGACGAAACCUCAAAAGAAGUUAAAUACUCAGUCGCCCAAUACUUAUUCGUAUACUGUAUGAGCAUUUCAUAAGAGAUUAUAAGAAUUCUAUAUAAUAUGUGCUGCAUCAUCCUAUUAAGCAGGUGUCAUUGACACAUCAACAAGGUGAAGGGUUAUGUCCUUCCGAGUUUCUUUUUCUUUCUUUUUCCUCCAAGAGGCCAGUGCAAGUGACGAAUUACACAAACCAUGGAACCGUAAUUCCAAUCCAGUGGCCAUAGUUGGAACAACAGUCUAUCAGAAUGAUACAUUUUCCGAAAUUUGAAGAAGAAAGAAGGAAAAGAAAAGGGAAGGGAAAGAAAGAAUGAAGACAGAGAUUGUCAUCUAGCUUCGGCAUAGGCAUGCAAUUAAAGAUUAAAGAGAGGAGGAGAAAAAGAAAAUAAAAAAGGUUAAGUGGAAGUCCUAGAAAAGGACAAUGGCAGAGAGACAGAGAGCAAAGACACUGACUUGACAAUGUCUAUUGUCUUUGUGUUUGUAAUACAAAUAUACAAAUUUCAGCCCCUUUUCUGUUAUCUGUGGCAAGACGUGAAAGCCACCAAUCGUGCGCGUGAUCCGAGAUAAUCAUUAUUUUGUCAACACCUCUGAACCCUGCACCAAAUAUUUUUAUAUAUAAAUACAUACAUUGUAUUAAAUAUUUUUCUCAAAAUUUUCUUUUUUUUUUUUUUUGCUUUGACAAUAAUGCAAAAAUUGAUGAUGAAGAUAGACACUAGUGUUUGCUGCUUACUUUUUGUCUUACUUAUAUUUGCAUUUAUUUUUGACAGCUUGAGACUUUGAGAGGCCUCUCUAUUAAUUUCUUUUCAUCCUCUCUGAGUCUUUGCACUAGGCCACGGCCACCCAUAAGAAUAUCUUCCAAUUUCUGUCUUUCUUUUUUACUUUUUCAAACCCAUUUUUCUUGGACAAUUGUGACAUAAUUAGCCCAUUAGAAUGCCCUCCUCUCUUACAAGUUACAGUAGAAUAGGGAUCCUCCCUAUAACACAACUUGGGGUUUCUGUCCUGUAUUCUUCCUGCCAUGCAUUUAACAGCUGCUUGCCUUUAAACUCUUCCUAAAUUGCAUUCCAAAUCUUAGUUACCUUUCAUUAAAAAAAAAAAAUCAUUAUUUUUUUCAUUUGUUAGUGUAGUUAGUUAGGAUUUGUUUGGUUAAGUGUUUGUGGCCAGUGGUGGAUAGCUAUGGUCAACGGGUAGCGGUGAAAGAGUCAGCAGUCAGCAAUCCAAGGUUAAUAAUUAACAGUUAUAAUUGAUUAAGAAGUGUGUGGCAAUUUAUCGGUUAGACAUAUAUUUAUAUUAUAAAAUUACUAAUCAAGAGAUUUGUGAUUUUGUAUUUAAAAUGACAAAUUAUUCUAAUUAAUAUGUGAAUAAUUUUACUUUUUUAUUAGUAACAUAAACUAAUAAUAAUAUAACAUGUAUAUGUUUACUUAAAACUAAUUUUGAUUACAGAUUGAUUAGUUGUAAUGGAAAAAUGAAAAGACUGUUUUAGACAAUAAACUAGCUUUUGCUAGAAUUUCCAAUUUUGACAAAUUGAAUUAAAUAUUGAUAUGAAAUAUUAUUUAAAAAAUAUUACAUUCGUAUUGAUUAGUUUAUUUAUUAUCAUUAAUUAUCAAUGAUUAAAAAUUUAUUAAUAUACAUUUAAGGCUUAGUUUAAGUGGCAAAAAUAAUUGCUUUUGCAAAGUGGAGGUGUUGAGUUCAAAACUGGAUGCACGGGAUGAGAUUUCUCUUUCACAGCAAGAGUAAGAGAUGUAUAUUCCUUGUUGUGUAGCCCAUAAUCUAUCGGCUUUCUUUAAAUAAAAGAACUACUAGUACAAAUACAACAACUAACAAAUAAUGUGCCACUGCCACUUAGUAGAUUGAAUUUACCUAGUUAACCCUAAUAAGCGUUUGAGGCAUCCAACUGCCGACCAUUAGGAAUGAAAAGCUGAGCCAAAUAAGUGGUAAAGAAGAGGGAGACAUUGCUCCAAUUUUGUAGAAACCCAUUCAAUGGAGGGGCAAAAUACUAACCAUUUGAAGCCCAUGUGGUCUUUCACUGUAAUCUCUAUACGUAUUAAUUUACCUUAGUUUGGUCAGUUGGUGGCUAAGAUGCAUGAGAAAGAGAAAAAAAAAAAAAAAAGAUUGGUGUCACUGUCUUCCAUGGCAGGCAGAUAGAAAACAAAACAAGUAUUCACCCAUACGGAUCGAUCCAAAUCAAUAAUUUGACAACUCAUAUUUAAACAUCAAUUGUUUUGUUGUACAACAUUGGUCAUAAUUGAUUGCGCAUGGUUUCGCAGCCAACAAAUUAAAAGGGUCCCAGGACACAGUUGAUUAAAAUUCACACCACCCUACACUUACACAUUUUGUACAUAUGAAUUAACCUGCACUUCCAAUAACUAAAGAGAUUAAGACAACACAUUGGGGGAGCUAUUAUUGUUUGUUGAGGAUAUCUGUCUGAAUUUUGGAACAUGGGGCAGCAGCAUAAGGGCUACAUGCACCAGUGACAAAGGCAGGCAUUUCCAGUAAUAUAGCUCACGUGGGAAGUGAAUAGAGCUGCUGCUAUCAUCUGCUGGAAAAGUGAGGGUUUAAAAACAAACGAAUUUCAACUCCAGCAAGUUACUUUCUUUUCUUGUAUUUGUUGGUUGGAGGAUAUGAAUUAUUAUAUAGCAAGGACCCAUUAUAAUUUCAUCACCCUAUAGUUCUUACUCUCAGUGAAUGAAGACAUGGCUGUACAGGUAAUAUUUUAGAAUGCUCAUAUUACAGUUGUACACUGAAUAUUCUAGGUCAUAGGCAAGUAUGACUCUUUCUAUUACUAUCAUUUCUGUUGGAUUUGAAUCCGGAUAUGCUCAUAAUGGGUUAGUACAUCCGGGUCCAAAUUAAAAAUAUAUAUAAAAAAAAAAAAGACUUCUCCAUAAAUAAACAAUAAAGAAAGAUGGUAGUUUCUCUUUUGAUUUCUCUACACAAAAUAAAGAGAAUUAGAUUGUAAAAAUAUAAAUGAUUUCCGUUUGUGACUACAUUCUACGACCAACUAUCAAUGUAUGAUCCAAAUCAUUUCUGCUUCCACAAUUUACGAAUCAAAUUAUUAAAAUAUGUAUAUAAUUAAUUGUAUCAAAUGAAUUAGUUUUCCUUGAAUUUCAGUGGGGUUAAAAAUAACAGAUGCAAAGUUCUUGGUGAAAAAUAGUGACGCAACAGCAAACCCUGAAGAAAAAGCUAUGCAAUUCGGAUGUUUUGAAUUAAGAAAAAAGAAAAUCAUUAGAAUUGUGGGAAUCAAUUAUGCUAAUGGUAGGGUGGGUACUUUUCUCCUAACAUUGGUGAAGACGACAUAGCAAGUGGAGCAUGAGAGGGGGUGUCAAUAUCAAGACUCUCAACCAUGAAUGAAAUAUUUAAUUUAAUUUAUUUUAUAUGCAGCUUCCUUUUAUAUUCUUUUUAGAUAAAACUUUGCAACAUUCCCUUCCUUCCUUGCAAGAAAAAAGAAGAAAUUCCAUUUUCGGUAUAUUUAACGACGAGAUAAUUUUAUUUAAAUUUAGUGUAUAUACCUCAGUUAAAUACGAGAGUGACACAUAUAUAUAUAUAUAUAUGAGUAUUUUAUAUAUUGAUACUGAAUAAUUGACAGAUACUUAAUCAUUUAAAACUAAUAAAUAUGUAUCAAUUAUCUAUUAAUUUAGUAGAGACAUAUACUUAGUCUAGAAAUCACUCACCAUUGGAUACUAUAAACAUGGAACAGCAAAUGAUCUAUUGGGCAGCAGUUCCUGGACAAAUAGUUUCAAGAAAAGAAAAAAAUUUCACUUUUUAACUUGAAAAGCCUUUUCUAAUAGGGAAAUUUAAGCUAGGCAAUUAAGGUGCAAACCUAGCUAACCUUAUGUUAGCUUUUUGCCUAACAAUUAAGAAAAAUAAAAUAAAAUAAAAAGCACAAGUUUAAUAUUUUAUAGAGUAGCUGUGAAGGUGAUGAUGAAUUUAAUUAUAUUUUAAUGUUUUUGGGUCCAGAAACUAGUGAGGUCACUGCUUAGCCAAUCACUGGCUUGGUUUGAUUUUCCCAAUAUCCUUCUGUGAUAGUGAGAGUUGUUUAUAUAAAGAAAUGAAAGCAUAUAUAUAUACAUACAAUAAUUCUCUUCUUUUACUUGCCAAUUGCUAUUCUCUUUCUGUCCCUUUCUAUCUUUAGCUGUGCUUUGUCACUGCGUAUCAAACAAUCCCUACUAGACACCAUUAAUCAACUAUCUUUUAUAUGGCUGCAUUUCGAUUGUGUUUCCCUGUCCUAUUUUUCUUUUUUCCUUUAAUUACUUACUGCUUUUCAUAAAACAAUUUUCAAAAUGGGUUUAACAUCUGCAGUCUUUAUAUAUAUAAUAAAGGAAAAAUUAAUCAAUUAAUUAAAUCCUUUUUCAAUAUUAAUUUAACUAUAUAUAUAUUGGCUUGAGCUUUUGAUAAAUGCAACUUGCUCCACUUGAUCCUAGCAUUCCUUUUCUCCUUACUUGUUAGACCACAAAAAAGAAAUAUGACAUGUAAUUUCUAUUAUUAUUCUCUUUAAAUAUCUCAUUUUAUUAGGUAUUAUUAUAUGUAAGUCUAUUAAAUCAAAUAUUUAUUUUACAUAUUCAUUUAUUUAAUGCAUUUCUCAUUAUCUCAAUUUUUCUUUGUUACUAGCUUCUAAAAUAAACCUAACACAUGAAAGUGAUAUCGCUUUAAUUUAUCUAUAUAGCAUAAAAGAGGCAUUGACAAGGAAAGGAAAGCAAACAAAAGACUAAUUUCUCUUUAUGUAAUUUUUAAUUUAUUAAAUCUCUAAGUGAAGAAUAAUUAUUUAUCUUUUUUUUUUAAAGUAGUUUGGUGAGAUUUAAUUUCCGAUAUUUAUUUUUAAAAUAAUCGCGCCUUAUUAUUAGACUACCAUAUUAUUUAAUAAGAGUUAAACUAUAAGAAAAAGAACUAAUUUUACUUACACAUAAAUGAAAUGCUUUUUAUUUAACCUUUUCUUCUUUUCUUUUUGCUUUUUUUUUUUUUAAAGUGUAAUUGUUCAGAAAUUAAUGCCAAAGAUGGCAAAAGUAAAUGCAUAGGUUAAUAUCUAUAUUAGCAUGCAGUCUAAUUCCUAUAGUUUACAGUGGUAAUAAAGGAGUAUUUAUUAAAGUUUUUAAGGCUAUUAUGUCAGUGCAUUAAGUCUUUCUUUUGAAAAUUUUGAACAGAAAAUAUUAAUAUUAUUAUGGAAGAUUAUAUAAAGUCAAUGUUCUUCUUUAUUUAAAUUUUGAUAAUUUUUCACAGCAAGAAAAUAAAAUUUAGUGAGUUAUGACCAUAAAUAGAGAUUCGGAUUUUUAAUUAAAGAUGAUCCCAAACUAUUAUAAAUAGGUUGGUCACUGAGAUUUAAUUGAAUUAACUGCAGCCAAACAUCAAAUAAUGUGAACAUCAAUUAGAUUUGUGUACCCUUUUAAGUUAAAUAAUGAAUUGAAUUAUGAUUUCAUAUGCUUGUAUUAUAGUUGAGCUUAAAAUCUCUAAAUUAACAUCCAAUAUUUUUUUAUAAAUUUAACUCAAUUAGUGUAAUAUCCCAUAUGUUGAGAAAUUAUAAAUGGACUUGUCAAGUUUAAGUUGAGACUAUUAAAUUAACCCUAGUAAGAAAAUUUAAAUUAAUUUUAAUUAACUAGUUUAGUCGAAUGUUAUUCAGCUAGAAAGUUUUUAGAUCUGGAUUGUUACAAAUAGUAUUGAAAUUAUUUUAAAUUAAAAUUAUAUUAAAUUAAUAAAUUUAAAAGAAAAAGAUAUUUAGAACGAGAAAGAGUGGUCCAAAAACACUAGCAAAAUAUAGUAUCAAAAGUUUGAUUUUAGAAUCAAUUAUUAAGCAAAGAAAAACUCAAUAUCUAAAAUUCAACUUUAGCUCAAGCCAUCGCAACGAAAACAAGUCUAUUCUUUUUAGAAAAAAUUAUAAUCAUUUUGAAAAGAAAUUAUAAUAAAAAUUUAAUAUACUCUAAAUAAAAUUAAUUAUAUAAUAACAUGUAAUAUUAUAUAUUAAUGUGCUAGUUAUAAAUGAGUGUAUGAGAAUUAGGAAUGGAAGAAGGACCUUAGGAGGCAAAAGAGAGGCAUGUGGGAAAGGCAUAAUUGCAGUGUCCCAUUGAAUGUGAAAGCUCGCAUGUCAUUUCAGUGAUGAAUUGGGUCACUAAUUGACUAUUGAGAACAGAACAGAAAACACUCCUUACUCCUACUAUUAUUUCACACUUUGAUGAUUCCCUUUGCUUUCACCCAUUUUCUAAUAAAUACCUUAACCUUCUCCCCCAAUUAUCCCUUUCUUCCUUCCCACUUUAUGCUUUAGGGUUUUUCGGUUAUCAUAGUACACUUUUUAUAAAAAAGACUUCUUAUGUCCACCAAAAACUAAAAUACUUCCUUACCCAACAAAAUAAAUAAAAUACAAACACUUUUGUACAUUACCAUCAAAUCCUGUUUAAUUGUAUUUUGAUCCGAAUUCACUUUCUUCUUCUUUGCUACCGCAAAAUCUCUUUUCCCUAAUCUUGUUUCUGAGGGAAUAAAGAACUCAUAUAAUUGAUAGUUAGGUUCUUGAAUUUAGAUUUUUGGGUUUGUGUUAAUUUUGUGAAUGGAGAAAAAUUUGUGGGUUUAAAAUUAGAGCUUGAAUAUGAAAUAUAAGUUUUUGAAUUAUCAGAAGUUUUGAUGAUUUUUCUUGAGUCUUUGAUCAAAAUUCCAUGUGGGUCUUCCAUUGGGGUAACUAAUUUUAAACUCUUGCUCAAAGCCAUUAAGAUAAAUAUUUUACUUCUAAUUUUGGUUGGAUGUUAAUUUUAAAAUAAAAAUAUUUUAAUGUGUUUGAUAAAUAAAAGAAAUUGUGCUAAAUGUGAUAGAAAUUUUUUAAAAAAUACAGAUAUUUAAAAAAAAUAUAUAAACAAGCCUAAUAACAAAAUAGAAACCAAAAAUAGAAAGAAUAGCUAUAUUCUUUCAAUGUUGAGAAUUGAGAGAGAAGUCCACGUGUUAUAAUAUAAUAAAAUGGGCGGCUGAUUUUAUAUAUUUGCAUGUAAAGCAAAUAGCAUAGUAACAAAUUAAUAAAAGAAAAAGGACACUAGUAGCUGGCCAUUUUACGUGGCCUAUAUGAUAGCACUCCUCUCUUUUAUGAGCCGCGACAAGGAUUUCUUAGAUUUCUUUUCUUUUUUCUUUUUAUAAAAAUUUUAAAAAAUAGGAAAACGAAAAACAGAAUUAUGACUAAUUAAUUUAGAGGGCUAAAGUGACAAUUUGCCCACUUUUUAACUUAUUAGCGAGUUUCAAAUCAACCUAAAAUUUGACUUUCACGGCCAAAUUACUUGCAAUGCCUUAUAUUCGGGCCAAAUUGCCUCUUAAUUAAAGCCCUCAUCAACAAUAAUUAUUAAAUGAUCUUGAUUUACUAUAUUAUUAAAAGACUUAUCUAUUAAAAUAAUUAUAUUUUUAAUUUAUUUCUAAAAGUUAACUGUCUUUAUUUUUUGAAAGAAGCAAAAGUCUUGUUUGAUUUUGAUAGUCCUUCUAUGUUUUUAUUCAGAAAAAAUAUGAAUAUUUCGUUAAUAAAAAUAUUUUAAUAUAAAAAUUAAAAAUUAAAAAGAUAUAUAUAAAAAAUUUUAUAAUCAAUCAUAAAAUGUAAAAAGAAAAAUGCUGUAAUUUUCUAACAAGUUUCCUUGUUUGAAUAUCAGAUUUGAUCUUUUUUUUUUCUUUAUUACUCUUAUAGAAGAAAAAUUCAACACUAAUGUAAUAAAGCACCGUACAACUCUUAUAAAAACAGAAUUUAAAACUCUCAUAACAGAAAUCAUAAAACUAUUUAAGAAAAAUAUUAAUAUUUAUUUAUAAGACUAACUAAUAAUAAUAAAAAGUACCACCGUCGAUUUUUUUUUAAAUCGACGGUGAGAUAAAAAAAUAAAAUUCUAAUAAAAAAAUAAAAGAGAAAAAGAAAAUACGGCUCCCGCUCAUUUUAUUUCUUUCUUUUUCUUAAUAGAAAAUCAGUGUCCUCUUAUGCUUAAUUGUUAUGUGGAUGCAAAAUCUUUUAAUCACUGCGAUAAUUACAUAAUUUCAUUAGUUGUUCGGAACCAACUUUAUCAAUUUAUAUUGUUUUAUUACAUUAUUCAAGGCAUGCCACAAUAGAUUACUUAAUUAAAGAGUUUAAAAUUUUAUAGUUGCUUUAACCUUGUUUAAUUAGAGAGAACAAUAACAUUUUAUGAAUAAUAAUAAAUUCAUCCUCCAAUUAUAAAGAGAUACAUGGAUUUAUAAAAAAAAUCAAAGAAAUUUAAGCAUAGAACAUGUUUUUUUGUUUACUUUUAUUUUCAUUUUUAUGUUUUGAAAUCUUUUACAUAACUAAAUUUUUUACGUAUCUUUUUAAUUUUACUCAUACAUGAUAAUUUUGUUAAUAUGUUAUAAAUUUCACAUGUAAAAUAAUUUUAUUUUAUUCUAAAGUUAUUAUAUAAUUACUAAAUUAUUAGAAUUUAGAAAUUAAUGUAUUUCCAUUUAUUAUUAUUAUUAUUUUUAAUAUGAAUCUUCAUCUAUAAAAUUCAUAAAAAAACAAUAAGAAACAAAUGUUGUAUACAAUUAAAAUAUUUGAAUAAAAUAUCUAAAACCAAUUAAUUUCAUAUGACGUGUCCAUCAUUAAUUGAUUUCUAUUAACAACUUGGUAAAGACGGUGUGUGCCUUAGAUUUCUCCUACUUCUCUUGCUAUUAAACUAAAGUUGCUUAUAUGCGUCAAGGGACAGGUAAAAGAUAUGAAGAAUAAAAAAAUAAUUAUAUAAGAUGGAAGUAUACUUGUUUCUUUUAGUUUCCUGAAAAUAGGUAAUAUAAAAUCUUUUCCAGUUGAUUUUAAAUGUAUAUAUUUAGUUAAAAUUUAUUUAAAAAUUUAAAAAAUUUAUAUACUGUGAAUAAAAUAAGAAUUAAUAUAAAAUUUUAAAUAAUCACAUCUAUAUGUNNNNNNNNNNNNNNNNNNNNNNNNNNNNNNNNNNNNNNNNNNNNNNNNNNNNNNNNNNNNNNNNNNNNNNNNNNNNNNNNNNNNNNNNNNNNNNNNNNNNNNNNNNNNNNNNNNNNNNNNNNNNNNNNNNNNNNNNNNNNNNNNNNNNNNNNNNNNNNNNNNNNNNNNNNNNNNNNNNNNNNNNNNNNNNNNNNNNNNNNNNNNNNNNNNNNNNNNNNNNNNNNNNNNNNNNNNNNNNNNNNNNNNNNNNNNNNNNNNNNNNNNNNNNNNNNNNNNNNNNNNNNNNNNNNNNNNNNNNNNNNNNNNNNNNNNNNNNNNNNNNNNNNNNNNNNNNNNNNNNNNNNNNNNNNNNNNNNNNNNNNNNNNNNNNNNNNNNNNNNNNNNNNNNNNNNNNNNNNNNNNNNNNNNNNNNNNNNNNNNNNNNNNNNNNNNNNNNNNNNNNNNNNNNNNNNNNNNNNNNNNNNNNNNNNNNNNNNNNNNNNNNNNNNNNNNNNNNNNNNNNNNNNNNNNNNNNNNNCAUCAAAUGAGAAGCACUUUAAUGUAUAUCUAUAUUGAAUAUAUAUAUAUCGCAAUUAAUAAAAAAAUAUAUAUGAGUAUUUUAUAUUUUAAUAUAAAUAAUUAAUAUUUAAAUUUUUUAAAAUUUAUAAAUAUAUAUUAAUUAUUUAUCAGUUUAAUAUAUAGAUAAAUAUAUGGACGAACAAUAAAUAAAUAAAUUUGAUUAAACAAACCGUAGCCUUUCAUGUCCUACCAUAGGCAAAGUAUGUUUGGAUAUAAUUUGUGCUGAAAAUCGGGACUUUAGUAUUACCAUAUUUUUUUCUAAUUUUUUCCUUUAAUAAUUUUAAUUAAAAUAUAAAUUACAUAAAAUUAAUUUUGUUUUUUAAAGAAGAGAAAGUGGAAUAUACAAUAAAUAUAAAGUGGUUAGGGAGGGGGGCGGGAGAGAGCAGAGAAAGUAAAGCUUAGUUGAGUCAUGAUUGGAGUAGUGAAAAAGGAAGCUGAGAAAGCUAAUUACAAUCCAACUGACCAAAGCUGAGGAAAAGUGUGUCUGUGGAAGGAUGUUUGUCCUUUCUUUUUAGUGAAACUUAUCUUAAUAGUGGAACUCUUUUACAAUAAAAAGAAUAGAAACCAGAAAUAAAAUAUUCAUUAUUUUAAUAAAUAAAGCUGUUGGGUAUCAUUAUCAAAGGGGCUUCAGAGUGGGUAGGAGAGGUGAUCAUUUGAGUCAUCUCUUUAUCAAACCAUGAACUCUAAUCAUAACUCAUCACCUACACACUUCUGAUUAAGAUUCAUUCUUUCCCUCCCCCACUUGUUUUUCUUUUUCUUUUCCUUCUUUUUCUUUCUAAAGUCAUUUCUUUAAGGAAAACAAAGGGAGUUGGAUUUUGGGGUUUUAAGAAAGUGGUAACUAAAUGGAUGGAUAGAACUGGUGUUACUGUUACAUUUGUUUGUUGUAAAAUGGGGUUCAGAUAACCAAAAUGUCUUUAACCACUCUCUCUCUCUCUCUCUCUCUCUCUCUCUCUCUUUCUCUUUCUUUCUGCUGCCACCCUUUGCAGAAGCAUCAAGCAUCUUUCUCUCUCUUAAGCCAAAGUCAGGAAUUUCUUUUUUUUUUCUUUUCAUAUUAAUUGCCAUAAAACCUUUCUCUUUGCUCUUUGCUCUUUGCGCUUCUCCUUUCUCCUUGUACAAUCUCUUUAUUAUCUGAAACUGAAAGGAACAAAACAUAAUCAGUGAGUUUUCCCCUUUCUUCAACCUCUCAAGUUCCAUUUUUGCUCAUUUUCUUGCAAGUUUUUCAUAAACCCGCCAAUUCUUAUCCAUCUUUAUUUUUAGAAAAUAGGUAAACUGGUUACUGAUUUUUCAAAGAACAUCAAAGUUUUUUUUUUUAAUCUUUCUUCUUCUUUCUUUUCUUGGUGGGUGGAUUAGUUUUUUUAUGUACUGUGGAAUUUGGACCCAGUGGUGUUAUUGGGGUAUGGAAUCUGGGGAAGGUAAUGGCAGGUGUUAUUGGGAUCAGCAGUUACAGAAAGUAUCAGUUAUAAGGUUUAGGACUGUAGCAGAUUAAAAGCAUCAAGCAAACAACAGCUACAAACAGCAGCAGCAGCAGGAUCAGAGCAAAAGGAAAAGCAAACCAAAGCAAAGCAAGAAGCUUUGAGUUAUAAAUCCUUCCGGAAGUAUCAAGAAUUCUAAGAACAAAAAUUUCUGAAAGAUUAGGAAUCUGGAUAAUUUCCAAAGCAAUCAGCAAUAUCCACAUCAGAAUCCUAUCUACCAAAAUGUUCGUUUAACACCGUUAGAAAAUCAAGAACAAAAUCUUGACAUACAAGAACAACAGCAAGCCCUUCACCAACAACAUCCUCCACUUCUCAAAAACAACCAACAAUAUGGAGAAGUAGCUCCCAUCAGACAAUCUUCAGAAACCGAAGAAUAUGCAAAAUCUAGACAAAGAAGAGGCAUGAAAGGCAGUGGAGGAGAAAUUGUUCAGGUUCAAGGUGGUCACAUUGUUCGGUCUACCGGGCGAAAAGAUCGACACAGCAAAGUUUAUACUGCUAAAGGUCCUAGAGACCGCCGGGUUCGGUUGUCCGCUCAUACUGCAAUACAAUUCUAUGAUGUUCAAGACAGGCUUGGCUAUGAUAGACCCAGUAAAGCAGUUGAUUGGCUUAUCAAGAAAGCGAAGUCUGCAAUUGACAAGCUUGCUGAGCUUCCACCUUGGCAUCCGACUGCUAAUGAUACUAAUGUAGCAAUGGAGGCAGACCAUAAUGCUGGUGGGACCAGCGAAAUGGCUAUCGGUGAACAAUCAGAAUCAUCUGGCUACAGCUUUCAGCUUCAUAGACAAUUGGGUGAAAGCAAUCCAAGUAAUGAUUCAUCUUUUAUGACGCCAACUAUAGAUCCUGAUGCUAUCCCUGAUACAAUGAAAUCUUUGUUUCCAACAAGCUCAACAAACUCAACUAUGAACUUUCAGAGUUAUCCAUCUGAUAUAAUCUCAAGAACCACAAACCAUACUGAAGAUCUUGGUCUUUCACUUCACUCUUUUCAAGACCAAGGUCUAAUUCAUGGGCAAUCAGCACAGGCAGACACAAGGCACACAGCUUCGAAUAAUCAGAACCUUUUCGCAAGCUCACCUUAUGAAGCCAACUUCCAAAGGAUGGUGGGUUGGAGCAAUAGCAGUACCAGUACUGACAAUAGAGGCGGUGGGGGGUUUUCAUUUAACCAGCCACCAAUGACCACACAACAAGCACUGCUAGGCCAAGACUCAGCAUUUUCUCAGAGGGGAACCCUUCAGUCCAGUUUUGCGCAAUCAAUUCGCGCUUGGAAUGAUCUCAAUAUGGCAUCAUCAAACCACCAUAGACCACAGGAAAUUCAUCAAUCUUUCAUUUUUGGUAGCAGGUUUGCACCUGAAGGAUUGGCAGGUUUCAACAUUCCAGCACGAAUUCAUGGAGAAGAAGAACACAGUGUUGUUUCAGAUAGGCCUUCUUCUUCUUCUCCCAAUUCUCAGCAUCGAUAACUCGGUUAUCUACAAGGUUUGUGUCAUUUGGAUUGUGCUUAUUUCUCCUCAUCAAGAAACAAUCUCUUUUGCCUUUAAACUUGAUAGUAAACUAUUUAUAGCCGGAUUACUAUAAGAAUUAUUAUAUGGAAUAUAUCAAGAUUGUAUUUUUAUAACACUAAUGAUUACCCUUUUUUAUUAUGCUAUAGAAUCAAAGCCAAACAUGGCGAAUGAUGAGCAAAUUGAGGAUGAAGAAGAAUCAGAGAUUCCUGUCAAUUCAAUCCCGUACUACGACUUGUGAGAAGGGAACUGUCUGGUUGACUUCAACAUUCUUUUUCCUAUAUUCUUAUAUUAUAUUAUAUAUAUUUAUAUAUGUUUAACGGAUUCUAAACUUAUUCUAUACAGAACUUAUUUGUUUAUUAAAAUGGAGCUUUUCGGCUCUACUUUUGGUAUUUGUUUGACUGUUGUUAAGCAGCCUUUGCUGCUAGGAUUUGGUUUUUGAUGGUACCACUCUUUUUCUGUCAAUGUUGUUGUUGUUGUUGUUGUUGAGAAAUCAUCCAACAGUCUCCUGCUUUAUUUACUUGAAAGAAGCAUUGUAGUAACUUGGCAAGUGAAAUGAAGCACAUACACUAAAAUCUUCAUUUAAAUAUCUCUACUUCUCUUUCUAUUUUUCCCCUUAUGAGAAUGGUUAUUGAAAGUACAAUUGUAAUUGGAUGAGGCGGCAUCUAAUUCUGUGAUUUGUAAUGAACAGAAGCUUGUUGUGAGUUAUAUUUGUUUGAAAUUAAGGCUUCUUUCAUCAAACAUUUGUGCCCCCAAAAGAAAUCACUAGAAAAGUGCCUCAUCAAUUGCUCUCUCAAUGUUAAUAAAAAUAAUUGAUGACUUAUUUAGUGAUAAUUUGAUAUCAUAUUAGAAACCAGCAUCAGAAUUUAAAUUCGAUCAAGUUUAUUUUUAAAUUUUCUAGUAAAAGUAAUACAUUACCAAUAUGCAAGUAAGGAUGUACCCACGAGAGAAUUAUUAUUUUCUUUUAACGAAAUUAUUAGAUUAGAUAGUAGUGGUCAUAAGGUGGUAGCCGGGCUAGUGAAUAGUGGCUAGUAGUGAUUAAAUGUUGUCUCGAUCAAUAGAAUAAGCCCAUUAGUCCUUGUUGGGUUCGAAUUCUUUUGUACUGCUUUUGAGGGUUAAUAAUAAAAGGGUGUUCCUGGGGCUUAAAUGUGACGUAUCUGAAAUAAAUGUAUUCUUAUAGUCUCCUCGCACAACUCAAAUUUCACAAGGCUACCAUCAUCCAUUACUUGAAUUUGAAUAACAAAUUGUUCAAAUCGAAAUAAUUAUUGAAAUAGUUACUGAGUUUUGAUUUGUUUUACUUAUAUUUCGAUUUAAUCAUUUUUGUAAAUAAAAUGUUGAUUCGUGAAAAAAAUAACUAAAAUUAAUAAAAUAAUUAAAUUAAAAUAUAAUAUAAUUGAAAUGAAAUUAUUUAAUAUUUUAUGAUGCCGAAUAUAAAAUUCAAUAAUUAUUCAUAUAUAUUAUCUCUCCUGCCGUCUUAGCUUAUUAAGACUGUAUGCCUGGUUAAACAAAUUAAUCAGGAUGGACUUACUUAUUUCAGGUCUAUACACUAAUAAAUAUAGAGGCACACGUUAAGUAAUUGAUACUAACAAACAUAUAUAUGCUUAUCCAGCGUUCUCUUGCAAAAUUUUGUAAAGUUUGGGUACGGAAUCUUGGGCAUUAACUGAUCAUAUAUGAGUGACUAGACUGAUGAGGUCUGAUACUAUGUUAAAAGAAAAAAAAGAAACAAUUUUAAGAUUAAUGUUCAGAACAUGGAAUAAGCUCUAGCAGAAGCAUGACAAAGUUUCCUGAUUUAAGUUGGUCUGGGAUCUCUCUCAUACUAUAUCUAGACAUAGUAACUUUCUGUCUUGGUUGCCUACUAGGAAAAGGCUGCAAAAGAAAGAAAAGGGAUGUUCUGAAUCCUGAAUUCUGCAUUCUGAAAGUUAGGGGAUUGUUCAACACUUGUUCUUUAAAUAUAGCUUUUCAAAUGCCAUAUAGCUGAAGUUUUUACUUGCAGCUCUGCAGAUACUUUGUUUCUUGGCAGGAAAAGAAAGUAUAUGAUUUUUCUAGAAAAGCAAAAGGGGAAAAAGUCUGCAAUGCCAAUAUAAAAGNNNNNNNNNNNNNNNNNNNNNNNNNNNNNNNNNNNNNNNNNNNNNNNNNNNNNNNNNNNNNNNNNNNNNNNNNNNNNNNNNNNNNNNNNNNNNNNNNNNNNNNNNNNNNNNNNNNNNNNNNNNNNNNNNNNNNNNNNNNNNNNNNNNNNNNNNNNNNNNNNNNNNNNNNNNNNNNNNNNNNNNNNNNNNNNNNNNNNNNNNNNNNNNNNNNNNNNNNNNNNNNNNNNNNNNNNNNNNNNNNNNNNNNNNNNNNNNNNNNNNNNNNNNNNNNNNNNNNNNNNNNNNNNNNNNNNNNNNNNNNNNNNNNNNNNNNNNNNNNNNNNNNNNNNNNNNNNNNNNNNNNNNNNNNNNNNNNNNNNNNNNNNNNNNNNNNNNNNNNNNNNNNNNNNNNNNNNNNNNNNNNNNNNNNNNNNNNNNNNNNNNNNNNNNNNNNNNNNNNNNNNNNNNNNNNNNNNNNNNNNNNNNNNNNNNNNNNNNNNNNNNNNNNNNNNNNNNNNNNNNNNNNNNNNNNNNNNNNNNNNNNNNNNNNNNNNNNNNNNNNNNNNNNNNNNNNNNNNNNNNNNNNNNNNNNNNNNNNNNNNNNNNNNNNNNNNNNNNNNNNNNNNNNNNNNNNNNNNNNNNNNNNNNNNNNNNNNNNNNNNNNNNNNNNNNNNNNNNNNNNNNNNNNNNNNNNNNNNNNNNNNNNNNNNNNNNNNNNNNNNNNNNNNNNNNNNNNNNNNNNNNNNNNNNNNNNNNNNNNNNNNNNNNNNNNNNNNNNNNNNNNNNNNNNNNNNNNNNNNNNNNNNNNNNNNNNNNNNNNNNNNNNNNNNNNNNNNNNNNNNNNNNNNNNNNNNNNNNNNNNNNNNNNNNNNNNNNNNNNNNNNNNNNNNNNNNNNNNNNNNNNNNNNNNNNNNNNNNNNNNNNNNNNNNNNNNNNNNNNNNNNNNNNNNNNNNNNNNNNNNNNNNNNNNNNNNNNNNNNNNNNNNNNNNNNNNNNNNNNNNNNNNNNNNNNNNNNNNNNNNNNNNNNNNNNNNNNNNNNNNNNNNNNNNNNNNNNNNNNNNNNNNNNNNNNNNNNNNNNNNNNNNNNNNNNNNNNNNNNNNNNNNNNNNNNNNNNNNNNNNNNNNNNNNNNNNAUAGUUGAAGUUUUUAAUAUAAAAUUAUAAAAUAAAAUAAAAUAAAAAUAUAUUUUUUAAAUAUCAGAAGUAAUUAGUAUAAUGUGAAAGAACACAUAGAAUGAACAGUAAUUAUCCCUUUAUUUAUUAUUUACUAUUAGUAAAAUUUAUUAUAUUUACAAUUAAAAAUAUAUAUAAAAAAGAUGCCUUGCCGUGUGGUAUACACCUUGUAGAACAUGCAAUUAGCAGACUUAAUUUUCUUUUUGUAAUUGAAAAAAAAAAUUAAAAAAGAAAAGAAGAAGAAAGAAAACCUAAAACGCGUUUUUAGUUUUGAAUUUAAAAGUGUUUAUGUGUUGGAAGAAAACUUUGCUUUCUAAGGCAAUAAGUAUCACAUUCACACCAAACCUUAGGUAUACAUCAUAUACAUAUAUAUGUACUCCAUUUUUUGUCAAAAUUGAGGGCCCCCUCCCUUCUUCUACAAUGUUUUAAAAAAUAAAUCAUAUUUACCAUUUUAUAAAAUUUAACCCGAUUUAAUCCUUAUCAAAAUAUAAAUUUUCAAGAAUUUUUAAAUUAAUUAAGUUUUAAAAAACAAUUAAUAAAUAAUUUAAAGUAUAUUGAUUUGAUUUUCAAUUAAAUAAAACCCCAAUUGGCCAAUUGAAUAAUAAAUCUAAUUCAUUGUAAGAUUUGUAAUUUUAAUUAUUAAUUGAGUUCUGUUCGAUGCUCAAUUUCAAAAAUUGACAAUUCCCAAAACCACUGAAUUAAAAUUUAUUAGUAAUUUAAAGAAUUUUUUUUUUUAAGAAAAAGAUUAAAAAUAUUUGGACAUGUAGCUCAUGGAAAGUCCACACCAGCCAAAGGUGUAACAUGCUAACAAUUUCGUGGGUUUAGUUUAUUUAGGUACACCGUAUAGUAAAAGAUUAAAAAUAGAACAAUUUUGGAAUGAAAAGAAAGACUUCUUAUUCAAUAAAGAAGGAAAAUUGGGUUGAUUAAUAAGCAAAAAUAAACAGUUAAAGAAGUCUACUUUGUUGACUUCAAAGAGGCACCACCAAAUUAAGCAGCCUUGUUUACCAAAAAGAACAACAAAAUAAUGUAAACUAAUUCAAGUACAUGGAAUAUGAAUAUAGUUUUCAAAGACAAAUUGAAUUGAUAUCCCAAAGUUUACGUUAUUUGCAGGCUAUUUUCUAUCAAUCUUUUUUCUUUAAAUAAAAAAUUAAUUAAUAUUGCAAAAGUAUACAAUAUUAUAAACCACAAGAACUUCUUCUCAAAACUAUUGAUAAAUAAUUUGUUUUUUUUUAUUAAAAAAAGCCUCAUAAAAGAUAAAAUAUAACCAAUAGGAGUUCUAACAAAUUCGAAUUUAGGAUCUUUAGUAUUAUAAUUAUGAAGAAGAAUAAGUGAUAAAACAAUGACAACUGGACCUUAAUAUAGGUAAAACUUAUCUAACCUAUAGUUAUACAUGUAAUAAAUAAUGAAUAACAUAUAUCUUUUACACAUAGAUAGAUAUUAGAUGAUUAAUAUUUACCUCAGUCAUUUAAUAUAAUAAAUUAUUCAUUCAUCAAUUUUGAUAUAUAGAUGAAUUAUACAUAAAACUAAAUAUUAGUCAUAAUUAUCUCCAAACCUACAAAAUCACAAGUUUAAACUUUGACAAUAUCCCACCUAACCUAAUAUUAUCCCUUUUAUAUUAGUGUUUAUCUACUUCAAAAUUACCCUCUCUAGCCAUUGUGUUUAAUUAUUCCCACAAAGACCCAUAUAAUAAAUUGUUUUUUGUAUACUCCAUCCAAAGUAAAAAUAAAGAAAAAGGAAAAGGAAAAUAAAUAAAUAGAUAAAAAGAAAGGAAACUGAAAACUGAAAAGUCAACAUUCAACCGUCAACCCUCUAGAAAUUGAAUUGUAUUGAACAUGCAGUCCGAAAUUGCCACGAAUUUCACAAGUCUCAUAUUCCCACAAACACAGGAUCAAAGAAAUUUAAAACAAAACAAACACACCCCAAUAAAUAAUAAAACCUAAAACCUCUUCCCUUUCUCUCUACGCUCGACUCUAUGUUUCUGUUUCACAAACAACCCUUAAUGCCAAAACAAACAGCAGCAGACCCUCCUUUCCUCCACCGUGUUCCGCCGCCUGUGGCCAUGAAUUUUGGCCUGGAAAAUGAAGGGGAAGAUAGCCCAUUAUUUGUACACAGAGACACAUAUGAUUUAAACAGCAAGAUCAUGCUCGCUGCAAUAACUUCUUUAUCAUUUGUUGUGGUACUAGUUAUAGUACUUCAUAUUUAUGCAAGAUGUGUUCUCAGACGCCAAGCUCGUGAGAGGGCUAAUAUUCGCCGCCUAGGGCUAGCUACAGCCACCAGUGAGCCACCGAAGACCGGACUUGAUCCGGUGGUCAUUGCCUCACUUCCUAUAUUUGUGUAUAAGCAAAGCAAUGGGGACCAGGAAGAUAAUGAUCAGGAAUGUGCUGUUUGUUUAAGUGUUCUUCAAGAUCAAGAAAUGGCUAGGUCAUUACCUAAUUGUAAGCACACUUUUCACGCAGAAUGUAUCGAUAAGUGGCUAACUUCACAUUCUACUUGCCCCAUCUGUCGAACGGAGGCUGAGCCGAGGAUUCAGCCCGAGCCACGUGAGGGUCCGGUUCCAGCUGGUGGUGCAGCCACGGCUCCGCCGUUGGAGCAGGUGGGCACAGAGGGGACUUCAGAGAGUGGAAAUCAAUCUUCUAGUAACAAGGCUAGUGGUUCAAUUUCUCGGUUGAGUUCGUUCCGUAGAAUACUUAGCAGGGAAAGAUCAUCGAGAAGAAUUCAAUCUGAAACUCAAGAACAAGGUUUAGAAGAUUUAGAGAGACAGUAAUUUUAGGUAAUGGCAUGUGUCUACAUUUGUUUUCUGGAUUAUUAUAAUUCAUGUAUUUUUAUUAUAUAUUUAAUAGACAAAAAGGAAUAGUACAGAAUACAAUGUCAUAAUCGCCAUUCACACAUAUAUACAAUUAAAUUGCCUUAGUUCAAAUAAGGUGAUGGUAUACGAACAAUACUUAGAUUAUUGAUGUGUAAAUUGAAUUUCUCGACAUUGUAACAUUUCUAUAUUUUUGGGUUACAUUCUCAACCGAGGAUUUAGCUACGCAAGUGGCGACACUUGCCCUUUGCGCCGCUAAUUCUUUAGCGCCGCCAGGAAAAGGGUCGCUAAAUGAAGAAUAGAAUGUAAGUCCCACCCCCCCUCCCCGCCCUUUUGCCUGCAGUUAUCGUUUGUUUUUGCUUUUAGUUGCCCUUUGCUUGAAGAAGAAAGAGGAAAACUUAGGAUGUGAUUCACAAUUUUUGGUAUUUUAUUUUAUCUUUUGAGUUCUGAAAAAAAGUAGUUCAUAAUGUUUUUUUAAAAAAAUCAAUAUAUUGGAUCAAAAAAAUUCUAGAACAUGCUCAACCCAACAAUCCUAAACACACCUGGGAGUAUUAGGUAACCUAAGAAAUGAUGAAGAAGUUCUUAGGACACAGAUGAAACGAAGCUAAUUUUAACUAAUCACACAUGAUUUGUCUUUUCUUCAGUUCGAAAGAUAUGUUUAAUGAAAAGUCAAGAUCUUGAUUCUUGACAUUUGAGACUUAUAAUUGGUACCUCCCUAAUGAAAAGUAAUAACCCACUUAUUGAUUGUCCUCCUUAAUUAACUCUUUACUUCAUUAGUUGGGUUAAAAAAUUUUGAUUAAUCAACAGAGGUUUAAUAAACAUAUUUAUCAAUCAAAACAAAACUAAUUAGAUCUAUAAUUGAAAAUUAAAUUUCAUAUAAUGAUACAGUCACAUAGUCUAGCAAAAUCCAAAGUUAGGAGGCUAAAAGAGGAUGAGCCCCUUAAUUUGACUGGAUUAACAUUCAUAAUCACUUCUUAGAAUUAUUUUUAAAUCUAACCUAAACCUACAUGGAUAGACUAGGUUUUGCACAAAUUGAUCAAUGCUAAUGUGUAACUCGACUUCAACCCUGCAACUCAGUAAGGACGUAUAUGACCAGAAACACAAGGUCAGUAAAUAUAGGGGCUGGAGCAUGAUUUCUGCAAUUGGGGCCCCAUAAUAUUUGAUUUAGCUAAGGGACCAAAAUUAUGAUAUUAGGGUUCAACAAUUUUUUAUUUAUAAGUAACCUUCCUUGGAAAGUAAUAACUAAGAGAACAAGAAAAUAUAUACAUUUUUAUAAGAUAUGGAUGAUUCGAUAAUUCUAUUAUAAUUGUCUAAUGAACUAAUAACUAGCCCGAAUUGUUACGAUGUUAUAGUAGAGUUUUACGUUACUUUUAGAGUUGCUUCGAUCUAUAAGAAAUUCAUAGACAUCGAGGUUCUACCCUAAUGGUUUUUUUCUGAGACUUGAGGCUUUUCGUAGGAAGGGUCGAGAGUUAACCCCUUUUGUUGCCCUAUGCUAUUACUUUCGUUUUUGAAGCAUAUGGGCAGUUUAUAUAAACAAAGAUUGUCAAUUUGAUAGCAAUUCAUUUGACUUCAAAUAGUACGUUUUUAACUUUGAAUUUGAUUUUAGUGGUAUUUACAAAUCAAUGUUAAAAAAUGAAUAGUUAAUAAUUUAAAUGUGAUUUCUAUUUUAGUUAUAAAUAAGUCUUAUUCAAAUUGAAAUAUCCACCUACCAUCAAGUUAAAUCUAUAAAUAUAUUAACUUAAAUAUGAUUUAUGAUAUAGAAUUUCAUUGUUUAUUUUUUUUAUUUUUUUUGCCACCGUCCGCAAUACCAUUGGGAGGCCCAGCAAAGCACAAAAAGUGGCCUUAUAUAUAAUCAUGGCCCAAACCCCCAGAGCUUCAAUAGCAAUUUUUAGCUCUUCCAAUAUGGGAAGAUGAUCCCAAGUCCUUGUGAUGAAUUGCUACUCUUACCAUUUGAGGAAUUUUAGAACUUGAACUCAAUAUUUAUGUCUGAACCAACAUCUGUUUUGUGGAAACAUUAAAGAGAGCACGAUGUAGUCAAGUCUAUCAUUAGCAAAUAACUUAAUUUAGGAAACAUUGCAGAUCUACAUCCAGGCUAUGGAAAGUAGAUGUAAAAAGGAAAAAAAUGAUGAUGGCAGACAAGCAUUUAAUAAUAGAAGAUGAGGCUUCUAGCUUCUUUUUCAGUUUCCAUGACCCAAAACUUCCAUUUUCUUUAUGGAAAAGAAAAACCCCCCAACUGGCUGCGGCCCCACUUAUUCAGAGGGAGUAUUACCUAGAUUCCUCACAGGAGAAGUGAGUAGUUGCUGCAAACAACUAGCCUAAACAAGAAAAGUAAGCUAGAAAUUUCUCUAUGCAAUGCUUGUUCAAAUAAAAGCUGCCUUUCGAUUUUAAGGUGACAGGCGAUAAAAGAGAGGUCCAUAAGCUCAUAAAACACAGAUGAAACCUUAACAAGAAUUUCAAGCUGCUUGAUUAUGUUAGUAUAUUACAAAGCUAAGCUACAAAUGGAUGUGUCAGAAGUGGAAAAUGACUGAUGAUUCCAUGAAGUUACAGAAUAAGAAAUCUGGCCUGGAUCAGUACUAAUUUCCUAUCUUCUUAACAAAAGAGCACAAAGCCUUUGCCUUUCCCUCAACACUUUCACUUCAAAGUUAAAACUACCAAAAAAAACAAAAAAAAAACUUGAAACUACUUGCUUACAUGAAUAAAGAAUCAAAAUCAGCUCUCUACUAUACCCCAAUUAUCAUUGCAAGUGUGACAAACAAAUUACUGGUGACUAUGGGCCAAAACCAUGUGCCUGCAAUCUGACUGCAUCCACUCAAAUCUGCACUGUCUGGCCCCAUUCCAGUCGAUAUUGUUGUUGUUGAACCAGAAAUGGUGCCAUUCUUCACUGAUGAACUGCAGUACAAACCAAAUUGUACCAUUCCAUUUAUAGUUUACCCCAAUAAUGAUUUAAUAAAGAUAUUAAUCAAAGAGAACAUUUUAUAAUCCACAUUACAAGAUUUCCUUACGAGUGAAAACUCACAUAACUUAUAUUCAAUUUAAAGGACAUUAAUGGAUUCAUGGAAUUUCAAUCCAAGCGAAUUUGUUUUUACUCUUUAAUCAAUCAAGUCUAGUAAUUUCUAGGUACUUCUAAAAUCUUGAUUGAAAUAAAUCAUGCAAGAUUUCAGUUGAAUUGAAAUGCAUUGUUUUGCACAGUUACCAGAAUUGGAAACCAUUGGAUUUCCAGACACAAGAAUUGACUUAAUAUAAUUCAUUUCUUCUCCAAACAUACACUUUAAGUCUAAACACAGAGCAACGGAAAUUACACAAGAGAUUAAGGAAAAGAGAAGUAAUAUCACUGAUUGUAGUCCAUUACCUGGAAGGGAAUUUGCAAUUACCAUGACCUGAAAAACAAAACAAAAUACAAAUCAAGUAAAAGAAGCCACCAAUCAGAACUCAAUAAAGAACCGACCUUUGAUCAAGAAUUAGCAAUGCAAUUAACAAAGUGGCAUAAAAAAUAUAUAUUUAACAAAUAAUAUGAAAGUUCAACCUUUUCCCAGAUCUAAAACCAACCCAAUAAACAAAAUAACUUAAAACCCCUUCAAAAACAUGCAUCUGCUAAAAAGAUAAAAAGAGGUUCAGAAAAUACUUACUAGGGUUUAAAGAAGUAGGAGCAGCAGUAUUACUAAAGAAACAAGCAUCAUCAGUCAAACCAUUCUUCAAGUAAUAAUCAUUAAAAGCCCAAGAAGCAGUUGUUUGGAUAUCAUUAGGGUCAUAACAGGGUCCUCCUUGUUGAAUAGGACUACAGUUUGCUCCACCAGGACCACAAGCCCAGUCAAUCGCCGAUUGCAGCGACUGAUCAUCAGCGUUGUUCUUUGCCACACACCAUAGAUCCCUUUGUCCAACGAUGCCGUUCUGUUGACCCUUUAAAGAACAUGGAAGAGACAAGAGCAGUAGAAGCAAGAAAACAGAGGUGCCAGACAUGUUUAAAAGAUCAAGAAACUGCUUACGCUGUAGUAAAGUAAAGAUUUGAGUGUGUGUAUUUAAAUAGAAAAAUAAAGAAACGGAUUUGAAGUGAGAAAUUGGAGAGGGUUUUUUUCUUUUAUUAAAGAAGAGAGUGUACUGGAAAUGUGACCGUUAAGAAGGCAGAGAGAGAGAGAGAGAGAGAGAGAGAUCCAAGAAAGUAACAAAGGAAGACUGGGAAAAUAAAGAGAGAGUGAUAGAGAAGGAAAGAAAGUGAGAAUUAUAAGUAAAGAAAAUGGAAAGAUGUGACUGUGUUUAUGUUUUGUCCUUUUUGCGGUUACUUUACUGGCGGCAACUGACCUUUCAGAAUUAUUUUGUGCGAGUGGAACGGAACAGAGCUCUUCCUCUGUUCAUCCAUGUGUCCGAUCUUUUUCAACCAAGUUAACUUUUUUUCCUUCUCAAUUUAAUCCGACCGUAAACUGAAACCAAAGUAGAUUCACUUAAAUUACGAACUAAAACCGGUCCAAUUUUUCUAUGGAUGGUGUAGAAUAUCUAGCUAGCUAGGCCAAGAAUAUAGCUUCUAUUUUUAUUUUUUUAAAUAAGUUUAGUUUGAUUUUUAUUUUUUUUUAAUUUUGAGACUGAAAUGCAUAUACUAUAAAAUUUAAUUUAGUCAUCUAAUAUUUAAUAAGAUUUAAUUUGUGCUAUUUAACUUUUUCUGCAUGGGCUUGAAUUAAUAAGUUUUAAAUAUUAUUUAUUAACUAAUUUAAUUAUUUAAUUAAGUUUAUACAUUUUAGAUUUUUUAAUUAAUUGAUCGAGCAAAUAACAAAAUUGGUGGUGAUUUAAUUUUGAUGUUGAUGGUAGUAAUAAUUUUGGUUGUUUAGAUUGUGAAUUAUAUUUAUUCAGUGAUAAUGAUGGUAAUUAUUUGUUUUAUUGGUGUUAUUAUUGGUGGUAGCAGUGAAAAGGUGUUGGUGGCAGCUGUUGGUUAGUUUUAAUAGCUUUAAUAGAUUUAUUAUAAAUUAAAAAUAUAUUUCUUAUUUUAAAAUUUAAUUUAUAAAUAAAUAAAUUUCAAUUUAACUUUUCAAACUCUUUGUUCAGAGUUCAAUUAAUUUAUGAUUCCGCCACAAUUGGCCUUUUCUAAUGUUAUUAUUAUAACCUGCCAGCUUACUCUUUGAAAAAUGACUAAAUUAAAACUAUUUGAAAAAUAUAGGAGCUAAAUGAAGCUAUACUUCAGCCUUUGGGCAUCAAAUGGAAGUAACUCAAGGCAUGUUUAACAAUGGUGAUGUUAUUUUACUGGUCUGUAAAGUAAGGCUAGGAUUUAGGACCACCCCAAAACAUAGUUGAAGAUAUAAGCAAGCAACAGAGAGAAAGGGUACAUUGCAUAAGCCACCAGAGACAUCCAAAGAGGGAAAGUGGUGCGUAAACUGGCAAUUAGGCCAAUCGCAAUGCACACAAUCAGAAUUAUCAGAACUUCAGAUGAGAAGUUCCAUGUCAAACCCCGAAAGUAGACAAGUCCCAAGAACACUGACAGGGAAAGAACAUUGCUCAUUGUCACCGACCCAUAUAUCUGCACCAAAAAAAUAAGCAAAAGAAGGGUUCAGAGUUACCUAAUAAAAUAUAAGGCCAUCUUUCAUUUGAUUUCAACAUCUUAUUCUUCAUCAAUGUCUAGGAACAUGUUUUUAAGGAUAAAGAAGAAAAGGGAGAAAGACUUAAGACCUCAGAGUAUGCUAGAGAAGCAUAUCUUGACUUCUUCCUGCUGGCAAAGAUCAUGUCUGAGACCACCUCACUAGAGCUAGCAAAUGGCAAGAUCACGAAGGAUACAAAGAAGGUAGGAAUGUUUGAAGCAGUUGAGAAAUUGUCAACAGCAUCUACCAGUGGAUCAGCAAAUACAGCAGCAACAAUUGUUCCUAAAAUCAACAUCAGCACUGCUUUUGUUGUAUUCCAUUUCGGGUUUCCAGGAUUUGAUGAAAUUUCACCAGUCUGAUCUCCUAAAACAUCUUCUUCUGCACUUGUUUGCUGCAGCUUUUUACAUUCUAUGUUAUUACUAUUAUAAGUAUUAGAUACUCAGCUAUUUCAUGAAAUCUUCACAAUUAAUAUGAUUAAGGUAAACGAGAUCAUUAGGCCUAACUUAAUAUGAAUAGCAACAUUACCUGAUCAAAGCCUGUUAAAACUUGCGAUGAUCCUCUACUGUGGUCAUCAAAAUAUCUAGCAGAAUGUUUAGCUUCACGGAGCCACUUUGAAAUUCCACGGGUAAACUCAUCCAUAUCGACACACGAGUCGCCUGAUGUAUCAAAAUCUUUCAAUACUUGAUCAACUGCAACACUAACAUCAAUAUCUAACUCGUCAAACUGGAUUCCAAUUAUAAGUGCCUUCAACUCUGCAAUUGUCAGGUAUCCAUCUGAGUUGUCAUCUAUUGUCUUGAAUAACCUGUCAUUUUUGUCAAUGGAGAGUGCAUUAGGUAUCAAUCUUACAGAAUUUUGUUGAAUUUCAUAUGGCCAGUGAUGAAUAGGACUUGUAUAAUGUAACAUAUGGAACCUCGGAAAGACUUGACAGUAAGAGAAUUGGAAUGAAAAAAAAAAAAAAAGAAGUUACUAACUUUUGAAUAAUAUCUCUGUUAAGAUCACCAUUAACUGUGAAAAGUCUUCCAAGCGAGCGCUUUUUUAAAUCUUUAAGUAUUCCUGAUAUUAUGUUCUUAUGUUUCGCAUAUGCAAUUCUUCUCUUCUGAAUCCAUGGCUGAACAACCUGCACCAAAAUGUUUAACAGGAAAUUAUAUGUCACAAUCAAUAAAGUUAUAUGUCACAAUCAAUAAAGCUUAGUUACUAAAUUAAGGAAAACCAUGCAGUCUCCAUCAAGAAAGAUAUGUAGGAUUUUUGGAAUCACUCAAAAUUGUACCUGAUAUAGGCUGUAGCAAACUAAUAAAAUAAGGGAGACGAUUAGGGAAACCAGAAUUGCUAAGCGGCUUUGAGAAGUUCUGUGCAAAACUUGUGGUAGCUGAACUAAUAUGAAGGGGAUAAUAGAUAUUACCAUGAGCCUUGCAGCAAAACUAGUCCAAAUAUCAGUAGUCACUCCAGAUCCUGCAGGUAUAAACCACUGAAUUCUGUUCCAAAACUAGAAAAUUUUGUACUAUGCACAAAAUAAGAUCAAUGGGUUUAUAGAGCUUAAUAAAUUAAAUCCCCUUUUCUAGUCUAGUUAAAGACAAGCCAUAACCGGACUCACUACUGCAGUGCAUAAACUCAUUGAUCCUGAUCGUGUAAUGUGAAUAAGAAGUGAAUUUUUGCAGUAUCACUGCAUCGAAAAAAUUAAACUUUACGAGUGCAGGAAAAAAACAGAACAGUCUAAAAGAAAGCAUUAGGAAGGUACCAUCAUACCGAUUAGGCUAAAUGUUUUUGUAUCUUUCGAGUCUACAGCCACAGAACCUUCAAUGUCACACUUGCCAACAAUGAGGCAAGAGCCCCAUAGUAAUGUCAGAAGCAGAACAGUUGAUCCAGCCAUCAAACCCAUCCCAACUGACACCUGACUUUGAGCUGUUUCUGUGCUCCCAGAUAGCCCAGAUGCUAUAAAAACAAUAGACGUGUAUAUAUCAGCAGACACUCAUACAGCACCAGAUUUAUAAGACUGUUUAAGCAGUAACAAAAUGCAGUCUCUAAAAAAAAAUGGACUCCAUGUCUUCUUAUUGCUUAUGCAUAUCAAUGUUGAUUACAGAAAAAAGAAUUUUGAUGUUUCUUGUUAACGCUAUGGAAAUGAAGUUUCUAUUCGCAAGUUGGACAAGUUCUUUCUUUUAUCUCUUUCUUUUCCUUUAAACACAGAUUGCAUGUAAAUCAAGAAAGACUUGAGAGAUCAACAUUAAAAGAAAGAAAGUAAAAUUUACCAAGGAUUAUAGCUGAAUCAGGAAGGGCACUCAACACAGGCAAGAAAAGACCACCUAUAAUGCCAGGACCAAGAAUUUGGAGAAGUAUCUCACUUCCAUCAGACAACAACUUAGCAGACAGGAACAUCAAAUAACCAUAGACAAGAAUAAGGAAAAUGUUUCCGAGGAUUGUGGUUGUGCAUGGGAAGAAACCAUAUGUUUCAUCGCAGCUACCAUCCGAUGAAAACAAGUCGUAUAGACGAAUAAAUGGCUGCUGUCCCUGAGCACUGCUAUAUUUUCCAUCAGAAACCAUGGAAGAACUUGGAUUAUCUAUAAAAAUCCGACCAUGGCCAGGACAGGCCAGUAUAACAAAGAGGAUUACCAGAGAUAAUAAAGAAAAUUUCUUGUUCAUGAUUAGGCUUGUUUCUUUCAGCAGCUCAAGUGGAUUGAGUUGAAGCUGAAAACCAAUAAAAUAAGUGUAAUUUGUGAAGACUAUAAUAGAAAGGAAGGAAUCUAGAACAAGAAAUUGAUUCCCUGGAAGGAUUCUUAGUCAACUAUAUGCACAAAGAGUGUCAAACUGGAAAACAGGUUGAAACUAAAAUAACAGAAAUGAAAGUUGAUUUUCAAGCAUGUAUUUAAUCUUUUCACUGAGAAUUACAGCUUGAAUGACAAGUACCAUUAGACUGGUGUUAUGGAGCAGUUGUGGAAGUAUUCUUCUAAUGAGGUGGCCAUGUGAAGUCAGCAGGGCAGAGAACCAUGUUUAUAAGGUUCAUUUACAUUUUAAUUACCAUUAUUAAAUAGUGGAUUUAACAAUUGAAAUUUGGUAAAGAAUUAUAUGCUUUCUCAAAGCAACCAACCUGCCUAAAAAUUUAACGAUUUUGUGCAGCUUGGAGUCUUUUGGACAACCUUCUGAUACAUUUGGGAUAUUAUCAUUGUAGCAGUUGCAAGCUAUAUCUUAAGUUGGAGCCCACUUAGAACCCAAUUAAACUGAAAAAUAGAAAAAGAAAAAUUAGAACAAGGAAGCAAUAUCAGAAUAGCAAUUAAGGUAUGCAAAUGAAGGAGUCUCAUGUUUAUAUGGAAUGUAAGCAUAAAUAAAGUAGUAGUUGGCAGAGGAGAUUAUAUAGGGAAACACCUUACAAUUUAGGAGGGCCCAAAAACACAAACACACACACACACACACACACACACACAUAUAUAUAUAUAUAUAUAUAUAUAUAUAUAUAUAUUUUAAGAUUCAGAAUUGAUUUGAACAAAAAUGAAUUUCAGAAUAUAUCAGCUACUGAUUUGAUUAAUUAAAAAAUCAAUUCAAUUAAAUAAAAAGAUUAGAAAAAUAACAAAAAAAAUCAAAAAUAUCAGUCAACUAUCAUCAUUAAAAUUUAUUAUUUUUAAUGAUAUUUAGUCACUGAAAACUGAAAAUUAAAUCUGAUAUUGUAUUUGAUUGAAAUUUAUAAAAUUUAUUUAUAAAUCUAAAGUUUACAUGAUUUAAAUGAAGUAACAACUAAUUUAAAAUUUUAUAUAUUUAAAUUUAUAUAAAAUUAAAUAUAACUAAAUUAUAAUCUAUAAAAAUAAAUAAAAUUUUUAAAUAAAUUUUAAUUAAUUUCCACAAUAUUAAAUUAUAUCAUUUCAUUUUAUUUAAUUUGUUUAUAUUUUUUUAAAUAAAAAAAAUUCUUAAAUAGAUUUCAAACAGGUAAAUAUACAAACUUUUAGUUAGUUGGAUUAGCUAUCUUUUUAAGUUGAUCUCGAUUGAUUAAAUUUAAUAAUAAAAGUAAAAAAACAUAAAACACAUGCGGAAUAUAAUUGUGGGAGUUCCUCCCUGGGUCCAUGUUCGUAUGAUACAAUAGUGCCGUGCCCAGGGUCAGCAUCGUCAGUCAACUUUCCAUUUUCCUAAACUUGAAAAUCGUCUGAAAAUAGGCACCACCGUCUCUGCCACCAAAAUUGAAGCUAAAAAUGAGCUCUCCGACUAACUCACAGAAUCAACCCCCAACCUCUCCUCCACAGGAUCCUAACUUUACACAACAAAAUCAAAAUCCCAAUAAAAAUCAAUUCGAAGAUUCCCAAUCUCCUAAAACCCUAACCCUAGUUGUCCCUGACACCGAAGAGGAAAACCCUAACCCACAAUCCGAUGAUCCUAACCAAUCCGACCCAGAAGAUAUCGCCCAAUCCUCUCCAACGAUCUCCGACAGCCGCGUGGCCUUCACCACGGUCACCAUCCCUCGCCGCGGUUGCGGUGGCGGUGGUAAUGCAAAGCGCAAGAAAAGACGUGGUGGUAAGAAAUCACACAAAAAACUCGAACUCUUAGUUGAAAAUUUGAACCCUGUCCCGUUUAGACCCAUCAAGAACCUAGAUUUUGCCUCUCAUGAAUCUCUACUUAAAAAACUUGGGUUAUGGGACUUUGUUCACUUGCAAUUUGAUAUUAGUAAUCUCCGCGCUGAUCUAUUAGCUCAAUUGAUUGCAAAUUUUAACGCCCAAUGUCGCCAUAGCUAUGUUAAUAAUGUUCGAAUCAAGGUUAGUCGCCCUGACUUAGCCCGCGCAUUGCAGCUUCCAGUGAAGAAAGAUAAAGUGGAUAAUGCACUGGAGGAUAUGGAGAGUAAAGAGUCUAUAGAGUUUGUUGAGGAAUUUGUGUCAACUUGGUUGUUGUUGCAUGAAGAUACAUGGAUGAUGACUGAUGAUGUAUUGAAUGUGAAUAAAUUGAUUAAAGGUGGCAACUUUGAGAAGGUUGAUUGGUCCGAGUUGAUCUGGUUGAUGGUUAAGAAGGAGUUAGCUGCUGCACCUAAUUUAAGGAAUUGUUAUUAUGCCUCACAUUUGCAGCUUUUGAUAAGAUCUCAGAGGGAUGACUUGUUUAAGGAUGAGGUUGUUAAACUGGAGAUAGAUAUUAAGGAGGAUGAUGAUGAGGAGGAAGAUGUGAAAAUAAGUGAGGAAAUUCAUGGAGUGUCGGAGUUGGAGGAGCAUAACAUUAAAUUGAGUCUUGGUGGAUUGGAUAAUAUGGUGAAAGAUGAUGAUGAGGAUGAGAAAGCAGGAAAGGAGGAAGCUGUGGGUGAGGAGGAAGCAAUGGAUUUUGAGGGAAGUAAGGAGGAUGAAGAACAGGGGCAGUGGAGAAAGAGCAGUAUGGAUGGGAGUUUUCUGCAAAGGUGUAAUCUUGGUGAUGUUGGAGCUGUGGAAUGUGAGGUGGGGAAAAAACAGGAAGAAGGGGGAGGAGAGGAUGAGGGAAAGGAAGGGGAGAAUGGAGAAGAGGAGGAGGGAGAGGAGGAGGAGGAGGAGGAACAAAUGGCUUUUAAUAUGUCACCUAAAGGGGAUGGUUUGGACGGUAUAAAUUCUGAGAAUCUUAUUGCAGCCAUGGCAGCAUCACAAAAUCCUUUUAGUUCUGGGGUGCAAAUUCGUAAUAAUGUGUCAUCAGGGGACUUUCUUGCUUCUAGGGUUGAUGCACAGUCAAUUCCUGGCAGUUCAUCGCUUUUCAGUAAUGUCAAUGGAAACAAGAGAGAUAUUGAUCAUCUUGAGAAUGAUAUGCCUCAUCAUGCACUUAAUAGUGCUACUAAGAGGAUGAGGAGUGAUGGACCUUGGGAUAUGAAGUCACUAUCUGAAUUUGAUGUGUGUUUUGAGCAAAUGGAACGUGUAAUGGGAAAAGCUAGAAUGCUGUAUGAGGCAAAGGAGCAGGCUUUUCAGGAGCUGAGUAUCCAUCAGCAAAUGUUGAUGAAUGAGUUGCAGCAGCGGGAAAACAUGAUUCAGCAUUUGCACAAGGCAAAGUUGGAGGAGCAACAGAAAAGACAGUUGGAGACAUAUAGGCUAGAACGGGAAUUAUAUAUGAUGGGAAAUCUCUUAGAAGGGUACAGGAAGGCUUUGAAGGAGACGCACAAGGCAUUUGCAGAUUAUCGAGCAAAAUGUCGACACCCUGAAGAACCAAUUUACAAGGAUACUGGAUCCGGGGGUCUUGUUUUGAGUACCACGGAGUUGGAGAAGCUGCGGCUGAAACAAGAGGAAGAAGAAAGGCAAAAGCGGCUGUUCGCUGAGAAGAAGGUUAAGGAAUUUGAAGCAGGGUGCAUUAGUCAAUUUGAAGCAUAUAAGGAUAGGGUAAAUAUACUGUGUGACAAGCUGCCCGUGCUUGAGAAGGAACUUAAUGUCUUGAAGGAAGAUUUUGGGAAGCGUAAGGUCUCAGAGAAAUUGGAAUGUGCUCCAGCUAAAGAAUCAAUUCCUCAGGAGUCUGUUUAGAGUCUUGUGGAAUAUGUAAGUUUAAUGGAAAAACAUUGGAAACUAGAAGCUCAAAAUUUAUAGUUGCUGCUGAAAAUUCCCUUAUUUUGAUAUCCUAGAUGCUUGGCAGUAGUUUGGCAUGAUGCUAUAUUUAUUCUCUGUUUUUACUUUAUGGUUAAGAUGCGAAUUUUAUGUUGUAGUGAAUUCUUAUGUAUUGGUGCAUCUCUCUGUUAAUACACCAGAUGCCUUCUGGUUAAGCUCUAUCUCUCUGCAGCUGCUAAUUUGUUGUUCAUUUCCAUUUCGCCACCAUCAUUUUGUCAUUUGAGUGAUGAUUUGAUCUGCAAUCAUGUGUCCUUUUCAAGUGCUUUAGGAAUCUGGAUAAUCUUGUGGAUCUGAAAAGUAGAGUACAUUUUAUGAAUCCUGGCUUUUAAUGCGCGAAAUACUAAGAUUAAAGAAAUUUCCCCUUUCUAAAAAAGAAAAAGAAGAGAUUGAUGAAAUUUCUGAGAAUCAAGCAGUAUUCUCAACUAAAUAUGAUAAAAUGUCUAUUAUCAGCAGCAUAUUUGAUGAGGAACUAUGAAACUUUACGAGAAAAGGCAAAUUAUGCGCGCUGGAAAUUUGUUAACUAUUUGGCAUUCCAAGGACUUCGGUUAAGUGUAAAUUUGCCCCUUAAACUUUCUGGUGAGGUCUAAAUUACUCCAAAAUUAAUUCUUAGCCAAAUUAUCCAAAAUAUUUUGCAUUCUGACCGAACCUGCCCCAAACCUAAGAGAUUGUGAUACUUGUGACAAACUAAAAAUUAAAUAAAAAAGAUAAAGCAUUAUUUUUGAAAUCUUUUGCCCAAAAGUAAAUGUCAUUUACGAGGACUUCAAUUCGGCUGUCACGGGUAUCAUUGGAUACUUAAUCUCUGCUCUUCAAGUUGCAGGAUCAGAAAUUAAUGACCUUUUGCCUCUUAUCUCUAAUGCCUUACUGACUAUCUGGAAAGUUAAAGCAUCUUAAGAGUGGCCGAUGUAGAGUUUUCAUUGUUCAUACUACGAUUAAUUUAGCAGCUAAUACCUUUACAGAAGCAAAGAAUUUAGGAAUGAUGGAGGAGGAGUUUGUACGGAUCACAACUAAUGAUAUUACAAAUUUGACACCGAUGAUCUAUAGCCAGAACCAGGAAUAUAUGCUUUACAAGCUUAUGAUGCUAUGUGUGCUCUAGCUCUGGCAAUGGAAGAGAUUCCAUAUCAAAAGGGCCUUCAGAAUUCAACAGAUAGUUCUCGCAUAGCAUCAGUGAGUGGACAUAAUCUUUUGAGCAGACUAAAAGUAAACAGCUUUGAGGGUUUAACUGGUGCAUUCAUUUUCAGAUAGGAAAUUCUUGCUCCGGCUCACAUUUUUCGGUUAAUUAAUGUGGUCGGGAAAAGUUACAGAGAACUUGGAUACUGGACUGAGAAUUUAGGUUUCUCAGAGAACAUUGGCAUUCGUGGUAAGUACAACAAAUCAAUGAGAAUUCUAGGACAAGUAUUUUGGCCAGGAGGCCCUUGGUCAGUUCCUAGAGGAUGGGCAGCACCAACAAGUACUGAGCCACUUAAAAUUGGAGUUCCUAUGGGGAAUCAAUAUAAAGAAUUUAUACAUGUCAAACAUGAUAAUCGUAAGGGUAUGACUGUUACAGGCUUUUCCGUUGAUAUCUUCAAAUCCGCCCUCAGCUUUUUACCUUAUACAUUGCCACAUAAUUUUGUUCCUUUCAAGGGAACCUAUGACUCUUCGGUAGAACAAAUUAAACUUCGGGUAAGAUUUAUAUCUCUUUUGUACAGCAAAUUUUGACUUCAGAAACUGUAGGGUUGCUUUUUAUAGUGUUUUAUGCUGCAACUAACUCGUUUUAAAUACAUUGUGUAAGAUCGUUGAUGCAGUAGUUGCUGAUACAGCUAUAGUGGCCAACCGGUGCCAAUUUGCAGAGUUCACGCAGCCUUAUGCUGAUCCAGGCCUGCAGGUGUUGGUGUAUGUCAAACCAAAAAGAUUAAACAGAGCUUGGUUGUUUACAAAACCAUUGACAACAUCCAUGUGGAUCUUCACAGGGCUAGUCAACAUUUAUAAUUGAAUUGUUGUUUGGUUGAUUGAGAGGCAAUACAACAACCAGUUUGCCCAAGGCACUAUUUGGGAGCAAAUUGGAAGAAUGCUCUCAACUGCUUUCAUCACAAUAUUUUCACUGAAGGGUGAGAAUUGCAUCGUUAUUUUCUUUUUCUUUUCUUUUUUUUUUUUCUCUUAUUUACUCUUGCAAGAACUGAAACAUUUAGUAUUAGAAUGUUCUCCAAAUGCGUAAUGUUUGAUUUUGCCCUUAUUUUUUUUUAUCUUCGCUGUAGGAGAUAAACUGCACAGCAAUUUGUCUCGGACGGCAAUGGUCGCAUGGCUUUUUGUGGUAAUAGUCAUUACUCAAAGUUUCAUUCCUAACUUGACAACCUUGCUUACUGUUCAAAGACUUGAUCCAGUAAUGGUUGAUGUUGGAACACUGAAGGAGAGUAGAGCAAAAGUUGGGUGUGAUGGAAACUCCUUUGUUGUGAAAUAUUUAGAACAUGUCCUAGGUUUCGAUGCUGAAAAUAUAGUACGAAUAUAUUCAGGAGAUCAAAAUGCUCAGGUUCUUGCUAGUGGAGAGAUAAAUGCAGCAUUUCUUGAAGUUCCAUGUGUCAAAAUUUUCCUAGCCAAAAAUUGCAGAAGACUUGCCUCUUCAGGACCUACUUUUAAAGUCGGAGGUUUUGGAUUUGUGGGUAUCCUUCAGAAUAACAGCUAGCAUUAUUAGUUCUGAACCAUUUUUCAAUCUGGACGGGGAUUAUGAGUUGUUCGGUCUGCAGCUGGUGGUUGAUAGCUGAUGGUUGAUAAAUUAAACUGUUUAAUAAAUUUUUAUUAUCGAUUGUUGCUAGUAUAUUAAAUGACUAUUGAUGAUAUAAUUUAUCAUUAAAUAUAAUUUAUUAUAUUAUAUUAUAUUAUAUUCAAUAAUAUAAAUUAAUAAAAAUAACUUAAAAUAAUUAAAAUUAUUAUAAUUAAUUUUCUUUAGCUCAAUUAUAUUUAUUAUUACAAAAUUUAUAAAAAUUAUUUUAAAAGUAGAAAUUUAAAUUUAAAUUCUACUAAUAAAAAUUUAUAAUUUUAAAUACUAUAAUUAUAAAUAUUAUAAUUAUUUAAUUAUUAAGAAUAAUUGCAAAAUAAUUAUUAUUUAUUAUAAAAUAUAAAAAUAUGAUUAUAUGAAAUCAAUUUAUAGUAAAUUAUUAUUAAUAAAUUUUAAUACAGAUAAUAGUAUCCAAAUAAAUAAAAAAAAAUCAAAUUAACUAUCAGCCGAUAAGAAAAAACCUCUAAAAUAAAACAGCUGAAAGACUAAAUCAGCUAUCAGCUGCUGUUUUUUAAAUUUUUACUAAACGUUUUAAUAUAGUUAUUCAACAAGAAAGAGGUAUCAACUAUACCAAAUCUCUGAACCAAACAACCUCUACAUCAUGUCACUGUUAACAUAAGAGGUUUUAUCAGCUUCAAGUCUGCGGAUAAAAGUUUUUUUUUUUUUGAUUGUUUCAGGAGUUUCCAAGGAGUUCUCCAUAUCUUCUGACAUCUCUGAAGCAAUUUUAAGCGUAGCAGAAAGUGGAAACUGAAGGAUCUUGAAACUUCUUUGACCUCCUCCUACAAGUGCUUGGCCUCGGGGUCAGAUGACCAUGAUAAUCUGGGACAAAGUAGCUACUGCGGACUUUUCGUGAUUACUGGAGGAACAUUUACCCUCUUUUGCUAUUUGGUGUUGGUUAUAUUCUCCCAAAAUGGUAUCAGCCUAUGGAUCCUGCUCCAAAUGAAGUUUGCUUGCCUGAUAGACAGCAACCACAGCAUGAUCCUGUUGAAGAUGAGAAUCGCCAGCCUAAUGGAUUUAAAGAUCCUAUUGAAGAUGAGCAUUGGUCGCCUGAUAUACAGGAAUUGCUUAUUCUGAUUGCAGAAGAACAUCAUUUACCUGGUAGACUGCGAGAUCCUGUUGCAGAUGGGCAUUGCUCGACUGAUAGACAGCAGCAGCAGCACGAUCCUGUCGCAGACGAACAUCAUUUGCCUGAUAGACAGCAGCAGCAGCACGAUCUUGUCGCAGACGAACAUCAUUUGCCUGAUAGACAGCAGCAGCGGCAGCAUUAGUAGGAGCAAAAUUUUUUACGGCAAAUCACCAUUGGCUAUUUGCUCCAUAAACGGAAGAUCAAGACUACCGGCAACUGGAGCUCCCGAAACUUACGAAUAGGAGCCAAUAUAUUUCUGAUUGCGUCCAUUUAUUGUCAUUAAUUGGAGUAUCAUUCGUAUUUUUAUAUUUUUUAUUGUUCAGUAUCCUCAUUUGCUAACAGAAUAAUCAUGUAAACACCACCUUCACUGUCUCAUUAAUUAUCAAUUUUAAUCAGAAGCACAUCUUUGUUCUUUCUUCAACCUGGCACCCCUAUAUCGUCUUCUAUCAAGACAUUAUCAGAAGAUCGGAUGAACAUAAAUUCUGAGAGAACCUGUACAAUUGUCAUAAAGAAAUAAAGCUGAAACUUAGUAGCAUGAACCCUGUUCAGAGUGUGGGAUCAAAGUAAAGGCUGUCUUUCUAUUUUUUUAUUUAUUUUUUUGAUAAUCCUUUUUCUUUAAUAUGGAAGUAUGGAACUCCCAUAAGGAUUUUCCUGAAGGAGAUAUUCUUGAAAAAUGUAUUGAAGAGUUGAAGCUUUUGGAAAGUUAUUUUCUUGAAGGAUUAAUCUCAAUUCUCAAGCUGUUUUCAAGAACACUUGAGUAUCAAUGUCAUGCGGAAGUGUAAACCUAACUAAGAUACUCACCUCAGUCAGUUAUUCUUUAAAAAUGAAAACUAUCAAUGUGAUGGAAUCAGUAAUUGAGCAUUUUUCUAAUUUUAUUAACAAAUUAAGAAAUUAUGGAUUAUUCUCCAUUAAAACCAUUUUAUAAUCCAAACCUUUUCUUUCUGAAAUAGGAAUUGAUUUCAAUUAUACAUUUGCUCAUUUUGUAGCUGAGAUUUUUGAUAGAUGAAAAUUGGAACUUCAGAAUUUGUGAUCUUUCCAUUUAAUUCUAUCCAAAAACACCAAAUCAAUCCCACGAAUUUCACUAUAUACAAAUACGAUUAGAUAUGUGCAAUUUUCUUUUUCUUUUUCUUUUGUUGGGGAAUAAUUGUCCUGACCCACCUUUUAAAUCAAAAUUAUGCUGGAGAUUGGAAAACUUUAAAGCUCCCUAAACCUACAGUAAGUCUGAAUCUUUAUUCUCAUUUUUUUCUCAGGCUUAUUUUAUCCUUAAUAACAUUUUUUUAAUCUAGUAUUUAGUCUAACUAAUCUAGAGCAUUUGUUGUAAAAUUAUAUGAAAAAUAACUGUCAAUUUUUAAAAAUUUAAAUUCAAAUUUUUAGUAAAAUCUCAACCAUUCAAUUUAAAAUAAAAGGCGGAGGUUACAAAUAUGAUAAGUCAUGCUCAAGUUAAAUAUGAAAAAAUUUCAAUUUCAAAAAUUUUAAGAUAACUACAUUUUCAAAACUUGAAUUCAAAACUUUAAUUGAGAUCAGUAAAGACCUUUAUCAUUUCAUCUAUAAAUAAAAUGAGCAAAUGCAUCACAAUAUUAUUUUGAAUAUUCCAGACAUUUGGAUAUGGCAAAUGUAACAUAAAAUUAUUAAUACAUAUAUAUUUACAUUUUGAAACCAAUCUUAGAUAUUAGAGCAUCAUCCUCCCAUACUAAUUUCAAGAAUUGAAAUAUUUAUCUGGAGUGAGUGGUUUAUACUCGACGAACAGUUAAUAUCUUUUAAAAUAUAUUUUAAAAUAUGUAUUAUACACAUAAAAUAAUAAUGUAUUAUAAAAUAAAAAUAGUGUAAAAAAAUGAAUAGGAAAACACUAAAAUUAAAUACCAACUGGAGUUUCCAUACCCAACCAAAUUCUCGCAAGUGUGGAGACAUAGAUGAGUGGGAGCAUGCAUGGCUCUUCGACUUGUCCCUCGUCUGUUUCUUCUAAAGUCCUUUAAGUUUUCUUGUUUAUGAUUUAACCCCCCCAAUUUUAUUAAACAUUUAACAAACAAAUCCAAAUUCAACAGUUAUAUAUUUUAUCUAAUUUAACUCAGCUACAUAUCUAAAAUUUAAACUCAAUAACUUACUUAAAUUAUAAAAGGCUCUUACUAUUUUAUCUAUACUUUCUUAAAUAUUUAGGAUAUAUUUUAUGAUAUAAAUUGAUAAAAUUACAUCAUUCCCUACUUAAUUCGCAUUUCUAUUGAAUUAGGAUAAUAUUUCUAGUUCAAUUUUUUAAUUUACAAUUUUACACUUUUAAUUAACUCCAUAAUCCUCAAGAAUACAUGGAUGAUAUUAAAAACUCAAAUGUCAAUUUAACUUUCAUUAAGUUUUCGAAUCACUAACAUUUUUGCAUUGAAACAAAAUGAAACUCUUGAAAUUAAUCUGGGUUAUUACAACAAUUUGACAAAUUAACAAAGAAAGAAAAAUAAUCAAUACAACAAAGAGAUCAAUCGCUGAAAAAAGAAAAAAGGCACAGCAAUCUGACAUGCAUCAAGGUAUCAAAAACACUUCCCAUGCAGCUUCACUGACAACCACUUCCCUUUCCUUUCAUACAUCCCAACACAAUACCACUAAACCUAACUUAUAAAAAGAAUAAAUCAGACUAAAAUUAAAAAUAAAAAAAAUUAGAAUCAGUACCACACCUCUCCUUCUCCUAGUUAAAGCAAAGACAAUUUUCUUUCUUUUUCUUGUCUGUUUUUUUUUUCUUUUUUCUUUUUUCCUUUUAACUCACAGCUGCACAUGUGUUUUCCUGCAAUGCAAUCAUGCAAGGUUGAGUGGUCCCCAAUCAGAUGUGAACACAUCACGUGAAUGUACAGAUUACCAGCAGAGAGCACCAAUAUAAUAUAGAGUCCCCUCUUCUUCUAUGAAUAUGACUCCUUUCCAGUAAAUAUUUCUUCUUUUUUCCUUUUUUUUUUUUUUAAUGGGGAAGCAUGGUGAAGUGACCAAUGAAACCUGUAGCUUUUGUUCUGUUACAAUUAUUCCAAGAAAAAAAAUAUAUUUUGAUGCUGCUCAACAUAUCUCCAAAAUUUUCUCCAAGAAUCUUUUAUUUCUUUUUGACAUUGAGAUUAUAUGUCAAAUUCUUGGUUUUUUUUUUUUCUUUUUUGGUGAAAAGAGGAUUGUAGUGUGUUCUUGGUAAUGAGAGAUUACUGGUCAGUUUACCAUGCUUGAACAAACUCACUGGAAAAAAAAGGAGUUAAACUUGGAGUAGUUGCUGUCCCUUCUCAGUAGGAGCUGUGGAGUCAGUUGCUGGAGAUGGUGAUGCUGUAGCAUUUUCCAUGUUCUUGAGGUUUUGUUGGUGAUAAACUUGCCUUAGUCUCUCUAUUUCUCUCUUUAAUGCUUCCUGAUGAGCUGCAUUUGUUUCAAAUCCAUUAGUUGUCACAGGGUUUAUCAGAACGUGAAAAGCCAAAUCUAACAUGGGAACAUAAAUAUUACUGGCUUUUUCAAAAUAUUAAUGAAUAGUAUAUGCCAGUAUCUCAGAACUCAAAAACGUUAAGAAUUACUCUUCUCAUGAGUGAAAUAUUAGUUUUUUUAUAUAUAUUAUACUAAUUAAAGACAUUCACAUACGAUAUUUAUACUUGAAAAUUAGAAUAAAGUAGAAAUCAGAAAUAAAAUAUAUAUCUAAACACUAAUAUUAACCCUCCUAAUUAUGAAAAUGAUAUUUUGAUUCUAAUGAUAGAGCACCUAAAAGUUCUCUACCAAAUUUGGAACUUUAUAAUUUGAUUUGGUUGCCUUGAAAAUCAGUCUUGAAAGGCAUCAUUUAAUCAUCUACCUUUUACAUAACUUAAUAGGCUCUCCCUCCCUCUUUCCUUUUCCUUUUUUUCCUUUUCCUUUUUGGUUAAUGAAAUUGGAAUUCAUUUCAUGAACGACUACUUGACACGAUAGAUAGAUGUGAUUGCACUAAGAAAUUGUGGAGUCCAAAAUAGUGAUUUAAGAAAGCAUUUAUAUUUCAACCCACCAGCUUUAUUUACAUGUGACCUGAGAAAACUAACACUAUUUGCACUAUUUGAUCUAAAAUCGCUUGUUCCUUAAUUAUGUAUAUGUCAAGUACAAGGUGCCACUACAUUAUAGUAUAGAAAAAAAAAAUGUAUAUGCAAGUUGUCACAUUGCCCUACAGAUAUACAAGAGUAUCACUAUAUGUUUUUAUUCGAUACUUACCAGUAUUUACUCGAUAUAUACUUAUUAAAAUAUAGCAAAUUAUUAGAGAUAAUGUGAGAUUAUUUCAAGAUAAGCACUUAUCAAAAUUUGAAAAAUCAAAAUAGCAUGUUAUUAUUCCUUAAUGCUAUAGAAAGCAAUUAAGAUGUCAUUAAGGGUUAAUUAAAGAAGCACUGACCAUCUUUAAAAAUCUUAUCUUGAGCUAGGGCAGCAAUUCUUUGCUUGAGAGCACUAUUAUCAACAUUCAAAAGCAAGCGUUGAUGGUCUAGAAAGGCAACCCUUGGUGAUAGAACUGAGACUUCAGCCUUUUACAACAAAAGAAGAUGAAAAUUAAUUAGACCCACGAAUACUCUUAAACCAUGCAUUAAUUAUUACACUUUAGAGAGAAAAAUACAUAUCUUGUAAGGAAUUAAUUAGUUAAUCACUUACUUGCAAUGAGGUGACACUUCGUUCAAGCUCAGAUAUGUACUGUAGCUUCCUUACCCGUGACCUUUGUGCAGAUUGCCUAUUUGCCAAGAUUCUAAUGCAAACAAAAAGCAAAUGUAAUUAAUGGCUACCUUGAGAUUAAAUAUUAUUACAGGCUGUUUCAGCAGCAUACGAGACUUUCUGCAAUAUUAUUGUGUGUAUAUAUAUAUAUAUAUAUAUAUAUAUAUAUAAUAUAUAAGUUGUGCAGGCGUAUGCAUGAUUACCUCUUGACCCUUUUGGGAUCGAUAAUUCGAUCACUGGAAGUGGUAUUGGUUGCAUUUGAUGGAUUUUGUGUAUCCGUUUGGCAUUGGCUUUGAACCUCAUCAGACUCAUUUCUUAUCUUUUGCUGCUUUUGAUCAGACAACGUCGGUUCUUUCUCAUCAUUAAAGCUAUUAUGAUCCGAUGGCGUUGAUGGGUUGGAGCAGGAAGGCGCCACCGCAUUGGAAAUAUCAUCAUUGAACAUGGACAUGAAUUGUUCAUCGUCAAAUUUAUCGAAGUCGCUGCUACUGUUAUGUCCAGAGCCAUGAUGAUGAUGAUGAUGAUGAUGAGGUGCACCUAUGGCACGACAUUCUUCUAUCAAUGGUGCUUCAAGGAAUGCAAUUGAGUCACUAACUGACCGCCUGUGGGUCCCACGUCUCGCCGAUGAGAAGUCGAGGAAUUCGUCUACCCAUGAAGGGUUUUGCGUCGUGGUGGCGGCGGCGGCGGCGGUGGAGGCAGCAGCAUUGUUGUUAGAAGGUGCUAUAAUUCCCAUGGAAGGCAAUUUCUGAUGAUGUGAGAAUUCGGGCCAUGUUGGUUGCAUGUUUGGAAUUUUUGGAGGUAAUUGUGCCAUUUAGUAGUGUAUAAUAAUGUAUUCAACACCUCUAAAUGACACAAGAAAAAAAGAUUCAGACAGAAGGAAAGAAACUAAAAGAACAAUCUUCAAGAUUCAAGAAAAGCUCAAAACCUAUAAUGUGGGAAGGGAACUCAAGAACGAUGUUCAAGAUAUAGAGCUUCUUCUUAUUGUCACCAAGAGAGAGAGAAAAAAAAAAAAGAACAACCCAAAUCACAAUUGUCACCAAAGGGUUGUUCUUUGGUAUAAUUAUAUGAAAUUAAGAAGAACACUAGAAAUGGAAUGUGAUAAGCAAUGGUAAAGAAGCAAGAAAGACACAAGAAGAAGAAGAAGAAGAAGAAGAGGAGGAGGAGGAGCAAGAGGAGAACAAUAUCAUCAUCAUCAUCAUCAUUAAGAGCUUUAUUUUUGUCAUGUCAUUCAAUAUAUCCCCAUUAAAUCUUGCAUCCUAAUCUCUUUCUUUCUCUCUCAAUGUGGCAGUGGGGUCACAUGGGAAGAGAUUGGACAGCUAUCUACAGCUGUUAGGAGGUUGGGUCUCAACGGUAUUACUGGAAAGUCGCCAGUAGUUUAAUAACUAGAGGAAUCAGUAACCACGUGCCCUUGUGACCGUCCCUUUAGUGGGUACCUUAUAAUAGUCUCAUUAUUUUCUUUUAUAGAAAAAAAAAAUCAUCCUAAAGGAACAUUCCUGUGUACCCACCAACUAAUGUUCAUUUCCUACACCACUAUUUCCUGUCCAUUUGAUCUCUUCUCUUAUUCCAAUCCUAUCAACCCAUCAAGCUAACAAGUCAAAUGGGUCAUCAUCCUUCGAUUAAUAUUCCCAUCAUCAGGGUCCAAACUUCCUACAUGUUCCUAUACAUAUGGGAACAUACUCUGUUAUUGCGGAAGGGUGUUAUUACUUAUUAGAGGUAAAACGUACUUGCAGUUUAGUUGAAAUAUUGUUGGAAGGUUCUUAAAACUUAGUGUAAAGAAAAAAUUUGAAGAAAUGAAGAAGUCGGCUGUGAUCAUUUCACAGCCAUGUAUAGAUAACUUCCUUGUUUAUGGAAGUCAUUAGAUUUUGAGAGACACCGGAGGCAACGUACAUGUGUUCUUUCAAACGGUAAUUUAAGCGAAUGUUCGUAUCUAUACAUCAAAAUUAUAGAUGAUACCCGUACAUAUAUAUUAAUCUUUUAUACAUUGCAUUUUGCAUACAAUAUCAAAAUUAUUUCACAACUAAUUAUAUUUAUGAAUAAAUAAUAAAUCAGAAGAACGCAUAAUGUAUGUACUUUCUCUCUUUAAAUUAUUUACAUUAUCAUCUUAAUUUUAUUAUAUUAAAUUAAAAGAGAAAACAAGUAUUAGGAGUCUGAGAUUUGGGAGAGUGGUAGUAUUUGGGGAAUGAGCUGUGAAAGAAAAGGGGUACUUGGAAAGGGAUCAUGUCAGGCCAUGUGAAUGAUUUGCAAGCUUUCUUUGCUUUGUCCCCAAACCAUACCCACAUGUAGGGCAGUGUGUCCUUUUUAUUUCUUUAGCUACCACACAGCUUCUUGGCACCUUCCAAUCACUAUCGUAUUGGAAUUUAUGUUGUUUUAAUUAAUUCAAGUGCAUGGGAGGCACUAAUCAUGAUUAGUUUUUAGAAAGAAAAAAAAGAAAAAAAAAGAAGAGAUGUUUAAGAUAUAUUAUAAUACUUAUGUAACAUGUUCGCCGCCUUCUUUCUCAAGUGACUUCCUGGCAUUAAUUUACUUAAUUAAGCACCUUCUUUCUUUUGCUAAUACUUUCUAAUCACAAGACCAUGUGAAUAGCCUCAUAGCUCCAUAGCCAUCCCAUUUUGGUGAGCCUUUUUCUGGUUAAUUCAAACCAAACUAAAUUCUCAUAAAUAUUUACUAAAUAUGAAAUAAUAAUAAUUUAUAUUUUAUAUAUAAUCAUAAUUUUAUAGUUUUUGAUAUGAGCAUUGGUUAUUUGGUUACAUUUUUAAGAAGCUGAACCCCACUAAUUUUAUUACUGAAUUGAUAAUAUAAUAUAAUUUCUUAAACGAAAUAAUGUUUUUUUGAUUAAAAAAAAAAAAGAAAUUCAAUCUAUUUAUAGUUUUAACUAAAAAAAUGCAUACAUUUUCAUCAUGCCUUUGUUUUUAUAAGUACCUAAUCUUAGUAUGACGUUUCUAUAUUGAUUCUAUUGUAAUUAAGAAACUAAAAAAAAUCAGGUCACAUCAAAUUUUAGUUGAGAUUAUUAUUAGUUUAUGUACUUUAAACAUUGAAUCAUUCGGAAAAUCACAAAAAUUAUAACAAAUUAAUAAAAUCUUUGACUAUUUUUUUAGUCAUUUCUUUUAUUUUUGGCUAAAUCAACCUUAAUUUUAGAUAGACUAUAUUCCCUCUAUAUGUAAGACACUGAAACUUAGAUUGACCUUAAUUAGAUAGAUUAUCAUAUUUUCUAAUAAUGUAUUAUCAUAGUUAGUGUUUAGAUAUAAUACAUGUCAUUUAUUGAGUUUCAAGUAAUAGCUUGAUCUUACAUGGGAUAGCUCAAACUAUAUCUUAGAGAAAAGAAAUAGAUAUCAAUUACUAUAUGUUAUCAAGAUCACAAAUCCAUGAAUACAAGUAUUGGAAAUAUAUUCCACUAAUAAUACAAUAGAGGAUGAUGCAACUUUGGCCCUAAUUGUUGUAAUAAUCUUCUAAGUUUAAUUAUAGUAUAUUUUGUUAUUAUUAAUAGGCAUUGUUACUAGUGGAUUUUUAAGUAAAUUCUUGACCCUUUUAUAACCUAUAUAUUUUUACCCAAAAUUGUCAACAAAAACUACUAACAAAUUGAAGGGAAGAUUAUAGCUAGGAUUAAUUUUUUUGGUUGAAUACCCAUUCCCCUGCUCAAGGAAUUUUUAUCCCAUAGUUAACUAUAGCCAAAAUGCAAAAAAAAAGAAAAAAAAAAGUAAAAGGUGAAUAUCUUAGAAGGCAGCCAUGUAAAGAGAAAAGGAGAAUUGUAAAUACCUAUUAUGAGUUUUACAUUCAUUUAAAAAUAGGUGAUUCUUUUAUUUUUCGCGAAAAAGAAAAUAGUAUGUUCAUGACUUUAGCAAAUAAAAAUAAAAAUAGUUUAUGUUGUUAAAAAACUAAUACGAUGGAAUAAAAUUUCACACAUUUUACAUCUAAAUGCAGUAAAAAAAUUUUAAUGUCUCGCUAUUUUUUUUAGUUAAAAAAUUAACUUGCUACGUUAUUUUUUUCAUUUUUAUUGUAAAAUUUCAAAAAUUAUUGUUAAAAGAUAUUAUUGAAAUAAAUUAAAAACACUAAAAUAAUUGAAUAAAAUUAUUAAAAAAAUAUAAAAUAUAAAAUUUAAUUAAUAAUUAAGCCAAAAAAUACAAAUUUACAUGAGCUUUUUAGACGGUCUAAAUUAUUUUUUUUCUUUAUCCAUCAACAACAUAAAUCAAAGGUAUCUCCAUGUCUAAAAGAAAAAGAUCCCAUACCUAGACGUGAAAAUAGGUCAAAACACAUUAUAGAUAUUUUAAGUAUAGUCAUAUAUUUGAUGAUAAUAAAAUGGGAAAAAGAGGAAGAAGAGGGUCUCCACUCUCCCGUAAGGAGCAAGCAUUUUCUUCACCCCAUUGCUCCAUCUAUUAUAUCAUUGCAUCUUUUAGGUUGAUUGGGCCACAGGGCCAACAUGUUUUAGACACUAAUCUGGCCAUGUUUUAGUGCUAUUGGCACCAUUAUCUCCUAGAAAAAUCUUCAACUGUUCUGGCAAUCUUAUCAGCAUUUCUUUUAAUUCUGCAAGCAUUUUUAUUUUACUCAACCACUAGAUUAAUGGUAUUCUACGUCCACAAUUGUGAACCAAAUCAAAUGGCCAUUCUUCAGGGGAAAAGAAAAGAAAUCAAAUGGCUGCAAUUUCAAUCACCCUGAGCUUAUGAAGACAUGAACUUGUUAGAAAUUGGGGACGUGAAAAUUUCCUUUUCAACAGGAAUGCUGAAUAAGCUGAAGAGGAAACUUGUUCAAAUAAUAAUUCCUUCAGUAUUGGAGCAUAUCACGUGCUAUGCAUAUAUAUAUAUAUAUAUAUACAAAUAAUAAAUAAUAAUAAUUAUAACUGAUAAAAAGGUGUUGAAUUAAUAAUUGAUGUACAAAGUAUGUACCUAACUACAGAAGCCUAGUUCCUUUCAUAUAGAAAAACUCAGUGAUCCAUGUUCCCCACUUCCCCCCCCCCCCCCCCNNNNNNNNNNNNNNNNNNNNNNNNNNNNNNNNNNNNNNNNNNNNNNNNNNNNNNNNNNNNNNNNNNNNNNNNNNNNNNNNNNNNNNNNNNNNNNNNNNNNNNNNNNNNNNNNNNNNNNNNNNNNNNNNNNNNNNNNNNNNNNNNNNNNNNNNNNNNNNNNNNNNNNNNNNNNNNNNNNNNNNNNNNNNNNNNAAAAGAGAAGUUAAAUGACAAGGACAGGUCAUGAACUCAUUGCUAGUGUAUACCUCGAGAAUAAAUUAUUGAGUAGGAUUCACUGUCUUUCUCAGAAAAUAGGGAGUUCCACAUGGAGAGGUACAUAUAAACAAGUUAUGGGCCUGUAUAAUUAUUUCUUGUUACAUAAACAUAUAGAAAAAAGCAAUACUAAAAUCAAGCAUGGGAUUGCUGUUGUUUUACCAUCAUACACAGUUUCAGUAUUCACAGGAAAUGGUUUAUGUGGUCUGUCGAUCCCCUCAUUUCUGGGGUUCACACCUUCUGCAUGAACAUUGCCUUGAUAAGUUAACAACUUCAACUACAUUAUUGAUAGAUACAAAAGAACAUAACUAUGAUACAUGUUAUGAAUCCAUGUGAUGCAAGACGUAUAAAACUCUGGCUUAUUAAGUUCAGAUGCAAGCAAUGAGUGGCAGAAAAUGUUUAAGGCUGCACUAAGAAGUCUGCUCAAUAAAUCAAUAGCGUUAAACGGUUAGCUAUGUCAGGAUCCAUUUUACAGCUGCACAUGCACGCAUGGUUUACACAGUGAGUCACAUAAACAAUAGAACAUCAAAGACUUGCCCUACUGAAACUGAAUGCUAAUGAAGACAUGAAACAAUACAAAAUCAUAACUGAAAUGCCUUGAGUGAAAGUAUUAUCUAGCACAAAUGGCACACUGCAUUACGUGUACCCAACCUAAAUAAGAUAUCAGAUUUGUGCUACGAUCUUUAUUUAUAAGCUACUACUCUCAGUAUACACCCCAAACUUAGUGAUGGAGGCACCUACAAUGAUCAAGAAUGCUGGCCUGAUGCUUAUAACUCUUUGCACUCUGUGGAUACCUUCAAUUGCAAGGUCAGAAAUCCAUAGUCUACCUAUAGAUAGCGCCCCCACAGCCAUGAAAGUGAGGUAUGAUAAAUGGCUGGAACAAUAUGGUCGAAAAUAUGACACUAAAGAUGAAUAUUUACUGCGGUUUGGAAUAUAUCAUUCCAACAUUCAGUUCAUUGAGUAUAUCAAUUCUCAGAACUUAUCAUUCAAGCUCACUGACAACAAAUUUGCGGAUCUGACUAAUGAUGAGUUCAACUCUAUCUACCUCGGUUAUCAGAUAAGGAGUUACAAAAGAAGAAAUCUUAGCCACAUGCAUGAAAAUAGCACAGACUUGCCAGAUGCUGUAGACUGGAGAGAGAAUGGUGCUGUGACCCCAAUUAAGGAUCAAGGACAGUGUGGUAUGAUUUUCUUUCCUUUUUACUUAUUCUUUCAUUGAGAAUAGAUUCUAAGUGCACAUUUUAGAGGUACAACGUCAAGAUGAUAGGAACAUUGACCACCAUCUGCACUUUUAGUUAUAAAUUAAUUUAGAAGCUUGCAGACUCUUGAGCCACUUUCGCAAACAAAUAUGACAGAGAUGCAUACAAAUAAAACAACUGCCUACUUCUUGGACAAAAUCCUUCAUUUGGGAGAAUACGUACAAAUAAAUAGAAAAAAAGAAAGAUCGGAAGCCUAUUGUAGGUCACCAAGAUUCAUUUAUUCUUUCAUAAAGUAUAUUUCUGACAAGUCUCUAAGUAAUCACUAUGAUGUCUAAAUGCUAACUUCGAUACAAAUUUUCAAUGUUACAUCCAUCAAUACUAGCAGGUUACUUGAUGAAACACAAUUUCGUUUAAGUAUCAAUUACAAGAAAUUUUUACAUAAGAAAGAUCUUAAGUAGUUAUCUUUGUACAGGGAG
rnacentral:lncRNA from 1 species